rnacentral:lncRNA from 1 species
UUUUUUCUUUUUUUCUUUUAUUUUCAAUGAUACAUGGUAUAUAAUUAUAUUAAAAAUGAUACAUGGUAUACAUAUUUUUGACAUGCAUGAACAUUAUUUAAAAUGUACCAUACAUUUUCUUUACUGGUUUGCAACAUUAUUUUUAAUUACAUGAUCUUUUUUUAUAUUGUAGAACAAUUUUCUAAAAUAUCACGUAUAUUUUUUUCUGAACCAAAUUUUUUCUAUGGCCAGCAACAUUUCUUUAUGAUAUAAAUAUUUGCUAAAUUGUACUAACAAAAAAUGUACAUUGUGUUAAAAUAUUUCGAAAUAAAUUACGGGGGACAACAUUUCUUUAUGAUAUAAAUAUUUUCUAUCGUCUCGCGAAAGGUGAUACAUAGGAGAGCAACUGACUGAGGGGUACCGUUACCGAGUGCGUGAUCCGGUAACUAUGCGAGUUCCUGAUCCGUAUACUACUGUUUCCCCCCUCCAGGUUCCGGCGGCGGCGCCGUCCGUGAGGGGGGGCACACCCCGGAGACGCGUGCCGCCUCUUCGGACAUGCCACAACACCACCCGCAUGUAUGAGGGCCGGGUACGACGCUCCGGUGGCAUUGCUACCCCCCAUGGCCCUCGUCCCGACUAACCCAGGAGCGGUUGACCACGAGAUCUCGCCCUUUGACUUCCCACGGACGGGCUUUGACUAGUGGACCUCUCCACCCGGUUGUGUCGGGUCCGCCCAUAGGGACACCCGAGAGCAACAUGCGGGCCAAACCCACACCUAAAUCCACUCCUUGUAGACCCGAUGCGUCCGUUUCCCCCCUCCCNNNNNNNNNNNNNNNNNNNNNNNNNNNNNNNNNNNNNNNNNNNNNNNNNNNNNNNNNNNNNNNNNNNNNNNNNNNNNNNNNNNNNNNNNNNNNNNNNNNNNNNNNNNNNNNNNNNNNNNNNNNNNNNNNNNNNNNNNNNNNNNNNNNNNNNNNNNNNNNNNNNNNNNNNNNNNNNNNNNNNNNNNNNNNNNNNNNNNNNNNNNNNNNNNNNNNNNNNNNNNNNNNNNNNNNNNNNNNNNNNNNNNNNNNNNNNNNNNNNNNNNNNNNNNNNNNNNNNNNNNNNNNNNNNNNNNNNNNNNNNNNNNNNNNNNNNNNNNNNNNNNNNNNNNNNNNNNNNNNNNNNNNNNNNNNNNNNNNNNNNNNNNNNNNNNNNNNNNNNNNNNNNNNNNNNNNNNNNNNNNNNNNNNNNNNNNNNNNNNNNNNNNNNNNNNNNNNNNNNNNNNNNNNNNNNNNNNNNNNNNNNNNNNNNNNNNNNNNNNNNNNNNNNNNNNNNNNNNNNNNNNNNNNNNNNNNNNNNNNNNNNNNNNNNNNNNNNNNNNNNNNNNNNNNNNNNNNNNNNNNNNNNNNNNNNNNNNNNNNNNNNNNNNNNNNNNNNNNNNNNNNNNNNNNNNNNNNNNNNNNNNNNNNNNNNNNNNCCCUCCGGGUGCCGGCGGCGACGCCGUUCGUGAGGGGGGCCACGCACCAGAGACGCGUGCCGCCUCUUCGGACAUGCCACAACACCACCCCGCAUGUAUGAGGGCCCGGUACGACGCUCCGGUGGCAUUGCUACCCCCCCAGGGCCCCCGUCCCGCCUAACCCUGUAGCGUUUGACCACAGGAUCUAGCCCUUUGACUUUGCACGGACGGUCUUUGACCAGUGGACCUCUCCACCCGGUUGUGUCGGGUCGGCCCAGAGGGACACCGGGGAGCAACAUCCGGGCCAGGGCCACAGCUACAUCCACUCCGUGUAGACCCGACGCGUCCGUUUCCCCCCUCCGGGUGACGGCGGCGGCGCCGUCCGUGAGGGGGGGCACGCACCGAAGACGCGUGCUGGGCAUUUGCAACCGCCUCAACACUUCCAGACUUGUGAGAGGCCGCCUACGCAAGAUUAUACGGUAUGCUACCCCCCGAAGGCCGCCGGCCACAGUCGUAGACGUGCGAAGAGCAAUCCGCGUAGAGGGAAGUGUUCAGAUACUUCUCCAUCACAAAAAAUUAUGAAAAAUUACCAUCAGUCCUAUAGCACAUGUGCCCACGUUCUGUAAAAAACUCAUGAUUUUAUCGCGCUCCAAGUAUUUAAUAAUAUUCACGCUGCAUCGUUACCGCAGAACGUCUACCACCGUUUCAUUGCCGUCCGUGAGGGGGGCCACAACCCGGAGACGCGUGCCGCCUCUUCGGACAUGCCACAACACCACCCCUCAUGUAUGAGGGCCCGGUACGACGCUCCGGUGGCAGUGCUACCCCCCCCCAGGGCCCCCGUCCCGCCUAACCCUGUAGCGUUUGACCACGGGAUCUAGCCCUUUGACUUUGCACGGAUGGGCUUUGACCAGUGGACCUCUCCACCCGGUUGUGUCGGGUCGGCCCAGAGGGACACCGGGGAGCAACAUCCGGGCCAGGCCCACAGCUACAUCCACUCCGUGUAGACCCGACGCGUCCGUUUCCCCCCUCCGGGUGCCGGCGGCGAUGCCGUCCGUGAGGGGGGGCACGCACAAGAGACGCGUGCUGGGCGUUUGCAACCGCCUCAACACUUCCAGACUUGUGAGAGGCCGCCUACGCAAGAUUUUACGGUAUGCUACCCCCCGAAGGCCGCCGACCACAGUCGUAGACGUGCGAAGAGCAAUCCGCGUAGAGGGAAGUGUUCAGAUACUUCUCCAUCACAAAAAAUUAUGAAAAAUUACCAUCAGUCCUAUAGCACAUGUGCCCACGUUGUGUAAAAAACUCAUGAUUUUAUCGCGCUCCAAGUAUUUAAUAAUAUUCACGCUGCAUCGUUACCGCAGAACGUCUACCACCGUUUCAUUGCCGUCCGUGAGGGGGGCCACAACCCGGAGACGCGUGCCGCCUCUUCGGACAUGCCACAACACCACCCCGCAUGUAUGAGGGCCCGGUACGACGCUCCGGUGGCAUUGCCUCCCCCCAGGGCCCCCGUCCCGCCUAACCCUGUCGCGUUUGACCACGGGAUCUAGCCCUUUGACUUUGCACGGACNNNNNNNNNNCCGGCGGCGGCGCCGUCCGUGAGUGGGUCCACGCACCGGAGACGCAUGUCGCCUCUUCAGACAUGCCACAACACCACCUGGCAUGUAUGAGGGUCCGGUACGAUGCUCUGGUGGCAUUGCUACCCCCCUCCCCCCCAGGGCCCCCGUCCCGCCUCACCCUGGAGCGCUUGACCACGAGAUCUAGCCUUUUGACUUCCCACGGACGGGCUUUGACCAGUGGACCUCUCCACCCGGUUGUGUCAGGUCGGCCCGUAGGGACACCCGGGAGCAACUUCCGGGCCAAAGCCACAGCUACAUCCACUCCGUGUAGACCCGACGCGUCCGUUUCCCCCCUCCAGUUGCCGGCGGCGGCGCCUUCCAUGAGGCGGGCACACCGCGGACGUGAGGGGGGUCACACUCUGGAGACGGGUGUCGGUCGUUUGCAACCGCCACAAAACUUCUGUCGGCAUAGCUGUUUUUGAUUUUAAUAAAAUAUAAGGAGCUAUAUUGAAAAGAACAUGACCGCACAUUAUUAACGUGCUCGAAAAAAUACAAACUAUAUAUAUAUAUAUAUUCAUAAUAUUUGAAAAAAAUACAAACUACAUAUAUAUUCAUAUGUAUGUUUAUAUUUAACAUGCUACAUGUUAGUUGAUAUAAUAAUACAUAAAAAAGCAUAAAAAAAUAUAUAUGAAAAAAAAUCUAACUAUGCCCACGGCUAUGCCGUCGGCAUAGAGACGGCAAGGGUUUAGGAGGCGGGCGGCGUGCCGCGGAUCGCUGACGUGGCAGAUAUGCCAACGGCAGCCGUCGGCAUAUGUUCUGGAUGGUGCGGCCCGGAUCGAUGAUGUGGCAUGCGGACCUGUGCCGACGGCCCCCCGUCGCGGCUGUCGGCAUAGCUCUGACGACGUUAGCCGCCUGUUACCAGCGGGUUCGCCGGGCCCACGAGUAUGCCGACGGCCGUUAUAAGCCGACAGCAGCUGUCGGCAUACUUGCAGCUAGGCCGACGGCCAUUCUAUGCCGACGGGUGCCGUUGGCUUAGCUCUGUGUAACCCGACGGCCAGAAUACGCCGACGGCCAGGACCAGGCUGUCGGCAUAGCUCCGAAGAAGCCGGCAUGGGCCGUCGGCAUUGUUUUGGCCGUCGGGGUAGCACCCUGUUCCGAUAGUGUGGUGUCGACAUCGCAAAGUUGCUUGAUGCCGGCCACCGCCUCGUACAAACGAUCCGACACGGUGUCCAGUAGCUUUUUCACCGUUGGCGCGUCAUCAAGCGUCGUCCCGAGACCUACGUACCGCGCACCCAUGCUCCCGAUCUUGCCGGCGUAGGCGUCCAGUGCCUCACCAUCCGCCAUGCGCAGCCGAUCGAAAUGGCCGCGGAGCGUCGACAGCCGAGCCCCCUGACCCGAUCCACUCCGACGAACCGCUCCUUGAUGCUGCUCCACACAUCCGCCGCCGUCUUCUUCGUUGAUACCUACAUCAACAGGUCCUCGAAGAGCGCACCGAACAACACCGGCUUCUUUGUCCCCGCUUCGAUCGCAACGUCGCCUGCUGGCGACACCGCCUCCCAGAGACUAUGGGUGUCGAGGAUGGCCUCGGCCUUCAUCGCCCACACCAUGUAGUUGUCCGGUGUGAGCAUCGCCAUCACCAUCGACACCAUGCUCCCGCCUGCGCCGUGCUGGACGAACCAAACGGAAGAAGAUGAAAAACGAAGAAGAACAUCGGACAAGGUGGUGCUCCCGGCGCACGAACGUCCCGCCGCAAAACUCGAGCUACACCCCACCAGCAACACACACGNNNNNNNNNNNNNNNNNNNNNNNNNNNNNNNNNNNNNNNNNNNNNNNNNNNNNNNNNNNNNNNNNNNNNNNNNNNNNNNNNNNNNNNNNNNNNNNNNNNNNNNNNNNNNNNNNNNNNNNNNNNNNNNNNNNNNNNNNNNNNNNNNNNNNNNNNNNNNNNNNNNNNNNNNNNNNNNNNNNNNNNNNNNNNNNNNNNNNNNNNNNNNNNNNNNNNNNNNNNNNNNNNNNNNNNNNNNNNNNNNNNNNNNNNNNNNNNNNNNNNNNNNNNNNNNNNNNNNNNNNNNNNNNNNNNNNNNNNNNNNNNNNNNNNNNNNNNNNNNNNNNNNNNNNNNNNNACAGCCCCACUCGCCACGCCCCGCGCUCCACGGUUCACCCACCUGCCGCGCACGCACCCACACGGAUGCGACCAGGUCCAACGCCCGGCGUGGCUACACACCCGCGCGUCUCGCCAACUAACCCAGACACGCGCACAUACAUGUGCUGACACACCCUGCCACGGGCCCGACGCGGUUACCGACCGGCGCCCGACGCGACCAUCUCGCGCACAGAUGCGCUCUGGCACGGCCGUGGCUUAUUUGUCUAACACACUCCCCGUUUCGAAAUACCCAUCAACUUAUUUUCGUGAAUUGUUUUUCUUCAAUCUUCAGAUAAAUGCCCUUGUCAUAUUAUGAUUCCAGAAAGUCGUAAGUGGAAAAAGACUUCCAAUCUUGAGUUUAGGCCUCCACAUUUUCACGUUGCCAUGCAAAGGUAGGCAGGGAUCUGACCAUUGAGACGAUGAACGAUCUCUCAGUUCCCGGAAAAAGGAAGCACCGAGACACUCUCUCCAUGACAAGACACUCUCUCCAUUCAGCCUCUCCUUUCUGUAAUUCAAGAUCAUAACAUUUGUGUUGCAACAUUUGGUGAGAAAAGAACAAAAGCAAAAAACAGCAACACCACCCGCGGUUUUGCUCACCUCUCAUGGAAGGUACCUUGGGCCGCGGCACCAGCAGACACGCACAUUGACAUCGCCAGAUCAAAUGGCGUAGCUGCAGAAAUUAAGGAGUAGAAGUAGCGCAUGCACACACGCACGGGGAGAGCGCCUUUGACCUCUGGACCGCAAGACUUCCACUCCUUCCCUUGACCCCUCUACCCCUAUAAAUAGACGCCCUUCCUCCAGUCCUUCUCACCACUCCUCUGAAUCCGGAUUGUUCAGUAACUUCAGUUGUGUCCUAAGACGAGGAAGCUAAUAGAGGUUUUGGGUUGUGUUCUUAGAUGGCUGUGAGGUUUGUGCUGAUUUAUUUUUUAAUCAGUAUUUUUCUUGAUGUCGUUUGCUUUUCUAGGUGGGAAGAAGUUCGGAGAACAUGGCCACGAUGGGUGGGGACCGAAGGCAGAUGAUGGAGGAUGCGGCGGAGCGCAAGUUUCCCGAGGGUUUACGCAUCCUCGUCGUUGACGACGCCCGCGUCUUCCAACGUGAGUCUCUUGAUCUCUCCACUUCGCCAUAGUCCACUAGAAUCGGGGCCUUGUGAUCUAUUUGUUUCUCUGCGAAUAAUGCUUGCCGCUAUGCAGCAACGACGGUGAUGGAUGGAAAGACGGCGCUGAGGAUGCUCAUGGCGGGGAAGCAGCAGUUUGACCUGUCAUCACCGACGUGUGCAUGCCAGACAUGGACGGCUUCAAGCUUCUCGAGCUCAUCCGCCUCGAGAUGGAUCUACCGGUCAUCAGUACUCUCACUGCUCUCAAUCCAAAGUCCAAUUUUUGAGUUUUGCAUCCAUGAGCAGCACUGACAAUUGUUUUUAAGAACCUCCUCAAUCUUAUUGAUACCCUGAGAGGAUAUUAAUUUCUUUGCGCAGCGUGUGAAAUCCUAUAUAUUUAGGAUGAUUUUAUGAAACCACAUACACAUGCACACAAUCUGCAUUCUAUUUCUAACCUGAAAAAGUUCGAAAGAACGGUAUCCCCACUGAGUCCGAACCAACGGGGUCUCAUCUAACCGUUCAUCCAUCCGAUCGGCCGGCGAGUGGGGUAGGAGAGCGGAGGUGGAGCGACACAUGAGUUAGUAGGGGAUGUAGUGUCCGUUUCUGGCCCAAACCAAUGGGAUCCUAUCUAACCAUCCGCCCGAUCGGAUGGAUAGUGGGGUAGGAGAGUGGAGGUGGAGCGACACAUGAGUUAGUAGGGGACACAUUAUCGGUUUCUUGCCAAAACCAAUGGCAUGAAUACUACAAUUAAGAAAUACCUAUGUUGUAUUGAUACUAUUAAAGAUUACUACUCAUCUUCAUUCUCCUUAAAGUUGUUACUCCUUAUGACUAUUUACUUUCGAGAAUAGCAUAUGAAGUACAAGUGCCACUUUUAAGUACAUACAUCGAGUAGGUUAACCAUGGGUAAUACCUACAAUACUACAUAUUUGUUGACUUUGAACGCGCACACUAAUUUUUAGUCAAAUUACUUUCACAGAAAGUGCAACCACGCAUACUUAUUUUCCUGAAUCUCUACUAUUAAUGCCCAAAAAUCAUCCCAGAAAAUUCUUGACCAUUCUUUGCCUCACCCACAGCUGCAUGCAAUUAAUCAGCUAUAUAGUUAAUUACACAUGUCAAUUAUCCAGACAUUAAUUUACGGAAAGUAUCAUCGAGCAUUGGGCGAGAGGACCACGUUAAUUAUGGAAAGUAUCAUUCGCUGGACGGGAGUAUCUCGUUAAUUAUGAAAAGUAUUAUCAAGCACUAGACGGGUGGACCACAUUAAUUAUGGAAAUUAUCAUGUAGAAUAUGUAUGCCCCAUGGCAAGCACGGACAAUUAGCUAGCCAUAAUAAAAAAAGCUAUUGACAAUGGUGCUUAAUGUUUAAAAUCUAAUAUGAGUGUGAUCACUUAAAGUGCUUAGAGCGUUACAUGGGCCGAUAGAUGUUACCUAGUAUGGUAGAGAAACAUGGUUGACUGCCAAUAAUAGUACUUGAUCUUCAAGUUCAUCAAUAGUUAGACACGAUGAUGUGAUUUCCCUACAUGGAACAUGUUGUGAUAUGGCUUAGGCAUUGUGUUACUGUUAUUGUUUUAGCCAUUGUUUUCAUAUCUUCCUAUUGAAUGUGUAAAAAAAUCCCAUUUAGUUUGCAUUGAAGCAGAAUUAUAAAACUGAACAUCAACAUGCUUUUUCUGUCUAUAGGCACUUUGACCAAGACAUAUCUCCAUAGAUUUUGUGAAUUUCUGAAUUCGAAAUCUAAGUCAUUGGUCAUAUGGCAUGCAGUGCUAUCCGUCGAUUGCGACAAGAAGGUUGCGAUGAAGGGGAUAUAUCAUGGCGCGUCCGACUUUAUGGUGAAGCCAGUGCGUACACAUGAGCUCAAAAACAUAUGGCAAUAUGUUCAAAGGUGGAGAAAUCCCAAAGCAAUAAGCCACAUCAGCGAUCAUGACAGUGAUGUGCAAAGAGUUCAACCAGCGACUGCUGACAAGAGUAAGUACUCGCGGAAUAAGACAAAUGUUGGAGAUGAUUCUAGCGAGAACAAUGAGAGCACAUAUAUAUCUGCCACCCACAGAAAGCCCAGGGUGACAUGGACAAUUCAGCUGCAUAACAAGUUUCUAGAAGCUAUCAACCAGAUCAGCCUUGAUAGUAAGAAUUCACAUCUUGUGCCUCAUUCAUCGACAAUACUGGUGGCUCCUCAAUAUUUUCAUUAUAAUUUUAUAUUACAUAAUUGUAGGGGCUGUUCCAAAAAAGGUAUUGGAGCUGAUGAAUGUGGAUUACCUCAGUAGAGAGAAUAUGGCGAGUCAUCUAUGAGUUUAUUUUUGACCUUUAUGCUUAAUUUCUAUGUUUCUGUUACUAUUAUUUGUAGUCUAACAUUUUGUUAUAUAUAAGUGCAAGAUUUUACUUUUUGGGGAACAUAUUUGUCAAAGCUCUAGUAAUGCAACUAUCAUGAAGUGUAAUUUUCAUUAAUUGUGUCCCUUAAAAUGCGAGGCUUAUCUCACAUAAUGCAUGCCCAUAUUUUUAGGAGUUACUUUUACCCAUGCGACAUCUUCAGUUCUUUUUGUACUCACAUGUUUACCAUUAUUUCGUUCUGAUGAGCAUCCAUCUCAUACCUUGUUAUUUUCUCUAUCUUUUUAAUUCAGAAGUAUAGAUUGCACUUAAAAAGAGUCAAGUCAAAUCCCUCUCGUGAUGCAUAUGAAAGAAGGAACUCAUCGUACAACAUGAACAACAAGGUUAAUUUCAUGCAUAAUCAUGAACAUGGAAGAUGGAGUGUGUCCUCUGGCAACACUGCCUCUUGGAGUACAAACAAUUAUGGUGCAACGGGUCACUUGGCUCCGCCGAUGAACAUCCAAAGCAACUUCAACAUGGGGUCAUACCUCCAUGAUAGUAGAAUUCCGAGGUAUGUUGGGAAACAACCGUCAGAUGCGAGAAUAUUCACAGGUUUUCGUGACCCUCACGUCAGCCUAUACAACAACAUACCCAAUGAGAUAAUGUUAGAUGAAUUUCCUUCAUUCAAUUAUAGUAAUUCCUAUGCUGGCUUCAUGUGUGGCAAGCUAAUGGAGAUAAGCAAAGGCAAAGGAUCUUCCAAUCUUCAAAGUUCAUUUGCAAACACAACAGUUGGUGGCGGGAGCUCUCUUAUCGCAUCACAGGUGAACUUCCCACGGAUCAACCAGCUAGAGAACUAUGCAAUGUCAUCUGGCUGGUGUCAGGACCCCGACUCGAUGUCACAUCGAUCUAGCCGGUAACACCUCAUAUCACUUUGCGGCCUCACGCACGGUAUCCCCACGGGUGUCGUCUUACCUUUUCCCGGGACCGUUUGCGCCUUUUGGCUCACGUAUAUGAUAGUGUCGCUAGCAUCCAUAUGAUAAGGAGCCCGGGCUGACAUGACUAGUCGUAAACCCAAAGUGGCACAGACUUACAGGGACAGGCAUCCAUGACCCAGCUUCGAACGUGUCGGUCAUCAGCAAGUGGGUCCGGGCUGUAGCACUGGGCUAGCAGGACUCCGGUAAACCGGGCUGUAGCGGGCUAACAGGACUCCGGUACUCAAAGCGUGACAUUUCCCCGAAGGGACAGACACAGGAACGAAGAAGGACACAUGCCGGCCAGCCUAAGUGUUCCAGAGCAGUAGCAAGCUACCAUGGCUCAGCGGUAACACUAGGAGACAUUUCCCGGUAAGAGAGGCUACUAAAGAUAAACAACUAGAUAGUCAGAUCCCACACAUAGCACUACACAUUACACGUACGCAUAACAUGCAAGUAUGUGCUGUACAACAUGGCAUCAGAGCAUAACUCAACAAUUAUAUAGAUAAGGUUCAGAAGAGCCAUCAUAGCAUUAUUGCAAAUAGGGGUCACAAGACCCGUCAUACAGAGCAUACAAGCAACAAGCGGAAGCAUUACAUGUCUGGGUACAGACAUCUAUAAAUGAAAAAGGCUGAAGAGCCUGACUAUCUACAACAUCCGAUCAAGAUCGUAGCUGAGGUACUAGCUACUAGUCGAAGUCCACAAGAACACUAGUAAGACCGAAGUCUCCGCUGCAAAAACAUAAAUAAAGCAACAUGAGUACAAAGGUACUCAGCAAGACUUACAUCAGAUCCUAUCAUACAUGCAUUGGUAUCAAGAGGGUAAUUUGGGGUUUAGUUGCAGCAAGCCAGCUUUGACUCUGUGGCUAUCCUAUUCUACGACUACCAGAAACUCUUGAGGUGAAACAACGUACACGAGUCCACUAAUCACCACACAAUACGCUACUAUGGAUUCAUCCCCGUCUCCCUACGAGAAGGCCAUCCAUAGCACUCACACUUGUCUUGAGCAUUUUAUAGUAUCCACUUCAAGUUGUCUAUGUACCAUGUAAGCAUCCAAGAAGUCCAUAACCGCGGACCCGGCUAUUCGAAUAGAUCAUGUUAACCCUGCAGGGGUGUACUUCUUCACACACGCUCUCGCCACUUACCGCCAUGUACACGUCAUGUAUCUCGGCAACCUUCAAGCGGAAGCCUGGCGAGGGUGUCGGCCACGACCUGACUAACCACACAAGACUCUAGUCCAGGUUUAUCGCCUAUUCGGGUUCCAUCCGCAAGGAGAUCCGGCCGGGGUGUCGCUUACGGCCCCAAACGAUGUGAGCAGGGUUCCCGAGCCCACCAACCGGGUGCCACUCGGUACACCGUGCCACGUGUGCCUAGUCUGUCCCAAGCCCACCCUGCCGGGUGCCACUUGGUAGAAAAAUAGCACUACCUACAAACACCAGAAACUAGUUGCGACUCCUGGACAGAGACCAAGUUGGUUAAUAAGUCGAGAGGGCUUGGAGCGCCCGGAGCCCAAUGUGUGGUAGUAUCGAGUCAUUGGACAACAUACACAGAACUCAGGGCUUAAGGACGGUUCCAGUGAGACAACCCACCAUGUACUCCUACAUGGCCUCUCACCGCUACCUUUACCAAAUCGUGUUCACACACUUCACUCUCAGCAUCAGAACACAUCGUGACACUCCAAUUCAUUCCCAAUGAAUCAGACCUGACACAACUCUAAGCAAUAGCAGGCAUGGCAUGGUAGGAACACAACAAUGGCUUCAAUCAACUCCUACACAUGCUAGUGGGUUUCAACUAUUUACUGUGGCAAUGACAGGUCAUGCAGAGGAAUGGGUUCAACUACCGCAACACAAAGUAGCAGAUGAAUCGUUGUUGUCCUAAUGCAAUAACUGAGAGCAGGAGCGAGAGAGUAGGGUUUUAUCGAAAUGAACAAGGGGGGUUUGCUUGCCUGGUAAAACAACAAGGAAGGCACUGCUUCACGGACAGGUACUCUGGAACGUCUCCGGAGCAGGACCUAUCGAGAAAGAACGGUGCCGGCAAUCAAAACACAAUCAUAUGCAACAAUAUGAUGCAUGAACAUGGCAUGUAGAUGUGACGCUGUUGAGCUAAUGCAACUAGUGUUCACUUGGUUUGAAGUCCAUUUGAACCAAAGGUUCAAAUGCAUUUCUAAAUUAAGUCUCUUAUAUAUGCCAUAAUGUGUUUUCCCAUAUUCAGCAUGUAUAAGUUGGUUUUUCAUGCAUGAAACUAGUACAGAUGGAAAGAUGGCAUUUUUCUGAUAAUUUUUCAUAUAUAAAUUAUUUCAAUCUGAGCUACGGUUGAAUUUCUAUGAAUUUUUGAAGUUUAAAUCAAUUUCUGGAAUUUUCCUGAUUUAAUUAAAUCCAGAAUUUAUAUACUGCGCCAGCAUGACGUCAGCACGACGUCAGCGGGUCAACGCGGCUGUCCAGGUCAAACCUGACGUGUGGGACCCACACGUCAGUGACAGGGGGGGUUAACAGGGUUAAUUUAAUUUAAUAAAAAGGUUAAGGGGGGUCGGGCCCACUGGUCAGCGUCAGGGGGGGGUUAGUCAACGGUGAUUAGCACUAAGCUAAUCACCUGACGGGCCGGCCCCACCUGGCAGGACUCAGGCGACGGGGGCUCGUCGCCGGCGACCUCUGGACGCGGCGGAGUCCGCGCCACAGGCCACGGGGACGGCGUCUGAGAGCACCGGGGCGUAGCCCGGGCUCUCGCGCAUCUGAUAGGGUAGGUGGAGGGAGCGGGGACGGCCGGAGCUCGCCGGAGCGAAGCUCGGGGCGGCGGCCGGAGUUCGGCCGCGAGCGGGAUCGGGCUGCGGGGCACGGGGAGGCCACCUGAGGGGCCCGGCGGCACCCUCGUGGCACCAGGAACGCGGAGGGAGGCUUGGUUUGGGCGGAGGCGGGCCGAGACGGCGGCGGCGACGUGGACGGCGGCGAGGGGCUUCGGCCGUGGUGGGGAGCGGCGCUACGGCACGGGAACGGGAGGGAGAAGAGAGGGGAACGGCGGCGGAGCUCACCGCGAUCACGCAGAGCAGCACAGCAGGGUCGGGGAGGACCUGGUGACGGCGAAUCGACGUCGGCGGACGGCGGAGCCCGAGGAGGAAGACGGUGGCGAUGGCGGCUACACAGGGCGUCCGGGGGUUCGUGGCUCGACGAGGAGGUGGAGGGGGUUGUGGCGGAGCUCGGAAGCAUGUCAGGGAGGCGAGGGGAGGCCGGUGGCCAUGGCAACGGCGAGCGAUGGCGACGGCUGCGCUCGGGUGCGCUCGGGGAAGAGAGAACCAGGGAGGAGGGAGAGCGAGAGGGAGGGGAAAAGGACCGGGGCGGCUGCGUGGCGACGUUCCGGACGUCCAGGCGUCGAGGGGGAGGACAGGCAGGCAGGUGCCGUGGCGGCACGGCGGUGCGCACGCGCCGGCCACACGCCCCUGGCCUCCUGGCGCGAGGAGGGGGACGACUGGCGCUAGCCAGUCGGCUGGGCCGGCCAGCUGGGCCGCACAGGGGAGGGGAGGCCCAGGUAAGUCCCUCCUUCCUUUUAUUUCUGUUUUCUAAUUUUUCUGACAUUUGUUUUGAUUUAAUAAAUAUAUUAAAUCAUUUAAUUUUAUUAUGCCAAUUUUUGCAGGAGCUGGAUAUAUUAUUCCAGAGCUCUUUUAUAAAUGGCAUAAUUUUUGGGCCAUAUUUCAUAUAUAUAGAAAUAUAUUUCCAAUGCAAAUAUUUAUCGAAUUAAUCCAAAUGGCCAAAAUAAAUGUCCAUGAGCUCCUAAAAAUAUUGUUUUGAUUUUUAUCUCUGUCCAAUAUUUUCAGAGGGCAACAUGAGCAUUUUCUUGGACCCUUUUGGAGAAAUUUUUAUUUGGGUCAUUUUCAAAAAUGAUUCUGAGGGUUCCACCAAUCCUCAUUUCAAAUUUAAAUGAAAUUUAAAUAUGAUGCACAAAUGGCUAGCUAGUCUAAGUCAUACCAGACUAGGGAUGUGACAACUCGCCCCCACUUGAAAGAAUCUCGUCUCGAGAUUCAGGGGUCGACGGAAAGAAAGCGGGGUACUCCAGUCGAAGACGAUCUUCUCGCUCCCAAGUAGCCUCUCGCUCGGAAUGAUGAGACCACUGAACUUUGAGAAACUUGAUGUUCUGACGUCGGGUAACACGCUCUGCUUGAUCAAGAAUGCGAACCGGGUACUCUCGGUAUGUGAGGUUAUCUUGGAGAUCAAGCGUUUCGUGGUCCACUUCGCGGAUAGGAUCCGAGAAGCAACGCCUGAGUUGAGAGACGUGGAAGACAUCAUGAACUCUGGAGAGAUGCGGAGGUAGCUCCAAUUGGUAGGCAACCUCUCCUCGUUUAGCGAGAAUGCGAAAAGGACCAAUGUAACGAGGAGCCAACUUGCCCUUGAUACCGAAACGAUGGGUACCCUUCAAAGGAGUAACCCGAAGGUAAGCUUGGUCGCCAAUUUCAUAGGUCAUAUCCUUAUGAUGACGAUCGUACUGACUUUUCUGACGAGACUGGGCUGUUUUCAAAUUCUCACGAAUGAUGCGAACUUGCUCUUCUGCCUCCUGGAUCAUAUCCGGUCCAAAGAAUUGUCUUUCACCGGUUUCUGACCAGUUCAAAGGUGUUCGACAUCUUCGUCCAUAGAGAACCUCAAAAGGAGCUUGCUUGAGGCUGGAUUGGUAGCUAUUGUUAUAGGCAAACUCGGCAAAAGGAAGACAUUUCUCCCAAUCCAUACCGAAUGAGAUAACGCAAGCUCGGAGCAUGUCUUCGAGAAUUUGAUUGACCCGUUCCACCUGACCACUCGACUGAGGGUGGAAAGCGGUACUGAAGGAAAGAUGGGUUCCCAUGGCAGUUUGGAAACUCUCCCAGAAAUGAGAAGUGAAAAGACUGCCACGGUCUGAAUUGAUCUCUAGUGGAACACCAUGAAGUGACACUAUUCGAGAAAUAUAUAAGUCAGCAAGCUGACUAGCAGUGAUAUUUUCUCGAACAGGGAGGAAGUGAGCCACUUUGGAAAGACGAUCAAUGACUACGAAGAUAGCAUUAUUCCCUCUUUUGGUCCUGGGAAAGCCGGUGACGAAGUCCAUACCAACUUUAUCCCAUUUCCAUUCAGGAAUAGCUAAAGGCUGAAGGGUGCCAGCAGGUCUUUGAUGCUCUGCCUUAACGCGACGACAAAUGUCACAUUUAGCAAUGAACUCAGCGAUUUCUCUCUUCAUCCUAGUCCACCAGAACCUCUGGCGUAGGUCCUGAUACAUCUUAGUACUACCGGGAUGAAUCGUGAGAGGGGAUUCAUGCGCCUCCUUAAGAAUCAAUUGCCGAAGAUGUUGCUUCUUGGGAACCACCAAGCGAUUCUCAAAGAAAACAACACCACGAUCAUCAACAGAGAAACUACCAGCAACUCCCUUCUUAACGUUAUCCUUGAUACGAGAAAUACCCGUAUCAUAUUGCUGGCUAGUUAUGAUCUGAUCCUCAAGGGUAGGUUUCGCCACCAAGGUAGAAAGGAAUCCGUGAGGAGCAAUGUGAAGGUUAAGCUUACAGAAUUCCUCAUGGAGAAGUGGUUGGCCUUGCUGCAACAUGAGAUUGUUGCAAUAGGAUUUACGGCUUAGAGCAUCAGCCAUGACAUUGGCUUUGCCUGGGGUGUAGGUAAUCCCUAGAUCAUAAUCUGUGAUUAACUCCAACCAACGUCUUUGCCUAAGGUUCAGAUCCGGUUGGGUGAAGAUAUACUUGAGACUCUGGUGAUCGGUGUAGAUCUCGCAACGUUUACCAAGUAGGUAAUGUCGCCAGGUCUUGAGUGCAUAGACUACGGCUGCAAGCUCUAGAUCAUGUGUAGGAUAAUUCUCCUCAUGUGGAUGCAACUGUCGAGAUGCAUAGGCAAUCACAUGACGAUCCUGCAUAAGAAUGCAACCUAGUCCCUGUCGUGAGGCGUCGCAGUAGAUAAUAAAGUCUUUAGUGAAAUCCGGUGGCACAAGUAUGGGAGCAGAAGUCAGGCGCCUUUUCAGUUCCUGAAAACUGUACUCACACUGUGGGGACCACUCAAACUUUUUAUCUUUCUUGAGAAGUUCCGUGAGGGGUUUGGCUACUUUGGAGAAGUUUUCAACAAAGCGGCGACAAUAGCUGGCUAGACCAAGGAAACUCCUAACUUGUUUGACUGUUUCAGGUGGAGUCCAAUCGAGAACGGCUUGAACUCUCUCGGGAUUGACAGCAAUGCCCUUACCAGAGAUUACGUGGCCUAGGUAGGUCACUUCUGGCAACCAAAAUUCACACUUGGAGAACUUGGCAUAAAGGCGGUGCUCUCUGAGUUUUUCUAAAAUAAGUCUAAGAUGUUCGGCAUGCUCUUCCUCGUUCUUCGAGUAAAUAAGAAUAUCAUCGAGAUAAACCACGACGAACUUAUCUAAGUACUCCAUGAAGAUCGAGUUCAUCAAACGGGAGAAUGUGGCUGGGGCAUUGGUUAGACCAAAGGACAUGACGGUGUACUCGUACUGACCAUAACGAGUAACAAAAGCUGUCUUGGGAAUGUCCCCAUUUCUGAUCUUGAUUUGGUGGUAGCCUAACCUUAAAUCCAUCUUGGAGAAGACUGAGGAUCCAGCGAGCUGAUCAUACAGGUCGUUGAUCCUGGGAAGCGGAUACUUGUUCUUUAUCGUGACCAAAUUAACGGGACGAUAAUCUACAACCAUCCGGUCCGUACCGUCUUUCUUCUUGACAAAGAGGACGGGGCAAGCCCAAGGAGAAGAACUAGGACGGAUGAAACCCUUUUGUAAGGACUCAUCGAGUUGUUUCUUAAGCUCGGCUAGUUCUAGGGGUGCCAUCUUGUAAGGUCUCCGGGAGAUUGGAGCUGUUCCUGGGAUAAGAUCUAUGACGAACUCUACAUCUCUGUCAGGUGGAACACCUGGCAGUUCCUCUGGAAAGACAUCCGGAAAGUCACGGACUACCGGGAUAUCUUCAAGGUCUGGAAGAGGGCUGGCAUUAAGAGAAUAGAGCUGACGCUUUGCAACUCUAGUGGAGACGGUGACUAUCUUGCCAGACGGGUGUGUAAGCUGAACAGAUCUUGUGUAACAAUCAAUCUUGGCAUGAUGAGCUGUCAUCCAAUCCAUACCCAAGAUGAUGUUAAUAUCUGAAGACUUGAGGGCUACAAGCGAUGCAAGGAAUACAAGCCUGUCAACAAGGAUUUCGUUACCAUGGCUUACACUAGAGGUUUGCCAUUUGGAUCCAGGAGUUUGGAUGACUAGCGGAGUUGGCAUAUCACAAAAUGACAUGUUGUGCAAGUUAGCAUAGCUUUCAGAAAUGAAGGAGUGAGAUGCUCCAGUAUCGAAUAGAACUGAUGCUGGGUGACAAUUGACAAGGAGUGUACCAAGAACGACAUCUGGAUCAUCAUGAGCGUCUUUAGCUGAGACGUGAUGCACACGUCCACGUUCAGUGGAAACUGACUUGGCACUGAUCAUCUUGCGUGAUGGCUUAAUACAGCCAACAGUCUUCUCAGGCUGGGGUGGAGCAUAACUAGUUUGAGAGCAAUUACGUGCAUAGUGUCCUGGCUUCCCGCAUGUGAAGCAAGUCCCUGAGGUUGGACGGGGACCCGCACUAACAAGCGGUCUACCAGUAGGCCUGGGUGGAACAUACGACUGAGCUGGGGAAGGCACCACAUAGGACGGCCUCGGUGCAUAACCGGAAGGAAGAGCGGAGUUUGGAACCCAAAUCCGGCGUUUCAGGGAACUAGAGCCAGAGGAGGAUCCCAAAUCACGGGUGUGCUUACGAGACUCCUCGUAAGUGAGUUGAGCUGUCUCUGCAUUGAUGGCCUUGUUUACAAGGGCUUGGAAUGUAUCACAAUGAUGCAGGUGGAGAUCACGACGCAACUUGGGGUUGAGACCCUUCCGGAACCUAGCCUGCUUCUUAGCAUCCGUGGACACUUCUUCUGUGGCAUAGCGGGCAAGGUUCUCGAACUCUCUGCUAUAAGCAUCAACAGCCAUCUUACUCUGGGUGAAACUACAGAACUCUUCUCUCUUGCGAUCAAUAAGGGCCUGGGGAAAGUGAUGCUCGCGAAAAGCCUCAGUGAAAUCCAUCCAGGUAGGAAUCUGGCCAGCUGGAAGCAUAGCCUCAUAGUUCUGCCACCAAAGACUAGCAGGACCUUCCAGGUGAUAUGUGGCAUAAGUGACCUUGUCAUCCUCAGCUACGUUCGCGGAACGCAGCUUAUGAGUGAUGCUACGGAGCCAGUCAUCUGCAUCGAGUGGCUCGAUGGAAUGAUGAAAGGUAGGUGGGUGCAAGCGGAUAAAAUCAUGAAUGGUCACAGAACCCUUGAACUGAUGUGCGGUGUUCUCCUCGAUACGUGCCAACAAGUGGUUGGACUCACGCUUGUUCCUCUCCAUCUCUAGCAUGAACUCUGUCAACGAAGGCUGAUCGGGAGGAUCCUCAUCCCUACCAUCUCCGUGGUUCUGGCUACGAGCAACGGAACUUUGCUUAGCCGAUGACAUCCUGAGAAACGAACCAAGGACGGAAUCAGCAUCAACUAAAGACUGUGGAAUGUAGGACAAGGAGUUAGUAUCACUCGAACUCUUAGGGAAAAUCCGGCAGCAUAACGGCAGUAAAAUGCUCAGAAUGAGACAUCCUACUAAAAAUGGGGUAGUACAACAACUCAACAUCACCACUCAAGGUUCUGGGAUAGUACUAAACAGACUACACCGGAAGUACUCAAAACUGGGGUAUGACUCUGAUCAACCAGUCCUAUGGGACUACGGAGUAGUAACACGUGAUCCUGAUAGACGGAAGAGAAGCCUAGUUCCUUAAUCCCGUCGGAAAGAUAGGAUGACUCAGAUCAGAAGACCAUGAGGUAAAGGAGUAAAAAGAGCCUUACGUUCCUUCCCACAAUCAAUUCCCUUACAUAACUAAAGAUUUUCUAGACUCAACUUCGACCAGUUUGGCUUGGUAAUCCUACAGGCAGUCAAGCUCUGAUACCAAGGCUGUCAGGACCCCGACUCGAUGUCACAUCGAUCUAGCCGGUAACACCUCAUAUCACUUUGCGGCCUCACACACGGUAUCCCCACGGGUGUCGUCUUACCUUUUCCCGGGACCGUUUGCGCCUUUUGGCUCACGUAUAUGAUAGUGUCGCUAGCAUCCAUAUGAUAAGGAGCCCGGGCUGACAUGACUAGUCGUAAACCCAAAGUGGCACAGACUUACAGGGACAGGCAUCCAUGACCCAGCUUCGAACGUGUCGGUCAUCAGCAAGUGGGUCCGGGCUGUAGCACUGGGCUAGCAGGACUCCGGUAAACCGGGCUGUAGCGGGCUAACAGGACUCCGGUACUCAAAGCGUGACAUUUCCCCGAAGGGACAGACACAGGAACGAAGAAGGACACAUGCCGGCCAGCCUAAGUGUUCCAGAGCAGUAGCAAGCUACCAUGGCUCAGCGGUAACACUAGGAGACAUUUCCCGGUAAGAGAGGCUACUAAAGAUAAACAACUAGAUAGUCAGAUCCCACACAUAGCACUACACAUUACACGUACGCAUAACAUGCAAGUAUGUGCUGUACAACAUGGCAUCACAACAUAACUCAACAAUUAUAUAGAUAAGGUUCAGAAGAGCCAUCAUAGCAUUAUUGCAAAUAGGGGUCACAAGACCCGUCAUACAGAGCAUACAAGCAACAAGCGGAAGCAUUACAUGUCUGGGUACAGACAUCUAUAAAUGAAAAAGGCUGAAGAGCCUGACUAUCUACAACAUCCGAUCAAGAUCGUAGCUGAGGUACUAGCUACUAGUCGAAGUCCACAAGAACACUAGUAAGACCGAAGUCUCCGCUGCAAAAACAUAAAUAAAGCAACAUGAGUACAAAGGUACUCAGCAAGACUUACAUCAGAUCCUAUCAUACAUGCAUUGGUAUCAAGAGGGUAAUGUGGGGUUUAGUUGCAGCAAGCCAGCUUUGACUCUGUGGCUAUCCUAUUCUACGACUACCAGAAACUCUUGAGGUGAAACAACGUACACGAGUCCACUAAUCACCACACAAUACGCUACUAUGGAUUCAUCCCCGUCUCCCUACGAGAAGGCCAUCCAUAGCACUCACACUUGUCUUGAGCAUUUUAUAGUAUCCACUUCAAGUUGUCUAUGUACCAUGUAAGCAUCCAAGAAGUCCAUAACCGCGGACCCGGCUAUUCGAAUAGAUCAUGUUAACCCUGCAGGGGUGUACUUCUUCACACACGCUCUCGCCACUUACCGCCAUGUACACGUCAUGUAUCUCGGCAACCUUCAAGCGGAAGCCUGGCGAGGGUGUCGGCCACGACCUGACUAACCACACAAGACUCUAGUCCAGGUUUAUCGCCUAUUCGGGUUCCAUCCGCAAGGAGAUCCGGCCGGGGUGUCGCUUACGGCCCCAAACGAUGUGAGCAGGGUUCCCGAGCCCACCAACCGGGUGCCACUCGGUACACCGUGCCACGUGUGCCUAGUCUGUCCCAAGCCCACCCUGCCGGGUGCCACUUGGUAGAAAAAUAGCACUACCUACAAACACCAGAAACUAGUUGCGACUCCUGGACAGAGACCAAGUUGGUUAAUAAGUCGAGAGGGCUUGGAGCGCCCGGAGCCCAAUGUGUGGUAGUAUCGAGUCAUUGGACAACAUACACAGAACUCAGGGCUUAAGGACGGUUCCAGUGAGACAACCCACCAUGUACUCCUACAUGGCCUCUCACCGCUACCUUUACCAAAUCGUGUUCACACACUUCACUCUCAGCAUCAGAACACAUCGUGACACUCCAAUUCAUUCCCAAUGAAUCAGACCUGACACAACUCUAAGCAAUAGCAGGCAUGGCAUGGUAGGAACACAACAAUGGCUUCAAUCAACUCCUACACAUGCUAGUGGGUUUCAACUAUUUACUGUGGCAAUGACAGGUCAUGCAGAGGAAUGGGUUCAACUACCGCAACACAAAGUAGCAGAUGAAUCGUUGUUGUCCUAAUGCAAUAACUGAGAGCAGGAGCGAGAGAGUAGGGUUUUAUCGAAAUGAACAAGGGGGGUUUGCUUGCCUGGUAAAACAACAAGGAAGGCACUGCUUCACGGACAGGUACUCUGGAACGUCUCCGGAGCAGGACCUAUCGAGAAAGAACGGUGCCGGCAAUCAAAACACAAUCAUAUGCAACAAUAUGAUGCAUGAACAUGGCAUGUAGAUGUGACGCUGUUGAGCUAAUGCAACUAGUGUUCACUUGGUUUGAAGUCCAUUUGAACCAAAGGUUCAAAUGCAUUUCUAAAUUAAGUCUCUUAUAUAUGCCAUAAUGUGUUUUCCCAUAUUCAGCAUGUAUAAGUUGGUUUUUCAUGCAUGAAACUAGUACAGAUGGAAAGAUGGCAUUUUUCUGAUAAUUUUUCAUAUAUAAAUUAUUUCAAUCUGAGCUACGGUUGAAUUUCUAUGAAUUUUUGAAGUUUAAAUCAAUUUCUGGAAUUUUCCUGAUUUAAUUAAAUCCAGAAUUUAUAUACUGCGCCAACAUGACGUCAGCACGACGUCAGCGGGUCAACGCGUCUGUCCAGGUCAAACCUGACGUGUGGGACCCACACGUCAGUGACAGGGGGGGUUAACAGGGUUAAUUUAAUUUAAUAAAAAGAUUAAGGGGGGUCGGGCCCACUGGUCAGCGUCAGGGGGGGGGUUAGUCAACGGUGAUUAGCACUAAGCUAAUCACCUGACGGGCCGGCCCCACCUGGCAGGGCUCAGGCGACGGGGGCUCGUCGCCGGCGACCUCUGGACGCGGCGGAGUCCGCGCCACAGGCCACUGGGACGGCGUCUGAGAGCACCGGGGCGUAGCCCGGGCUCUCGCGCAUCUGGUGGAACAGAGGGGAGGAGCGGGGACGGCCGGAGCUCGCCGGAGCAAGGCUCGCGGCGGCGGCCGGGGUUCGGGCGCGAGCGGGAUCGGGCUGCGGGGCACGGGGAGGCCACCUGAGGGGCCCGGCGGCACCCUCGUGGCACCAGGAACGCGGAGGGAGGCUUGGUUUGGGCGGAGGCGGGCCGAGACGGCGGCGGCGACAUGGACGGCGGCGAGGGGCUUCGGCCGUGGUGGGGAGCGGCGCUACGGCACGGGAACGGGAGGGAGAAGAGAGGGGAACGGUGGAGGAGCUCACCGCGGAUCCAGCGAGCGCGAAGGCGAGGUCGGGGAUGCCCGGAAGCUCCCGAAUUGACGGCGAGUACCCACGGCGGCCGGAGGUGAGGAUGGCGACGGCGACGGCUCCACGGGGCUCUCCGGCUUGCGUGGCUCGGCGAGGAAGUAGAGGGGGUCGCGGCGGAGCUCGGGGGCUCUACAGAGGGGCGAGGGGACGGCGGGGAGCGCGUCGGUGGCGAGCUGCGGCGGCGGCGGUGCUUCGGGUGAGAGGGAGAGAGAGCAGGGGAAGAGGAGGAGGGCGAGGGAGAGUGAGAACGGUGCGGGGCAGCGCGUGGCGACGUUCCGGACGUCCAGGCGUCGAGGGGAGGACAGGCAGGCAGGUGCCGUGGCGGCACGGCGGUGCGCACGCGCCGGCCACACGCCUCUGGCCUCCUGGCGGGAGGUGGAGGACGACUGGCGCUAGCCAGUCGGCUGGGCCGGCCAGCUGGGCCGCACAGGGGAGGGGAGGCCCAGGUAAGUCCUCCUUCCUUUUAUUUCUGUUUUCUAUUUUUUUCUGACAUUUGUUUGAUUUAAUAAAUAUAUCAAAUCAUUUAAUUUUAUUAUGCCAAUUUUUGUAGGGGCUAAUGGUAUUAUUCCAGAACUCUUGUAUAAUUGGCAUAAUUUUUGGACCAUAUUUCAUAUAUAUAGAAAUAUAUUUCCAAUGCAAAUAUUUAUCGAAUUAAUCCAAAUGGCCAAAAUAAAUGUCCAUGAGCUCCUAAAAAUAUUGUUUUGAUUUUUAUCUCUGUCCAAUAUUUUUAGAGGGCAUCAUGAGCAUUUUCUUGGACCCUUUUGGAGAAAUUUUUAUUUGGGUCAUUUUCAAAAAUGAUUCUGAGGGUUCCACCAAUCCUCAUUUCAAAUUUAAAUGAAAUUUAAAUAUGAUGCACAAUUGACUAGCUAGUCUAGGUCAUACCAGACUAGGGAUGUGACAGCUGGCUACCUCUACAAAAUGAAAAGACAUGAUUCAUAAGCAACACCACACCAGUGGGAGGCUUCACUGAGCAGAUGGCACCAUUCAACAUGGCAAGCAACACAAGCUCAGUAGGAACGACGUUGAAUGGUAGCUGUGCACUUGAUGCAAGUAGAACUUGACCUAAAGAUACUCAUCGGGUCAACAGUGAAAGAACUACUUCGAUGCCUCACAACCUACAGACAGACGAUUUCAUCCCAUUGGCUCAGCUACUUGAUGGCGGGGAUGGAGCUAGCAUUGUUCCUAUGCAAGAAGGCACACUUGAUCAUCUACCUAUUAAUGAUCAACUGAAUGAAAUCAAUACCUUCUCAAUGGAUGAUCUAUUUCCAACAUGCACAUGGAAGUAAGAACGUUUCUCAUUUGUGUGAAUCUAUGCGCUGCAUAUGAAUUGUUGAAUUGGACAUGUGUACAUUAAUAACACUUUUUCUCAAUGUAGGAUUUCACUGGAGAUGAUGCUAUCUUGGAAGAAGCAUGGUAGUUCUGUAUGUUAGCCCGUCCAACGCGUGAGAUGCUUGAUCAAGAGUAUGAAGCUCGAGCGUCCUGUUUGAGGCAAUAGAGUGCUUUGACAAGUUUGUAAACAUAGUGAUAUGUGUAGCCAUUUUCAUAUACCAGUGGUCCUUGAGAUAUAGUUCCUCUUGUAUAACAUUGAGAAUUGACGUGUUCUGCACAACAAUCAUAAAUACCACCCUUUAGAGACUAUUGUACCUAAUACAAAUCUUAUGAUGGUAGCUUCUAUAAUAGGGUCAGCAUCAUCAUAAUCAAAACAUUAAUGUUUCUUGAAGCCUAUAGUAACAAGGCAUACUUUAUACCUGGGAUUAACUUGUCUGUGGGCCAUCAUGUUUUUACAGCGAGGUGGAGUACUAAGAGCCAUGGGUUACUCUUCAUUAGAGCCUUUUAUUCUUCAUCCAUAACUUUUCUUCAAUUUUUUACUAGACAUGUAGACAUUUUGCAAACGUAGCUUGAAGGAAAUAUGCCCUAGAGGCAAUAAUAAAGUUAUUAUUUAUUUCCUUAUAUCAUGGUAAAUGUUUAUUAUUCAUGCUAGAAUUGUAUUAACCGGAAACAUGAUACAUGUGUGAAUACAUAGACAAACAUAAUGUCACUAGUAUGCCUCUACUUGACUAGCUCGUUUAUCAAAGAUGGUUAUGUUUCCUAGCCAUGGACAAAAGAGUUGUCAUUUGAUUAACGGGAUCACAUCAUUAGGAGAAUGAUGUGAUUGACUUGACCCAUUCCGUUAGCUUAGCACUUGAUCAUUUAGUAUGUUGCUAUUGCUUUCUUCAUGACUUAUACAUGUUCCUGUAACUAUGAGAUUAUGAAACUCCCGUUUACCGGAGGAACACUUUGGGUACUACCAAACGUCACAACGUAACUGGGUGAUUAUAAAGGAGUACUACAGGUGUCUCCGAAGAUACAUGUUGAGUUGGCAUAUUUUGAGAUUAGGUUUUGUCACUCCGAUUGUCGGAGAGGUAUCUCUGGGCCCUCUCGGUAAUGCACAUCACUAUAAGCCUUGCAAGCAAUGUGACCAAUGAGUUGGUUACGGGAUGAUGCAUUACGUAACGAGUAAAGAGACUUGCCAAUGAGGAGAUUGAACUAGGUAUUGGAUACCGACGAUCAAAUCUUGGGCAAGUAACAUACCGAUGACAAAGGAACAACGUAUGUUGUUAUGCGGUUUGACCGAUAAAGAUCUUCGUAGAAUAUGUAGGAGCCAAUAUGGGCAUCCAGGUUCCGCUAUUGGUUAUUGACCAAGAAUAGUUCUAGGUCAUGUCUACAUAGUUCUCGAACCCGUAGGGUCCGCACGCUUAAGGUUUCGAUGACAGUUAUAUUAUGAGUUUAUGAGUUUUGAUGUACCGAAGGAGUUCGGAGUCCCGGAUGAGAUCGGGGACAUGACGAGGAGUCUCGAAAUGGUCGAGACGUAAAGAUCGAUAUAUUAGACGACUAUAUUCGGAGUUCGGAAAGGUUCUGAGUGAUUCAGGUAUUUUCGGGGGUACCGGGGAGUUACGGGAAUACGAGGAAGAAGCAAUGGGCCUCAUGGGCCAAGUGGUGGAAGAGAGGAGGCAGGGCACGCGGCCCCCCUAGCCCAAACCGAAUUGUACUAGGGGACCGGCCCCCCUUUCCUCCUUUUCCUCCCUCUCCUUCCUUCUCCUUCUCCUUCCCUUCCUUCCCCUCUCCUACUUGGACUAGGAAAGAGGGGAAUCCUACUUGGAGUAGGAUUCUCCCCCUUGGGCGCGCCUCCUCCUACUUGGCCGGCCCUCCUCCCCUUGCUCCUUUAUAUAUGGGGGCAGGGGGGCACCCCAUGACACACAAGUUGAUCUACGGAUCGUUCCUUAGCCGUGUGCGGUGCCCCCUCCACCAUAUUCCACCUCGGUCAUAUCGUCGCGGAGUUUAGGCGAAGCCCUGCGUCGGUAGAACAUCAUCAUCGUCACCACGCCGUCGUGCUGACGGAACUCAUCCACGAAGCUUUGCUGGAUCGAAGCCCGGGGAUCGUCAUCGAGCUGAACGUGUGCUGAACUCGGAGGUGCCGUACGUUCGGUGCUUGGAUCGGUCGGAUCGUGAAGACGUACGACUACAUCAACCGGGUUGUGCUAACGCUUCCGCUUACGGUCUACGAGGGUACGUGGACAACGCUCUCCCCUCUCGUUGCUAUGCCAUCACCAUGAUCUUGCGUGUGCGUAGGAAAUUCUUUGAAAUUACUACGUUCCCCAACAGUGGUAUCAGAGCCUGGUUUUAUGCGUAGAUGUCAUAUGCACAAGUAGAACACAAGUGAGUUGUGGGCGAUACAAGUCAUACUGCUUACCAGCAUGUCAUACUUUGGCUCAGCGGUAUUGUGAGAUGAAGCAGCCCGGACCGACAUUACGCGUACGCUUACGCGAGACUGGUUUCACCGUUACGAGCACUCGUGCUUAAAGUUGAUUGGUGGGUGUCUGUCUCUCUCACUUUAGCUGAAUCGAGUGUGGCUACGCCCGGUCCUUGCGAAGGUUAAAACAGCACCAACUUGACGAACUAUCGUUGUGGUUUUUAUGCGUAGGUAAGAACGGUUCUUGCUAAAGCCCGUAGCAGCCACGUAAAAUUUGCAACAACAAAGUAGAGGACGUCUAACUUGUUUUUGCAGGGCAUGUUGUGAUGUGAUAUGGUCAAGACAUGAUGCUAUAUUGUAUUGUAUGAAAUGAUCAUGUUUUGUAAUCGAAGUUAUCGGCAACUGGCAGGAGCCAUAUGGUUGUCACUUUAUUGUAUGAAAUGCAAACGCCCUGUAAUUGCUUUACUUUAUCUCUAAGCGGUAGCGAUAGUCGUAGAAGCAAUAGAUGGCGUAACGAAAACGAUGCUGCAAUGGAGAUCAAGGUGUCGCGCCGGUGACGAUGGUGAUCACGACGGUGCUUCGAAGAUGGAGAUCACAAGCACAAGAUGAUGAUGGCCAUAUCAUAUCACUUAUAUUGAUUGCAUGUGAUGUUUAUGCUUUAUGCAUCUUAUCUUGCUUUGAUUGACGGUAGCAUUUUAAGAUGAUCUCUCACUAAUUAUCAAGAAGUGUUCUCCCUGAGUAUGCACCGUUGCGAAAGUUCUUCGUGCUGAGACACCACGUGAUGAUCGGGUGUGAUAGGCUCUACGUUCAAAUACAACGGGUGCAAAACAGUUGCACACGCGGAAUACUCAGGUUAAACUUGACGAGCCUAGCAUAUACAGAUAUGGCCUCGGAACACGGAGACCGAAAGGUCGAGCAUGAAUCAUAUAGUAGAUAUGAUCAACAUAAUGAUGUUCACCAUUGAAACUACUCCAUCUCACGUGAUGAUCGGACAUGGUUUAGUUGAUUUGGAUCACGUGAUCACUUAGAUGACUAGAGAGAUGUCUGUCUAAGUGGGAGUUCUUAAGUAAUAUGAUUAAUUGAACUUAAAUUUAUCAUGAACUUAGUCCUGGUAGUAUUUUGCAAAUUAUGUUGUAGAUCAAUAGCUUGCGUUGUUGCUUUCAUAUGUUUAUUUUGAUAUGUUCCUAGAGAAAAUUGUGUUGAAAGAUGUUAGUAGCAAUGAUGCAGAUUGGAUCCGUUAUCUGAGGUUUAUCCUCAUUGCUGCACAGAAGAAUUAUGUCCUUAAUGCACCGCUAGGUGACAGACCUAUUGCAAGAGCAGACACAGACGUUAUGAACAUUUGGCUAGCUCAAUAUGAUGACUACUUGAUAGUUUAGUGCACCAUGCUUAACGGCUUAGAAUCGGGACUUCAAAGAUGUUUUGAACGUCAUGGACCAUAUGAGAUGUUCCAGGAAUUGAAGUUAAUAUUUCAAGCAAAUACUCAAGUUGAGAGAUAUGAAGUCUCCAACAAGUUCUAUAGCUAAAAGAUGGAGGAGAAUCGCUCAACUAGUGAGCAUGUGCUCAGAUUGUCUGGGUACUUCAAUCACUUGAAUCAAGUGGGAGUUAAUCUUCCAGAUAAGAUAGUGAUUGACAGAAUUCUCUAGUCACCAUCACUAAGUUACUAGAACUUCGUGAUGAACUAUAGUAUGCAAGGGAUGACGAAAACGAUUCCCGAGCUCUUCGUGAUGUUGAAAUCAACGAAGGUAGAAAUCAAGAAAGAGCAUCAAGUGUUGAUGGUUGACAAGAUCACUAGUUUCAAGAAAAGGGCAAAGGGAAAGAAAGGGAAACUUCAAGUAGAAUGGCAAACAAGUUGUCACUCCCGUGAAGAAGCCCAAAGCUGGACCUAAGCCUGAAACUGAGUGCUUCUACUGCAAAGGAAAUGGUCACUGGAAGUGGAACUACUCCAAAUAUUUGGUGGAUAAGAAGGAUGGCAAAGUGAACAAGGGUAUAUUUGAUAUACAGGUGAUUGAUGUGUGCCUUACUAGUGUUUAUAGUAGCCCCUGAGUAUUUGAUACUUGUUCGGUUGCUAAGAUUAGUAACUCGAAACAGGAGUUACAGAAUAAACAGAGACUAGUUAAGGGUGAAGUGACGAUGUGUGUUGGAAGUGGUUCCAAGAUUGAUAUGAUCAUCAUCGCACACUCCCUAUACUUUCGGGAUUAUUGUUAAACCUAAAUAAAUGUUAUUUGGCGUUUGCGUUGAGCAUGAAUAUGAUUUGAUCAUGUUUAUUGCAAUACGGUUAUUCAUUUAAAGUCAGAGAAUAAUUGUUGUUCUGUUUACAUGAAUAAAACCUUCAAUGGUCAUACACCCAAUGAAAAUAGUUUGUUGGAUCUCGAUCGUAGUGAUACACAUAUUCAUAAUGUUGAAACCAAAAGAUGCAAAGUUAAUAAUGAUAGUGCAACUUAUUUGUGGCACUGCCGUUUGGGUCAUAUCGGUGUAAAGCGCAUGAAGAAACUCCGUAAAGAUGGAUUUUCGGAAUCACUUGGUUAUGAAUCAUUUGAUGCUUGCGAACCGUGCCUAUUGGGCAAGAUGACUAAAACUCCGUUCUCCGGAACAAUGGAACGAGCUACUGACUUAUUGGAAAUAAUACAUACCGAUGUAUGCGAUCCAAUGAGUGUUGAUGCUCGUGGCAAGUAUCAUUACUUUUCUGACCUUCACAGAUGAUUUGAGCAGAUAUGGGUAUGUCUACUUGAUGAAACAUAAGUCUGAAAUAUUUGAAAGGUUCAAAGAAUUUCAGAGUGAAGUGGAAAAAUCAUCGUAACAAGAAAAUAAAGUUUCUGCGAUCUGAUCACGGAGACGAAUAUUUGAGUUACAAGUUUGGUCUUCAAUUAAAACAAUGUGGAAUAGUUUCACAGCUCACGCCACCUGGAACACCACAACGUUAUGGUGUGUCCGAACGUCAUAACCGCACUUUAUUGGAUAUGGUGCGAUCUAUGAUGUCUCUUACCGGUUUACCACUAUCGUUUUGGGGUUAUGCAUUAGAGACAGCUGCAUUCACGUUUAAUAGGGCACCAUCUAAAUCCGUUGAGACGACACCGUAUGAACUAUGGUUUAAUAGUAAACCUAAGUUGUCGUUUCUUAAAGUUUGGAGUUGUGAAGCUUAUGUGAAAAAGUUUUCACCUGAUAAGCUCGAACCCAAAUCGGAGAAGUGCGUCUUCAUAGAAUACCCAAAGGUAACCAUUGGGUACACCUUCUAUCACAGAUCCGAAGGCAAGUUGCUAAGAUGGAUCCUUUAUAGAGAACAAGUUUCUCUCGAAAGAAGUGAGUGGGAGGAAAGUAGAACUUGAUGAGGUAAUUGUACCUUCUCCCUUAUUGGAAAGUAGUUCAUCACAGAAAUCAGUUCCUGUGAUUCCUACACCAAUUCGUGAGGAAGCUAAUGAUGAUGAUCAUGAUGCUUCAGAUCAAGUCACUACCGAACCUCGUAGGUCUUCCAGAAUAAGAUCCGCACCAAAGUGGUACGGUAAUCCUAUUCUAGAAGUCAUGUUACUAGACCAUGAUGAACCUACGAACUAUGAGGAAGAGAUGAUGAGCCCAGAUUUCGCGAAAUGGCUUGAGGCCAUGAAAUCUGAGAUGGGAUCCAUGUAUGAGAACAAAGUGUGGACUUUGGUGGAGUUUCCCGACGAUCGGCAAGCCAUAUUGUAUAAAUGGAUCUUCAAGAGGAAGACAGAUGCUGAUAGUAGUGUUACUAUCUACAAAGCUCGACUUGUCGCAAAAAGGUUUUUGACAAGUUCAAGGUGUUGACUACAAUGAGAUUUUCUCAACUGUAGUGAUGCUUAAGUCUGUCCGAAUCAUGUUAGCAAUUGCCACAAUUUAUGAAAUCUGGCAAAUGGAUGUCAAAACUUCAUUCCUUAAUGGUUUUCUUAAAGAAGAGUUGUAUAUGAUGCAACCAGAAGGUUUUGUCAAUCCUAAAGGUGUUAACAAAGUGUGCAAGCUCCAGCGAUCCAUCUAUGGACUGGUGCAAGCAUCUCAGAGUUGGAAUAUACGCUUUGAUAAGUUGAUCAAAGCAUAUAGUUUUGUACAGACUUACGGUGAAGCCUGUAUUUACAAGAAAGUGAGUGGGAGCACUACAACAUUUCUGAUAAGUAUAUGUGAAUGACAUAUUGUUGAUUGGAAAUAAUGUAGAAUUAUUCUGCAAAGCAUGAAAGGAUACUUGAAUAAGAGUUUUUCAAAGAAAGACCUCAGUGAAGCUGCUUACACAUUGAGCAUCAAGAUCUAUAUAGAUAGAUCAAGACGCUUGAUAAGAUUUUUCAAUGAAUACAUACCUUGAUAAAUUUUUGAAAUAGUUCAAAAUGGAACAGUCAAAGAAGGAGUUCUUGCCUGUGUUACAAGGUGUGAAGUUGAGUAAGACUCAAGACCCGACCAUUGCAGAAAAUAGAAAGAGAAUGAAAAGUCAUUCCCUAUGCCUCAGUCAUAGGUUCUAUAAAGUAUGCUAUGCUGUGAACCAGACCUAUUGUAUGCCUUGCUCUGUGUUUGGCAAAUGAAUACAAUUUUGAUCUAAUAAGUAGAUCACUGGACAUGGGUUAAGAAUAUUGUUAGUGAGGACUAAGGAGAUGUUUCUCGAUUAUGGCGGUGAUAAAAGAGCCCGUCGUAAAAGUUACAACGAUGCAAGCUUUUACACCAAUCCGGAUGACUCUAAGUCUCAAUCUGGAUACAUAUUGAAAGUGGGAGCAAUUAGCUAUAGUAGCUCCAUGCAGAGCAUUGUGGACAUAGAAUAUUUGCAAAAUACAUACGGCUCUGAAUAUGACAGACCCGUUGACUAAGCUUCUCUCAUGAGCAAAACAUGAUCAUACCUUAGUACUCUUUGGGUGUUAAUCACAUAGCGAUGUGAACUAGAUUAUUGACUCUAGUAAACCCUUUGGGUGUUGGUCACAUGACGAUGUGAACUAUUGGUGUUGAAUCACAUGAUGAUGUGAACUAGAUUAUUGACUCUAGUGCAAGUGGGAGACUGAAGGAAAUAUGCCCUAGAGGCAAUAAUAAAGUUAUUAUUUAUUUCCUUAUAUCAUGGUAAAUGUUUAUUAUUCAUGCUAGAAUUGUAUUAACCGGAAACAUAAUACAUGUGUGAAUACAUAGACAAACAUAAUGUCACUAGUAUGCCUCUACUUGACUAGCUCGUUUAUCAAAGAUGGUUAUGUUUCCUAGCCAUGGACAAAAGAGUUGUCAUUUGAUUAACGGGAUCACAUCAUUAGGAGAAUGAUGUGAUUGACUUGACCCAUUCCGUUAGCUUAGCACUUUGAUCGUUUAGUAUGUUGCUAUUGCUUUCUUCAUGACUUAUACAUGUUCCUGUAACUAUGAGAUUAUGCAACUCCCGUUUACCGGAGGAACACUUUGGGUACUACCAAACGUCACAACGUAACUGGGUGAUUAUAAAGGAGUACUACAGGUGUCUCCGAAGGUACAUGUUGAGUUGGCGUAUUUCGAGAUUAGGUUUUGUCACUCCGAUUGCCGGAGAGGUAUCUCGGGGCCCUCUCGGUAAUGCACAUCACUAUAGGCCUUGCAAGCAAUGUGACCAAUGAGUUGGUUACGGGAUGAUGCAUUAUGUAACGAGUAAAGAGACUUGCCAAUGACGAGAUUGAACUAGGUAUUGGAUACCGACAAUCAAAUCUUGGGCAAGUAACAUACCGAUGACAAAGGGAAUAACAUAUGUUGUUAUGCGGUUUGACCGAUAAAGAUCUUCGUAGAAUAUGUAGGAGCCAAUAUGGGCAUCCAGGUUCCGCUAUUGGUUAUUGACCAAGAAUAGUUCUAGGUCAUGUCUACAUAGUUCUCGAACCCGUAGGGUCCGCACGCUUAAGGUUUCGAUGACAGUUAUAUUAUGAGUUUAUGAGUUUUGAUGUACCGAAGGAGUUCGGAGUCCCGGAUGAGAUCGGGGACAUGACGAGGAGUCUCGAAAUGGUCGAGACAUAAAGAUCGAUAUAUUGGACGACUAUAUUCGGAGUUCGGAAAGGUUCCGAGUGAUUCGGGUAUUUUCGGGGGUACCGGGGAGUUACGGGAAUACGAGGAAGAAGCAAUGGGCCUCAUGGGCCAAGUGGUGGAAGAGAGGAGGCAGGGCGCGCGCCCCCCCUAGCCCAAACCGAAUUGGACUAGGGGGGCGGCCCCCCUUUCCUCCUUUUCCUCCCUCUCGUUCCUUCUCCUUCUCCUUCCCUUCCUUCCCCUCUCCUACUUGGACUAGGAAAGAGGGGAAUCCUACUUGGAGUAGGAUUCUCCCCCUUGGGCGCGCCUCCUCCUACUUGGCCGGCCCUCCUCCCCUUGCUCCUUUAUAUACGGGGGCAGGGGGGCACCCCAUGACACAAAAGUUGAUCUACUGAUCAUUCCUUAGCCGUGUGCGGUGCCCCCCUCCACCAUAUUCCACCUCGGUCAUAUUGUCGCGGAGAUUAGGCGAAGCCCUGCGCCGGUAGAACAUCAUCAUCGUCACCACACUGUCGUGCUGACGGAACUCAUCCCCGAAGCUUUGCUGGAUCGGAGCCCGAGGAUCGUCAUCGAGCUGAACGUGUGCUGAACUCGGAGGUGCCGUACGUUCGGUGCUUGGAUCGGUCGGAUCGUGAAGACGUACGACUACAUCAACCGCGUUGUGCUAACGCUUCCGCUUACGGUCUAUGAGGGUACGUGGACAACGCUCUCCCCUCUCGUUGCUAUGCCAUCACCAUGAUCUUGCGUGUGCGUAGGAUUUUUUUUUGAAAUUACUACGUUCCCCAACAUAGCUAUCUAGCCAUAUUAUUGUGUGCCGUCCAAAAGGAGCAACAAUGCAUCGAAAUCAUCUCCAAAUCGUGUUUCAAUGCAAAGAGGGAGCACAUUGGUCAAUGGAAAAGAAAUCAAUGAAGCUAGAGGUUUUCUAGGUAAAAUUAUGAAUUUUACAAAUGCCAACCCACAUUAUCUUCACCAUGAUAGGUGAGAAGAAGAUAUGGUUAACGCUUUCUCCCUCCCCACAGAGAACAUACAAGACAUUAGAAGGGCCAUGUCUCUUAGCCACCUAAUCACCAGUAAGCAAUGUUCCCAGACAGCCCCCAAGGAACCCUUUAGCUUUAAGUGGAAGCAGGAUAUGCUAAGGGAGGCAGAAGUGCUCCAAUACCGACAAUUGACAAAACCGUAAAAAAAAUGCCCGCGGGCCCUUGAGAACUUAUAUGAAGCCUUGAAUUAAGUGGCAUGCUUAGUUCUGACCCUCCCACAUAUGGUUUCAGACAGUGCACUGAUCCGUGGGGCCCGAUCCAUCUAGGGCUUUGACUGGACAUGAGAGGGGAUAGACCAUGGUGAAUUCAUUUUGGUUUGGUGUUAGGAUAGGUCAUAGUGACAUGACAAACCAAGGUUGAGCCCAUGUCUUUGAUUACCUGCAAGGGCACAUGGCUAUUGCAUUUCAUGCUAAGUAAGUGUUGAAUCCCACAAUGAGCGAAUAGGAAGGCACUACCAACCCCGGAACUACGUUAUCUUCAUAGCUACGUUCGUACCCAAACCAAAAUUUUGAAAUAUUCUAUUCUAUCAGUUGCUAGGAAAUGAGAAUAAAAGGAGUUUUAACUAAACUACAAAUUAGAACGCAAAAAUAAACUGGAAUUGGAAUCCGUCACGGACUAGUUGGUCUAAACAAUUUCACCACAUAUAUCUCUAUCCCUUCUCGCGUGGCAGUCUCCAUAUAUGGUUGUAAAUUCUUUUCAUCAAGUUGUCAUUGAUUGUUCCCACCACCCGCCAUGCUACUGCCGCCUCCCAAAUCGCCCUGUUGCCGUUCCUCUUCCCGGUGGCUCACAUCAUCGUCGCUGCCACACUGGUUUCUGCCCCACUAGAGGCCCGUGAUGGCUAUGUCCGAGAUCUCACUGAAGAGGAUGGAUUUGACCUGCUCCCUGAUGACCCACAAGUAUAGGGGAUCAAUCGUAGUCCUUUUGGUAAGUCAGAGUGUCGAACCCAACGAGCAGCAGAAGGAAAUGACAAGUGGUUUUCACCAAGGUAUUCUCUACAAGCACUGAAAUUGUCGGUAACCAAUAGUUGGAUAGCAAGAUAAUUUGUAAUGAGCAAGCGAUGUUAACGGUAAAUAAAGUGUAGCAAGGUAUCCCAAUCCUUUUGUGGCAAAGGACAGGCCAAAAUAGACUCUUAUAAUAAGCAAAGCAUUCUUGAGAGUACAUGGGAAUUUCAUCUAGUCACUUUCAUCAUGUUGGUUUGGUUUGAGUUCGCUACGUUGAUAAUUUGAUAUGUGGGUGGACCGGUGCUUAGGUUCUGUUCUUACUUGAACAAACCUCAUACUUAUGAUUAACCCCCUCGCAAGCAUCCGCAACUACGAGAAAAGUAUUAAGAUAAAAUCUAACCAUAGCAUUAAACUUUUGGAUCCAAAUCAGUCCCUUACGAAGUAGCGUAUAAACUAGGGUUUAAGCUUCUAUCACUCUAGCAACCCAUAAUCUAAUAACUACUCCACAAUGAAUUCCCUUAGGCCCUAAUAAGGUGAAGUGCCAUGUAUUCAACAUCACAUGACACCACUAAGGGAAUCACAACAUACAUAUCAUCAAAAUAUCGAACACAUAUCAAGUUCACAUGGUUACUUGCAACAAGAUUUCUCCCGUGACCUCAAGAACAAAAGUAACUACUCACACAUGAUAAUCAUGCUCAAGAUCAGAGGGGUACUAAAUAGCAUAAUGGAUCUGAACAUAUAAUCUUCCAUCAAAUAAACCAUAUAUUAAUCAACUACAAGAUGUACUCAACACUACUAGUCACCCACAUGCACCAAUCUGAUGUUCCAGUACAAAGAUUGAACACAAGAGAUGAACUAGGGUUUGAGAGGAGAUGGUGUUGUUGAAGAUGUUGAUGGAGAUUGCCCUCCCAAAGAUAGGAGAGUUGUUGGUGAUGAUGAUGACGAUGAUUCCCCCCUCCGGUAGGGAAGUUCCCCUGGCGGAAUUGCUCCACCGAAGGGCAAAAGUGCUCCUGCCCAAGUUCUGCCUCGAGACGCCGACACUUCGUCCCGAAAGUCCUUCCCUGAUUUUUUCUAGGUCAAAAUGACCUAUAUACCAGAUGAUGGGCACCGGAGGUGGGCCGAGGAGGGCACAACCCACCAGGGCGCGCCUGGGAGCCCUGGCGCGCCCUAGUGGGUUGUGUCCACCUGGUGGGCCCCCUUUGGUAAUUAUUUUGCUCCAAUAAUUCUUAAAUAUUCCAUAAGAAAUCUCUGUGAAGUUUCAGGUCAUUUGGAGAAGUGCAGAAUAAGUAACUCUGACUUAGCUUUUUCAGGUCCAAAAUUCCAGCUGCCGGCAUUCUCCCUCUUUGUGUAACCUUGCAUAUUAUGAGAGAAAAGGCAUUAGAAUUACUCCAUAAAGCAUUAUUAUGCAUAAAAACAUUAUAAAUAACAGUAGGAAAACAUGACACAAAAUGGACGUAUCACAUCCCGGAGACUGUGCACGGGAUGCAUGUCUUCAAGAUCGACGGGCACAACCUGCACAGGGGCUUUGUCAUCGGCAAAAGGUAUCCAUUUUCCCUUUUUUCGCGGAAGCAGAACCAUGAUUUUUCCCUUUUUGAUGACAUCACAUAUAUUGGAAGGGGCGGCAUGGAAAAAAACAUACUAAAACCUUGAUGUAAAAAAGAACUGAGGAUGGUGCCGGCAAUGCAAGAAGAAAAAUAACAAAAGUUGAGUUAGAUCCGAUUACAGGCGGAUGUGCGUGAGAAUAUGAUUGCUUGUAUCUACAUUGGUAAUUCCCCGAAGAGGAGAGGAUGAUGCAUCACAACAAAGGUAAGUAUUUCCCUCAGUUAUGAAACAAGGUAUCAAUCGAGUAGGAGAACCGAGCAACACCAUGUAAACAACACCUGCACACAAAUAACAAGAACUUGCAACCCAAUGCGUAAGAGGGGUUGUCAAUCCCUCCACGGUAUUGAGAUAGAUUAAAUUGUAUAGGUUUUGGCAAAUAGAUCUAUUAAAACACAAAAUAAAUAAAUAAAUAAAUAAAAAGUGUAGCAAGGUAUUUUUAGAUUUAAUAUGAUAGGAAAUAGACUCGGGGGCGUAGUUUUCACUAGAGGCUUCUCUCAAGAAAGUAGCAUACGGUGGGUAAACAAAUUACUAUUAGGCAAUUGAUAGAAAAGCGAAUAAUCAUGACAAUAUCCAAGGCAAUGAUCAUGUAUAUAGGCAUCACGUCCAAGAUUAGUAGACCGAAACAAUUUUGCAUCUACUACUAUUACUCCACACAUUGACCGCUAUCCAACAUGCAUCUAGUGUAUUAAGUUCAUGGAAAAAUGGAGUAAUGCAAUAAGAACGAUGGCAUGAUGUAGACAAGAUCUAUUCAUGUAGGAAUAGACCACAUCUUUUUAUCCUUAAUAACAAUGAUAAAUGUGUGUCAUGUAUCUUUCUAUCAUUGAGAUUGAGCACCACAAGAUUGAACCCAUCACAAAGCACCUCUUCCCAUGGCAAGAAAAGUCAAUCUAGUCGGCCAAACAAAAUGAAAAUUUAGGAGAAGAAAUACGAGGCUAUAACAAUCAUGCUUAAAAGAGUUCAACAAAGACUCAAAUAAUAUUCAUGGAUAGGACUUAUUAUAAACUCACAAUUCAUCAGAUCCCAACAAACACACCGCAAAAAGUCAUUACAUCAAAAAGAUCUCCAAGAACAUUAAGGAGAACAUUGUAUUGAAGAUCAAAAAGAGAGAAGAAGCCAUCUAGCUACUAGCUAUGGACCCAUAGGUCUGUGGAGAACUACUCAUGCAUCAUAGGAGGGGCAACAAGGAUGAUGAAGAAUUCCUUCGUGAUCAUUGCCCCCUCCGACAGAGUGCCGGAAAAGGCCUCUAGAUUGGAUCUCGUGGUUCUGGAACUUUCGGCGGCGGAAACUUUAUUUUCUCGACUCCCUAGGUUUUUUUUGGGUUUUUUGAGUAUUUAUGGAGGCAGAGGUCGGUGAAGAAGCUUACUGUGGGCUCCACUACCCACCAGGGUGCGCCUGGGUCCUCUCACGUGCCCUGGUGCCUAGUGGACCCCACGGGCCUCCUCCCAUGCACUUCUUUGGCUCUCUGGGUGUCUUCUGUCCAGAAAAAAAUCUUCAAAAAGUUUCCUUGCAUUUAGAGUGUGUUUGGUAUUGAUAUUCUGCAAAUUAAGAAUCAAGCAAAAACAGCAACUGGCACUAGGCACUAUGUCAAUAGGUUAGUCCCAAAAAAUGAUAUAAAGUUGCUAGUAAAUGAAUAUAAAACAUCCAAGGUUGAUAAUAUAACAUCGGGAAACAAUCAAAAACUAUAGAUACGUUGGAGACAUAUCAGAAUAUGGCUCGACUUGGACAGCAGUCAAGACAUCAAUCGUCUUUGUGUUCGCCACCAAGGCGUCCAACCCCUUGAGAGUAGGCUAGUUGUAGGGCUCGACCAUAGAUUGGGUAGCAUUGUGCGAGCCCUUUAGUCACGCCUAAACAGGUUGGAUAUGCCUCUCUUACCACAUCACCAGGAUUCACUCCCGGGGGGGCCAGGCAUGCUUACGGCAGAUCAUUUCUUUUGAAGAAGUGCAUCCACUUCCUAUGACUCGUCUUUAGCCGGACUCAAAAGACCGACAUCAGAUAGGGGGACAAAUCUGAGUAUGGAUGCAACCCCAUCUAUUCAUGAUGAGCCAGGGCAUCAGGGUAGUAGAACAACCCAUGCUACCACCUCUUCACGAAGUUCGGCAGCCCAAGCUUUAAUUAGCCAUACAUUGGCCUCAACUUAAUUACGACCCCCCCACAGUCGUAGACGUCCUCGCCGUUCUUCUAGGCUUUAUCCCAAACAUAAUUCCUCCAAAGCCCUAAGUGGGGAUGGGUCAUUGGGAAACACUCACACAUCAAAAUGUAGUGGGCUAUGUGGAUGAUCAUGUUUGGUGUGACGUGGUGAAGCUAGACAUUAUAGAAGAAACUAAGUCGAUGAAAGAAAUCAUUGAGCAUCAGGGACAUACCUUCGUAGAUGAACGACGUAAGAAGCACACACUUAUUCUACCAAUGCACUGACUUGAUCUCCUCCUCUGGAAGUGCACGCGAUUGGACAGAUGCUUGCCUUGGAAAGAAUUCGUGACUAACGAGAUUCUUCAGUUAAUCCCAACAAGGGGAUCCAUUUCCCUCGGUAUUGUUGCCAAGGAGUUGUUGUUGUAGGCAAUGCCACUGAUGACCCACAAGUAUAUGGGGUCAAUUGUAGCCUUUUCGAUAAGUAAGAGUGUUGAACCCAACGAGGAGAAGAAGGAAAUGACAAGUGGUUUUCAGCAAGGUAAUGUCUGCAAGUGCUAAAAUUGUAAGUAGUGGAGUAGUUUGAUAGCAAGAUAAUUUGUAACGAGCAAGUAACAAUAGUAGUAAGAAAAGUGUAGCAAGGUAGCCCAAUACUUUUGAGGGAAAGGACAGGCCAAAACGGUUUCUUAUGAUAAGCAAAGUGUUCUUGAGGGUACACGGGAAUUUCAUCUAGUCACUUUCAUCAUGUUGGCUUAAUUCGAUAUGUGGGUGGACCAGUGCUUAGGUGCUGUUAUUACUUGAACAAACCUCCUACUUAUGAUUAACCCUCCCGCAAGCAUCCGCAACUACGAGAAAACUAUUAACAAUAAAUUCUAACCAUAGCAUUAAACUUUUGGAUCCAAUCGGUCCCUUACGGAAUAGCGCAUAAACUAGGGUUUAAGCUUCUGUCGCUCUUGCAACCCACCAUCUAAUAACAACUCCACAAUGCAUUCCCUUAGGCUCAAAUAUGGUGAAGUGUCAUGUAGUCGACAUUCACAUGGCACCACUAAGAGAAUGGCAACAUACGUAUCAUCAAAAUAUCAAACGCAUAUCAAGUUCAUAUGAUUACUUGCAACAUCAUUUCUCCCUUGACCUCAAGAAAGAAAGUAACUACUCACAAAUGAUAAACAUGCUCAAGAUCAGAGGGGUAUUGAAUAGCAUAAUGGAUCUGAACAUAUAUUCUUCCACCAAAUAAACAAUAUAGUAAUCAACUACAAGAUGUAAUCAACACUACUAGUCACCCACAAGCACCAAUCUAUAGUUUCGGUAACAAGAUUGAACACAAGAGAUGAACUAGGGUUUGGGAGGAGUUCGUGCUGUGAAGAUGUUGAUGAAGAUAGCCCUCCCCAAGAUGGGAGAGCUGUUGAUGAUGAUGGUGACGAAGAUUUCCUCCUGCGGGAGGGAUGUUCCCGCGGCGGAAUCGCUCCGCCGGAGGGCAAAAGUGCUCCUGCCCAAGUUCCGCCUCAAGGCGGCGACGCUUCAUCCUCAAUGUCCUCUGCUUAAUUAUUUUAGGUCAAAAUGACUUACAUACCAGAAGAUGGGCACCGGAGGUGGGCCGAGGAGGGCAGCACCCACCAGGGCGCGCCUGGGCCUCCUGGCGCGCCCAGGUGGGUUGCGCCCACCUGGUGGCCCUCCUCUGGUACUUAUUUGCUCCAAUAUUCCUUAAAUAAUCCAUAAAAAUCCUCAGGGAGUUUCAUCUUAUUUGUAGUUGUGCAGAAUAGGUAGCUUGACGUAGCUUUUUCAGGUCCAGAUUUCCAGCUGCCAGAAUUCUCCCCCUUGGUGCAUACCUUGCAUAUUAUGAGAGAAAAUACAUUAGAAUUACUCCAAAAAGCAUUGUUAUACAAUUAAACAACAUAAAUAACAGUAAGAAAACAUGAUGCAAAAUGGACGUAUCAACUCUCCCAAGCUUAGACCUCGCUUGUCCUCAAGCGAGAACCGAAAUCGGAAAACAUGUCCACAUGCUUAGAGAGAGAGGUGUCGAUAAAACAAAAAUACGGACAUAGCAGCAUCAUGUGACUUAUUAUAACAGCAACAAACUUCAAUAUAAAAAUUUUAUCAUAGACUUCUCAUGAACAAGUGACAAUUGAUCACAACAUUGAAGUAUAAAUCAUAAACUCUAUAAACCAACAAACUAUGUUCUCAGUCAACUUUGCAACUACAAUUCAUCAUCUUUUCAGGAAGAGUCACGUAUCAGAGCCUUUAGGCAAGUCCACAUACUCAACCAUCAUUUAGUCUUCUAUGAUUGCUAACAGUCACCGCGUACACAUGAGCAAAACAUUUCAACCGGACACAAAGAAAGAUAGGGGCUUAUAGUUUCUCCUCCCAACAUACUCAUCUCAAGGGUGAUGUCAAUAAUAAUAACUUAUGCCACCCAUAUUCAACUGGACAUAUGUGCCAAGAUCUUUCCUCACCACAUGAUGCUUGCCAAAAAAAAAGGAAUAGAGACAAAACUUUGUCUCUUGCAUAAAAGUAAAUACAUGAAAGUAAAAGAUAGGCCCUUCGCAAAGGGAAGCAGGGGUUGCCAUGCACUUUUUUUUUGUAUUCUCAACCCCUUAGUGCAAGAGAAUGUCACGUUAUAUUGCCCCUUGUAAUGGCAACCUUUAUUAUGCAGUCUGUCACUUUUAUUCUUCACCAUCACAAGUUUGUACAACGCUCAAUUUUCCAUUACACUAAAUGAUCUCACAUUUUUAUAAGCAAUUUUUAUUGACCUUUUUGCACCAAUGACAACUUACUUGAAGGAUCUUACACAAUCCAUAGGUAGGUAUGGUGGACUCUCAAACAAGAUAGGGUUUAAGGGUUUUGGAUGCACAAGUAGUAUCUCUACUUAGUGUGGAAUUUUUGACUAGCAAAGAUAGGGGCAAGCACCACAUGUUGAAGGAUCUAUGACAAUAUGACUUCUAUGUGAAUAUGAAUAAACAUAAAUCAUUAAGUUGUCUUCCUUGUCAACGUCAUCAAUUUUGGCAUAUCAUAUUUUGAUGGGUGCUCACAAUCACAAAAGAUUUCCAUGAUAGUGUAUUUAUAUGUGAAUCUUCUCUUCCCUUAUUAAUUCUUUCAUGUGUUGCACCAUUGACCAAUGCUAUGUUUGUCAAUCUACAAUAAAAUUUUCUACUUAUACUUUUCCUUGUGUAAUGUCAUCACUUACCAUAAGAUUAGCAUAUGAUCUUUUUCUUUUAUUUCCUUUCUUUUUGUUGCAGCAAGAAAGUAAAGAAGGCAAAACUCAAACUAAACUUUAUUAUAUCUCGCGCACGAUUACAAGGAUUGAUUACUAAGCAAACUCACAAAAAAUAAAGGAUCGAACUAAACUUUUAUUCAUCUAAUAGCAAAAGAUAACCAUUGAUCAAACUAAGAAAGUAAAGGCAAAAGAUAGUAGAGAUUGAUACGAUACCGGGGCACCUCCCCCAAGCUUGGGGAAAGCCAAGGGGAGUGACCAUACCCAAUACUCAGUUUUCUUUUGAUGGUGAUGAAGUAGAAGCAAUCCGGUUCAAUACAUCUCUGAGUGCAUCUUUUAAGCUGUGAAUUUCUUGAAGAACUUGAUGGAGCAGCUCAGUGUUCUUCUCCUCCUCAGCCAUGAUAUGUUUAUUUUACAGACCCCAAGAGUUCGUCCCUGCAUCACUUUCUCUUGGACGAGAUAUGUCCCAAUUGGACGGUAUAUGCGCAUGAGGAGUGUUUUCAAACCCAUAAUUAUGAAUCAAACUGUGAAAAAUAUUUUGAUGUAACCUAUGUAGAGGCCUCCUUGUAGGGAGUUCUUCAUGAUCUCUUGGGCCCUGUUGAUUGUUUAGGGGCCUAAUGGCUUGAUGGGGGUUAGGAUGAGUGGAGAUGCCAGCCAGAGUCCCUCUCCUAGAGGCCGGAAGGUGAAUUCCAAACGAGUCCCCCUCAUCUUCCUCCAUAACGAUCUCUUCAGAUUCCUCUUCCCUGGAUUCUACCUGAAGAAACCAAGCUUUGCCUUCUUCGGUGUUGGAGGAGGGAGAAGACAUGAUGCCUGGCUCAACAGAUCUGACAGAAAACAACAAGAAAAGAAAACAUGAGAUUUCUCCGCGAUACGAAGGUUAACAGGUUCGGGAGGUAUAUAUAUUAUCUUGGGGAACAAGCAUACCGGAAGAAAAACGGAGAUUGGAAAGUACCUGAGGUGGGCACAACCCACCUAGGCGCGCCAGGCAAGCCUAGCGCACCCUGGUGUAUCGUGCCCACCAGGGUCACUUUCCUGGAAGUUUCUUAUUUUCCUAAUUUUCUAAAUAUUACAAAAUUGACAAAAAAUAUUUUUGCGGAUUUUUCGGAGUCUGUUUACUUACCGUAUCACGUGAAGGAAAUAUGCCCUAGAGGCAAUAAUAAAGUUAUUAUUUUUUUCCUUAUAUCAUGAUAAAUGUUUAUUAUUCAUGCUAGAAUUGUAUUAACCGGGAACAUAAUACAUGUGUGAAUACAUAGACAAACAGAGUGUCACUAGUAUGCCUCUACUUGACUAGCUCAUUAAUCAAAGAUGGUUAUGUUUCCUAGCCAUGGACAAAGAGUUGUCAUUUGAUUAACGGGAUCACAUCAUUAGGCGAAUGAUGUGAUUGACUUGACCCAUUUCGUUAGCUUAGCACUUGAUCGUUUAGUAUUCUGCUAUUGCUUUCUCCAUGACUUAUACAUGUUCCUAUGACUAUGAGAUUAUGCAACUCCCGUUUACCAGAGGAACACUUUGUGUGCUACCAAACGUCACAAUGUAACUGGGUGAUUAUAAAGGUGCUCUACAGGUGUCUCCGAAGGUACUUGUUGGGUUGGCGUAUUUCGAGAUUAGGAUUUGUCACUCCGAUUGUCGGAGAGGUAUCUCUGGGCCCACUCGGUAAUGCACAUCACUUAAGCCUUGCAAGCAUUGCAACUUAUGAGUUAGUUGCGGGAUGAUGUAUUACGGAAUGAGUAAAGAGACGUGCCGGUAACGAUAUUGAACUAGGUAUGGAGAUACCGACGAUCGAAUCUCGGGCAAGUAACAUACCGAUGACGGAGGGAACAAUGUAUGUUGUUAUGCGGUUUGACUGAUAAAGAUCUUCGUAGAAUAUGUAGGAACCAAUAUGAGCAUCCAGGUUCCGCUAUUGGUUAUUGACCGGAGAUGUGUCUCGGUCAUGUCUACAUAGUUCUCGAACCCGUAGGGUCCGCACGCUUAAAGUUCGGUGACGAUCGUAAUUAGGGUUUUUGUGUUUUGAAUUACCGAAGGUUGUUCGGAGUCCCGGAUGUGAUCAUGGACAUGACGAGGAGUCUCGAAAUGGUCGAGACAUAAAAAUUGAUAUAUUGGAGGCCUAUAUUUGGAUAUCGGAAUCGUUCCGGGUGAAAUCGGGAUUUUACUGGAGUACCGGGGGGUUACCGGACCCCCCCCCCCGGGGUUAAUGGGCCUACAUGGGCCCUAAGGGAGAAGAGGAGGGCCGGCCAGGGCAGGCCGCAUGCCCCCUUCCCCCCUAGUCCGAAUAGGACAAGGAAGGGGGGGGUGCGGCGGCCCGCUUUCCUCUUUCCCCCUUCCCCUUUCCGUCUCCAACAAGGCAAGAGGGGGGAGUCCUACUCCCGGUGGGAGUAGGACUCCUCCAGGCGCACCCCUAGGGGCCGGCCGCACCUCCCCCCUCCCUCCUUUAUAUAUGGGGGCAGGGGGGCACCCCAGAACACACAAGUUGAUCUUCGUGAUCAUUCCUUAGCCGUGUGCGGUGCCCCCCUCCACCAUAUUCCACCUCGGUCAUAUCGUAGCGGUUCUUAGGUGAAGCCCUGCGUCGGUAGAACAUCAUCACCGUCAGCACACCGUCGUGCUAACGAAACUCUCCCUCAACACUUAGCUGGAUCGGAGCUCGAGGGACGUCACCGAGUUGAACGUGUGCAGAACUCGGAGGUGCCGUACGUUCGGUACUUGGAUCGGUCGGAUCGGAAAGACGUACGACUACUUCCUCUAUGUUGUCUCAACGCUUCCGUUGCCGGUCUACGAGGGUACGUAGACAACACUCUCCCCUCUCGUUGCUAUGCAUCACCUUGAUCUUGCGUGUGUGUAGGAACUUUUUUGAAAUUACUACGUUCCCCAACAGUGGCAUCCGAGCCAGGUUUUAUGCGUUGAUGUUAUAUGCACGAGUAGAACACAAGUGAGUUGUGGGCGAUACAAGUCAUACUGCUUACCAGCAUGUCAUACUUUGGUUCAGCGGUAUUGUUGGAUGAAGCGUCCCGGACCGACAUUACGCGUACGCUUACGCGAGACUGGUUCUACCGACGUGCUUUGCACACAGGUGGCUGGCGGGUGUCGGUUUCUCCAACUUUAGUUGAACCGAGUGUGGCUACGCCCGGUCCUUGAGAAGGUUAAAACAGCACUAACUUGACGAACUAUUGUUGUGGUUUUGAUGCGUAGGUAAGAAUGGUUCUUGCUCAGCCCGUAGCAGCCACGUAAAAACUUGCAACAACAAAGUAGAGGACGUCUAACUUGUUUUUGCAGGGCAUGUUGUGAUGUGAUAUGGUCAAGACCUGAUGAGAUAUAAGUUGUUGUAUGAGAUGAUCAUGUUUUGUUGAAGUUAUCGGCAACUAGCAGAAGCCUUAUGGUUGUCUCUUUAUUGCAUAAGAUGCAAGUGCCAAAUAAUUGCUUUACUUUAUUGCUAUGCGAUAGAAAUAGUUGCAAGAGCAAUAGUUGGCGAGACGACCAUGUGACGACACAUUUAUAUAGAUCAAGAUGAUGGAUAUCAUGGUGUCAUGCCGGUGAUGAUGGAGAUCAUGACGAUGCUUUGGAGAUGGAGAUCAAAGGCACAAGAUGAUGAUGGCCAUAUCAUGUCACAUAUUUUUGAUUGCAUAUGAUGUUUAUCUUUUAUACAUCUUAUUUUGUUUUGAUUGACGGUAGCAUUAUAAGAUGAUCUCUCACUAAAUUUCAAGAUAAAAGUGUUCUCCCUGAGUAUGCACCGUUGCCAAAGUUCGUCGUGCCCAGACACCAUGUGAUGAUCGGGUGUGAUAAGCUCUACGUCCAUCUACAACGGGUGCAAGCCAGUUUUGCACACGCGGAAUACCCAGGUUAAACUUGACGAGGCUAGCAUGUGCAGAUAUGGCCUCGGAACACUGAGACCAGAAGGUCGAGCGUGAAUCAUAUAGUAGAUAUGAUCAACAUAGUGAUGUUCACCAUUGAAAACUACUCCAUUUCACGUGAUGAUCGGUUAUGGUUUAGUUGAUUUGGAUCACGUGAUCACUUAGAUGAUUAGAGAGAUGUCUAUCUAAGUGGGAGUUCUUAAGUAAUAUGAUUAAUUGAACUUUAAUUUAUCAUGAACUUAAUCCUGGUAGUAUUUUGCAAAUUAUGUUGUAGAUCAAUAGCUCGCGUUGUUGUUUCCCUAUGUUUUAUAUGUGUUCCUGAAGAAAACUAAGUUGAAAGAUGUUAGUUUCAAUGAUGGGGACUUGGUCCGUGAUCUGAGGUUUAUUCUCAUUGUUGCACAGAAGAAUUAUGUCCUUGAUGCACCGCUAGGUGACAGACCUAUUGCAGGAGCAGAUACAUACGUUAUGAACAUUUGGCUAGCUCAAUAUGAUGACUACUUGAUAGUUUAGUGCACCAUGCUUUACGGCUUAGAAUCGGGACUUCAAAGACGUUUUGAACGUCAUGGACCAUAUGAGAUGUUCCAGGAGUUGAAGUUAAUAUUUCAAGAAAAUACCUGAGUUGAGAGAUAUGAAGUCUCCAACAAGUUCUAUAGCUAAAAGAUGGAGGAGAAUUUCUCAACUAGUGAGCAAGUGCUUAGAUUGUCUAAGUACUACAAUCGCUUGAAUCAAGUGGGAGUUAAUCUUCCAGAUAAGAUAGUGAUUGGCAGAGUUCUCUAGUCACCAUCACCAAGUUACUGGAACUUCGUGAUGAACUAUAAUGCAAGGGAUGACAAAAAUGAUUCCCGAGCUCUUCGUGAUACUGAAAUCGACGAAGGUAGAAAUCAAGAAAAGAGCAUCAAGUGUUGAUGAUUGAUAAGACCACUAGUUUCAAGAAAAGGGCAAAAGAAAAGAAAGGAAACUUCGAGUAGAAUGGCAAGCAAGUUGUCACUCCCGUGAAGAAACCCAAAGCUGGACCAAAGCCUGAAACUAAGUGCUUAUAUUGCAAAGGAAAUGGUCACUGGAGGCGGAAAUUCCCUGAAUAUUUGGUGGAUAAGAAGGAUGGAAAAGUGAACAAGGGUAUAUUUGAUAUACAAGUUAUUGAUGUGUACCUUACUAGUGUUUAUAGUAGCCCAUGAGUAUUUGAUACUUGUUUGGUUGCUAAGAUUAGUAACUCGAAAUAGGAGUUACAGAAUAAACAGAGACUAGUUGAGAGUGAAGUAACGAUGUAUGUUGGAAGUGGUUCCAAGAUUGAUACGAUCAUCAUCGUACACUCCCUAUAUUUUCGAGAUUAGUGUUGAACCUAAAUAAAUGUUAUUUGGCGUUUGCGUUGAGCAUGAAUAUGAUUUGAUCAUGUUUAUUGCAAUAAGGUUAUUCAUUUAAAAGUCAGAGAAUAAUUGUUGUUCUGUUUACAUGAAUAAAACCUUCAAUGGUCAUACACCCAAUGAAAAUAGUUUGUUGGAUCUCGAUCGUAGUGAUACACGUAUGCAUAAUAUUGAUGCCAAAAGAUGCAAAGUUAAUAAUGAUAGUGCAACUUAUUUGUGGCACUGCCGUUUGGGUCAUAUCGGUGUAAAGAGCAUGAAGAAACUCCAUAAAGAUGGAUUUUCGGAAUCACUUGGUUAUGAAACAUUUGAUGCUUGCGAACCGUGCCUUUUGGGCAAGAUAACUAAAACUCUGUUCUUCGGAACAAUGAAACGAGCUACUGACUUAUUGGAAAUAAUACAUACCGAUGCAUGCGGUCCAAUGAGUGUUGUUCUCGUGGCGGGUAUCGUUAUUUUCUAACCUUCACAGAUGAUUUGAGCAGAUAUGGGUAUAUCUACUUGAUGAAACAUAACUCUAAAAUAGUUGAAAGGUUCAAACGAUUUCAGAGUGAAGUGGAAAAUCAUCGUAACAAGAAAAUAAAGUUUCUGCGAUCUGAUCGUGGAGAUGAAUAUUUGAGUUAAGAGUUUGGCCUUCACUUAAAAUAAUGUGGAAUAGUUUCACAAACUCAUGCCACCUGGAACACCACAGCGUAACAGUAUGUCCGAACAUCAUAACCGCACUUUAUUGGAUAUUGUGCGACCUAUGAUGUCUCUUAUCGGUUUACCACUAUCGUUUUGGGGUUAUGCAUUAGAGACAGUUGCAUUCACUUUAAAUAGGGCACCAUCGAAAUCCGUUGAGACAACGGCUUAUGAACUAUGGUUUGGCAAGAAACCAAAGUUGUCGUUUGUUAAAGUUUGGGGCUGCGAUGCUGAUGUGAAAAAGUUUCAACCUGAUAAGCUCGAACCUAAAUCGGAGAACUGCGUCUUCAUAGAAUACCCAAAGGAAACUGUUGGGUACACCUUCUAUCAUAGAUCCAGAGGCAAGAUAUUUGUUGCUAAAAUGGAUCCUUUCUAGAUAAGGAGUUUCUCUCGAAAGAAGUGAGUGGGAGGAAAGUAGAGCUUGAUAAGGUAAUUGUACCUUCUCCGGAAUUGGAAAGUAGUUAAUCACAGCAAUCGGUUCGAGUGAUUCCUACACCAAUUAGUGAGGAAGCUAAUGAUGAUGAUCAUGAAACUUCAGAUCAAGUUACUACCGAACCUCGCAGGUCUUCCAGAGAAAGAUCCGCACCAGAGUGGUACGGAAAUCCUGUUCUGGAAGUCAUGUUACUAGACCAUGAUGAACCUACGAACUAUGAGGAAGCGAUGAUGAGCCCAGAUUCCGCGAAAUGGCUUGAGGCCAUAAAAUCUGAGAUAGGAUCCAUGUAUGAGAACAAAGUAUGGACUUUGGUUGACUUGCUCGAUGAUCAGAAAGCCAUGUUAAAUAAAUGGAUCUUCAAGAGGAAGACGGACACUGAUAGUAGUGUUACUAUCUACAAAGCUCGACUUGUUGCGAAAGGUUUGCGACAAGUUCAAGGUGUUGAAUAUGAUGAGAUUUUCUCACUCGUAACGAUGCUUAAGUCUGUCCGAAUCAUGUUAGCAAUAGCCACAUUUUAUGAAAUCUGGCAAAUGAAUAUCAAAACUGUGUUCCUGAAUGGAUUUCUGGAAGAAGAGUUGUAUAUGAUGCAACCCGAAGGUUUUGUCGAUCCGAAAGGUGCUAACAAAAUGUCCAAGCUCCAGCGAUCCAUCAAUGGACUGGUGCAAGCAUCUCAGAGUUGGAAUAUAUGCUUUGAUGAGUUGAUCAAAGCAUAUGGUUUUAUACAGACUUUUGGAAAGGCCUGUAUUUGCAAGAAAGUGAGUGGGAGCACUACAACCUUUUUGAUAAGUAUAUGUGAAUGCCAUAUUGUUGAUUGGAAAUGAUGUAGAAUUUUCAGGAAAGCAUAAAGAAGUGUUUGAAAGGAGUUUUUCAAAGAAAGACCUCGGUGAAGCUGCUUACACAUUGAGCAUAAAGAUCUAUAGAGAUAGAUCAAGACGCUUGAUAAGAUUUUCCAAUGAGUACAUACCUUGACAAGAUUUUGAAGUAGUUCAAAAUGGAACGGUCAAAGAAAGAGUUCUUGCAUGUGAUGCAAAGGUGUGAAGUUGAGUAAGACUCAAAACCCGACCAUGGCAGAAAAUAGAAAGAGAAUGAAAAGUCAUUCCCUAUGCCUCACUCAUAGGUUCUAUAAAGUAUGCUAUGCUGUGUACCAGACCUAUUGUAUACCUUGCUCUGAGUUUGGCAAAAGAAUACAAUUUUGAUCUAAGAGUAGAUCACUGGACAACGGUCAAGAAUAUCCUUAGUGAGGACUAAUGUAACGCCCCGGAUUCGAUGCGCAGGUGUCUGCUAUUUAUUCGCCGUCGUUGCCAUGUCAUUUGCUUGUGUGUUGCAUUUUUCCAUGUCAUCAUUUGCAUUGUGUCAUCAUGUGCAUUGCAUUGCAUUGCACACGUGUUAGUCUCAUGCAUCCGAGCAUUAUCCCCGUUGUCCGUUUUGCAAUCCAGCACUCCUAUGUCACCCGACAUCCCCUUCUUGUCUCUUUUCGUGAGUGGGUGUUUGCCAAGAGGUUUGCCAAGCAGCCUUGGUACACCACCGGUAGACCGCCUGCCAAGUUGCGUGCCAUUUGGAGUCCGUUUGUUGCUCCAACGGUUAACCGGGUACCCGCAAAAGCCUCUUUAUGUUGCAGCCCAACACCCCUCCAAAGUGGCCCUAUAAACCAUCCAAAUCCCCCCAUGCUCUCGGUCGUUUGAUCACGAUCGCGUGGCCGAAAACCACACUCCAUUUGGAGUCUCCUAGCUCCCUCUAUCUAUAAAUUAGCCCCUCACCCCGAAAUUCAUGGAUGAAUUUCACCCUAACCCUAGCUCCACCCUCCUCUGCGCCGCCAGACACGUCCGUCCCACGCCGGACAUGUCCAGCGCCGCCGCCCAUCGAAUCCCACUGCGCCACGUGUCCCGCACCGCCGUCCCCCGCCCGCGGCCACCGUNNNNNNNNNNNNNNNNNNNNNNNNNNNNNNNNNNNNNNNNNNNNNNNNNNNNNNNNNNNNNNNNNNNNNNNNNNNNNNNNNNNNNNNNNNNNNNNNNNNNNNNNNNNNNNNNNNNNNNNNNNNNNNNNNNNNNNNNNNNNNNNNNNNNNNNNNNNNNNNNNNNNNNNNNNNNNNNNNNNNNNNNNNNNNNNNNNNNNNNNNNNNNNNNNNNNNNNNNNNNNNNNNNNNNNNNNNNNNNNNNNNNNNNNNNNNNNNNNNNNNNNNNNNNNNNNNNNNNNNNNNNNNNNNNNNNNNNNNNNNNNNNNNNNNNNNNNNNNNNNNNNNNNNNNNNNNNNNNNNNNNNNNNNNNNNNNNNNNNNNNNNNNNNNNNNNNNNNNNNNNNNNNNNNNNNNNNNNNNNNNNNNNNNNNNNNNNNNNNNNNNNNNNNNNNNNNNNNNNNNNNNNNNNNNNNNNNNNNNNNNNNNNNNNNNNNNNNNNNNNNNNNNNNNNNNNNNNNNNNNNNNNNNNNNNNNNNNNNNNNNNNNNNNNNNNNNNNNNNNNNNNNNNNNNNNNNNNNNNNNNNNNNNNNNNNNNNNNNNNNNNNNNNNNNNNNNNNNNNNNNNNNCGUUGCCUUCGCUGGAACUCGGCCGGAUCCGGCGAGAUCCAGCCGGAUCCACCUCGUCCCGCCCCUGCAAGACCUCGCCGGCCCCAUCUUCCUCCUCUUCUCCGGCGAGCUCAUCCACCUCGCCUCGAAAUCCAUGCAGAUCUGAGGUUGACCCCGAUUUUCCCUAAGUCCCCGUAAUAUUUGCAUUUUAGUCCCCUGUUCAUCGCAUCAUAACUCUUUGCAUACUGCUCCUUUUUGUGCGUGCUAUAUAUCAAAAUGUCAAUCAUGAGAUGCUCUACAUUUCAUUCCAUUGUGUCAUGCUUGUUUGAGUUCAUCUUGAUGCCCUAAUCAUCGUUGCAAGGGUGCUAUAUGAUGUUAACCUGCUGAAACUGUUAUAACUUGGUGAUUUGUCAUUUUUGUUGCAUUUGAUGUGUGCAUCCUAUGAGCAUGAGCUCUACAUGUGUUUUGAACUACAUCAUGCCAUAUUUACAGAGGUGCAAUCCAUGUAUUUUUGUGAUUAUUUUAGUGAGUGCAUCGAGCUUGUUAAGUAGGGUACUUGCUGUUGCUGUUUUGCUAGGCUGAAUCUGUUUUUUCGUGAUGCUAUGCAAACCUGCUGCUACAAGUCAUUCUAUGCAUAAUCUGGAGAUGUUCACUAAGGAUGUUUUGUUAUACAUGUCAUUCUCUAUACAUCCAUGCCCCUGGUUGAGUUUAUAGCCAGCUUUAGCUUAUUUUAGUCUUGCUCCAAAGUUGCUAAAUAAUGUUGUUGUCAGCCUGUUAACAUGAAGUUUAGUUUUGCCAUGUGUUUUGCUAGUGAUCCAUGCAUCCUAUGAACUUGCUCUUUCCAUUCUUAGCGUCAUAAGUAUGUCGUCUUACUAUUGGUCACCUUGUGAUGCCAUGAAAUGCUCUGUAGUGAGUGGUACAAGCUCACCAACUUGCCUACUUAUCGUUGUUCCUGCCAUGCCCUGUUUGCUGAAUCUGUUAACGGAACUUUCUAUGUUUACAUGGGUGUCAUCUUAUCUUCUGGUCCUUUCUGGCUCAUGGUCAGUAAAGGACUUUUGUUCUAUGAUUUUGGUAGAUUCAUGCCAUGCCUUAGUUUUCUAUGAUAAGUUCCUGUAGCAUGUUUUUUGAUAGCUCUAAACAUUGCAACUUGAUGUUAUUUCUGUUAAGCCUGAAACUAUUAUUAUUUGCAAUCUUGCCAUGUCUUUUUGAGCAUGUUCUAGUAUUUUAUGGAGAUACCUCAGUGUUCAUGUUUUGUUAUGCUUUACCUGUACAUCAUGUUCAUGCCUUUUGUUUGCAUGUUGGGUUGCUGCAGCAUAUUGUUUUGAUGCUUGCUAGAUGCCUAGUUGCUGUUUUGGACCGCUUGUCCUUUAAACUUGUAUAAUGUAUGUGUUGAACCGUUGCUCCGUUUUGAGUGUGCUCUAUAUGAAACUUGCUUAUAAUUGCAUGUAGUUUCAUAUUACCUUGUUGCAUCCAUGUUUGGAGAGUGUUUGCUUGAUGUUUGUAUGCAUUUUGCAUCAACGCCAUGUUUAACUUGUUUUGCUCAUAUCUUCUAGGCCGUAGCUCCGAAUUAAAUGAACUUUAUAUGUAACUUCACUAGAAUCUCGUGUAGAUCGUCUUGGUGCAUCCUAAAUUGCUGUUUAACAACUUGAACAUAAGGUUUAUUCAGAUCUGGACCAACUUCUAAAUUUGAAUAUGAGGACUUACCGGAUUUGUUAUAUGUUGUUUCCGGCCUCAUUUAAACUUGCCUUGUUGUGUUGUUCUUGUUUGCAUCAUCUCUUGCCAUGAGUAGCCUCUUCUAGCUUUGACAUGCAUCAUACCUUGUUGAGCAUCAUGUCAUGUAUAUGUGUGGUGUGUUUACCAUGUUGUGUGCUUCUUCUUGAUAGUUCCCGUUUCGUUGUGAUCGUGAGGAUUCGUUCGUCUACGCUUGGUUCGACUUCAUCCGUUCAUCUUCUUCAUGGACUCGUUCUUCUUCCUAGCAGGAUUUCAGGCAAGAUGACCGUCACCUUGGAUCUCAUUACUAUCAUUGCUAUGCUAGUUGCUUCGUUCUAUCGCUUUGCUGCGCUACCUAUCUUUUGCUCUUCAAGCCUCCCAAUUUGCCAUGCCAGCCUCUAACCUUUUUUCGCCCUUCCUAGCAAACCGUUGCUUGGCUAUGUUACCGCUUUGCUCAGCCCCUCUUAUAGCGUUGCUAGUUGCAGGUGAAGUUGAAGAUUGCUCCAUGAUGGACAAGAUUAUGUUGGGAUACCACAAUAUCUCUUACUUAAUUAAUGCAUCUAUAUACUUGGUAAAGGGUGGAAGACUCGGCCUUAUGCCUGGUGUUUUGUUCCACUCUUGCCGCCCUAGUUUCCGUCAUAUCGGUAUUAUGUUCCUAGAUUUUGCGUCCCUAACGCGGUUGGGUGAUUUAUGGGACCCCCUUGAAAAUUUGCUUUGAAUAAAACCCCUCCAGCAAGGCCCAACCUUGGUUUUACCAUUUGCCUACCACCUAUACAUUUCCCUUGGGAGUAAUUAACCCGAGGGUCAUCUUUAUUUUAGCCCCCUCGGGCCAAUGCUUGUCUAAGUGUUGGUACAAACCGAGCGAUGUCCGGUGCCUCCCUAGGCAACCAGGGUCUAUGCCAACCCGACGUCUUGCUCAUCCGGUGUGCCCUGAGAACGAGAUAUGUGCAGCUCCUAUCGGGAUUUGUCGGCACAACGGGCGGUCUUGCUGGUCUUGUUUUACCAUUGUCGAAAUGUCUUGUAAACAUGGAUUCCGAGACUGACCGAGUCUUCCCGGUAGAAGGAAUAUCCUUCGUUGAUCGCGACAGCUUAUCAUGUGCUAAGUUGGGACACCCCUGCAGGGUAUAAACUUUCGAAAGCCGUGCCCGCGGUUAUGCGGCAGAUGGGAAUUUGUUAAUGUCUGGUUGUAGAUAACUUGACACCCGAUCCGAAUUAAAAUGCAUCAACCGCGUGUGUCACCGUGAUGGUCUUUUUUCGGCAGAGUCCGGGAAAUGAACACGGUUUUGGGUUAUGUUUAACGUAAGUAGGAGUUCAGGAUCACUUCUUGAUCAUUGCUAGCUUCACGACCAUUCCGUUUGCCCUCUUCUCGCUCUUAUUUGCAUAUGUUAGCCACCAUAUAUGCUUAGUCGCUGCUGCAACCCCACCACUUUACCACUUCCUUUCCCUUUAAGCUUUGCUAGUCUUGAUACCCAUGGUAAUGGGAUUGCUGAGUCCUCGUGGCUCACAGAUUACUACAACAAUAGUUGCAGGUACAAGUUAUGCGAUGAUCAUGACGCGAGAGUGAUGUUUCUUGUUUCAGAGUUCUUCUUCCGCUUCUUCUUCGAUCAUGGGAUAGGUUCCAGGUCGGCAGCCUGGGCUAGCAGGGUGGAUGUCGUUUGAGUUUCUAUUUGUGUUUCAUCCGUAGUCGGAUGUUGCUCUUGUGUAUGAUGUAUUGAUGUAUUCGUGCGGCAUUUGUAUGCCUUGUAUGUAUCCCCAUCUAUUAUGUAAUGUUGAUGUAAUGAUAUCCACCUUGCAAAAGUGUUUCAAUAUGCGGGUCUAUCCUUGGUGGGACCUUCGAGAUCCUCUUGGAUAGGGUCGCAUAUUGGGCGUGACAAGUCGGUAUCAGAGCCUCGACCGACCUUAGGAGCCCCCCUUGAUUGAUCGUGUAGUUUGGCCGCUGUCGAGUCUAGAAGAAACCUUCUUGUGUGUCUAGUUAUAUCAGAGAGUAGGAAUUCUUUUUACUCCUCAGCCCCUUUGUCGCUCUGGUAAGGAAUCUUGAUGUAGGUGUUUUGAAUCACUCCUCUUCCCCUUCAAUUUUUUCUUUAGAAUCAUGCAGUUGAUUUUCCGAUCAUUGGUUCUCAGCUCUUUUGAUCCGGUGCAUUUCUCGACAAGUUGACUCGAGACUCUUCAUCUUUGCGAAGUUCAAUCCACAGUCCGCUCUCAACGAAGUUGUUUCUCUGCCUGCAGUUGUCUUCUUUCCACACCCGCCCACCCCUUUUCCUUCUCGGAGCCGGAGUCCGUAAUCGAGUAUCCAUCCUACUCGUGCGAAAUCUUUGCUUUCUUUCCUCAAUGAUUUCAACCGGUGUUUUCUCUUCAAGAUAUUCGUAGCUUCCCCCUUCCAAGUUGCCUUUGUUUUCCCGCCCUCCCACCCUCUUCUUCCUGGACUCCGAGUCUGUUUCGACCAUCAAUUUCAUUCGUGUGGAGCCUCUUCAGUCUUUGUCAAUUAAUUCAAUCGGCAAAUUCUCGUCUCGUUCGUCAUUCUCCAUCUCUUUUCUUCUCCGAUGGAUUCAAUUCUAAUUUUCGGUAGUGAUUAUAUUCUUUCCCUCGGCUCAAGUGUUUUCCUUGCUCGUUCGCCUCUUGCCAGUUUAUCCUUCCGGAGUGUUCAAGACAUCCCAGAAGAUUCAUCUGUGUUCGAAUUAAUUUGAGGUUGUCACCUCAUUCAAAUAUUUUAAUUGUUCCGGUGCAUCAUCUAUCUCUUCAACAUCCCUUUCCAACGGUGUUUUUAUCUUCAGUGGGCCCUAACCCACAGGUCUUUUCCCAGGAUCUUACCUGACUCUUCUAAUUUCCCGGAGCUAUUCUCAAAUCCUUUUCAAGUGUGACAUAAGAAUGGAUCCCAUUAGUCAUAUGCCUUCUCCAACAUCGUUUUCAAGUUCUUUCAUUGUUGGCUCAACCUCUUCGCUUUUUCAUUCUCCCGGAGUAUCUCAGUAAUUUUGGUGGUGUUUCUCGUCGUCAUUUGAAGACCGAAGAAGAAUUUUUCCUCUAAAUCUUGCCCGUUCUCUCGAAGAUUCGUGGUUCUAGCUUCUUGUUAUCCUCUCGAAUUAUUCCGUUUGUCAGAUAUUCUUUCUUACCCAUUCGGAGUAUGUCAGGAGUUCUUUUUCCAUUUAUUUUCACCGAAGGCCAUCGUUUCAGAAGAAUUCUUCGUCCUCACAUUUCAGCUACCGUUAUCAAAUUACCCCAGCGCAUCUAUCAAGUGUUCUUUAAUCAGCUCGUGAUCUCUUCGUUCUUUUUUGCAUCUAAAUUCCCUCUAGCAUAUUGUUCUUCCAAUCCUUCACGGUGAUUCAUGCUCUUUCAUUAGUCAUUUUUGAGUUCUUACAGUGGUUCGUUCAUGAUUCUUUUUCCUUGAUUAUCAUUUUAAUCCAUUCGUUCUUUCGAAUCCUACCGGUGGUUCAUGAAGACUUUCUCAAGUUUUGCCUAUAUCCCCCCUAAAUCUUUUCCAACGCGAAUAAGUGGUAUGCAAAUCCAUGGUAUCUCAUCAAUUUAAUUAAUGGAGGAUAGGCAUAACAUAAUUCUUAUUCUUCCCCAUCAAGUUAUCCAAUCCCUUCCUUCAGAGUUGUUCAUGAUGAAUAUACUCUAAUCCCAAGUGAUUCCAUCUUUCUUUUGGGAGUUCCAAGCUAAUCUCGCUUAUCUCGUCGGAACCUCCAUCUAAGUCACCACAAGCUUUAAUCUUACUCUUUCAUCCUUUAUUCUAUCUCUUCAUCCUUUCGACACCGGAGUUCUUCAUGGUGGUUCUUGAUGAAUUAAUUCAUUCUUCAAGUGUUCAUCAAGAUUCUUAUCGAAGGAGCUCAAGUAUCUUUCCUUCUUGUUUUUCAAAGUGCAAUUAAAUCUCUGUAUUCUUUUGAAGUGAGGUUUUGCUUUUCUUCAUUAUUCCCAGAUAUUCAAGCAUUUGGUUGUGGCAUAAUUGCACCUCAAGUUUUGAGUUGUUUUUGGAUAAGUCCACAACAAGCUUAUUCUUUUCGUUGUUGAUUUUCUCAACAACUCCAUUCAAUCCUUCCUUCUAAGUUCUUUUCAUUCCACUAUUUCAACUCUUCGGGGGUUUUGUGUUGUUCCGCAAGUAAAGUAUCGUUCCAUCUUCUCAAGUUCAUGUUCUAAUCUUUCUUUGUUCAGCUGGAGUUCUGCCUAAAUUCUGUCAUCCUUAUUCUACUUCUAUCUUGUUCUAACCGGAGUGGUUUCAGAUUCAUUUUUGUUUUGGAGCUUUGAUUCUCGUCAUAUUCGUCGUUUCUUUUCCUACUCGAGUGUUCUCGACUUUGUUCGCCCUCUCUCUUCUGGUCUUACUUCACCUCAUCCUCUUUCCCCCCGUCUCGGUCCUAAGAUCUCGGGACGAGAUCUCUUGUUAGUGGAGGAGUGUUGUAACACCCCGGAUUCGAUGCGCCAGAUGUCUGCCAUUUAUUCACCAUCGUUGCCAUGUCAUUUGCUUGCGUGUUGCAUUUUGCCAUGUCAUCAUUUGCAUUGUGUCAUCAUGUGCAUUGCAUUGCAUUGCAUACGUGUUCGUCUCAUGCAUCUGAGCAUUUUCCCCGUUGUCCGUUUUGCAAUACGGCACUCCUAUGUCACCCGGCUUCCCCUUCUUGUCUCUUUUCGUGAGAGGGUGUUAAACAUUCUCGGAAUGGACCCAUGUUUGCGAAGCGGCCUUGGUACACCACCGGUAGACCGCCUGUCAAGUUUCGUGCCAUUUGGAGUCCGUUUGUUGCUCCAACGAUUAACCGGGUAGCCGCAAAAGCCUCUUUAUGUUGCAGCCCAACACCCCUCCAAAGUGGCCCAAUAACCCAUACAAAUCCCCCUCAUGCUCUCGGUUGUUCGAUCACGAUCGCGUGGCUGAAAACUGCACUCCAUUUGGAGUCUCCUAGCUCCCUCUAUCUAUAAAUUAGCCCCUCCCCCCGAAAUUCGCGGAUGAAUUUCACCCUAACCCUAGCUCCGCCGGACACGUCCGUCCCGCGCCGGACAUGUCCAGCGCCGCUGCCCGUCCAAUCCCACCGAGCCACGUGUCCCGCGCCGCCGUCCCCCGCCACGGCCACCGCGGCCCGCCCNNNNNNNNNNNNNNNNNNNNNNNNNNNNNNNNNNNNNNNNNNNNNNNNNNNNNNNNNNNNNNNNNNNNNNNNNNNNNNNNNNNNNNNNNNNNNNNNNNNNNNNNNNNNNNNNNNNNNNNNNNNNNNNNNNNNNNNNNNNNNNNNNNNNNNNNNNNNNNNNNNNNNNNNNNNNNNNNNNNNNNNNNNNNNNNNNNNNNNNNNNNNNNNNNNNNNNNNNNNNNNNNNNNNNNNNNNNNNNNNNNNNNNNNNNNNNNNNNNNNNNNNNNNNNNNNNNNNNNNNNNNNNNNNNNNNNNNNNNNNNNNNNNNNNNNNNNNNNNNNNNNNNNNNNNNNNNNNNNNNNNNNNNNNNNNNNNNNNNNNNNNNNNNNNNNNNNNNNNNNNNNNNNNNNNNNNNNNNNNNNNNNNNNNNNNNNNNNNNNNNNNNNNNNNNNNNNNNNNNNNNNNNNNNNNNNNNNNNNNNNNNNNNNNNNNNNNNNNNNNNNNNNNNNNNNNNNNNNNNNNNNNNNNNNNNNNNNNNNNNNNNNNNNNNNNNNNNNNNNNNNNNNNNNNNNNNNNNNNNNNNNNNNNNNNNNNNNNNNNNNNNNNNNNNNNNNNNNNNNNNNNNNNNNNNNNNNNNUCGCCGCCCGGACGCCUCGUCCCCAACUCUGGUGCGCCGUCCCCGCCGCCAUGCGCCUCCCCUGCCGCCAGCCUCCGCCUCUCCACGCCGGUCGCCGGCCCCGGCUGCCGCCCGCGCCCGGCCCCGCGUUUCCUUCGCCGGAACUCGGCCGGAUCCGGCGAGAUCCGACCGGAUCCGCCUCGUCCCGCCCCUCCAAGACCUCGUCGGCCCCAUCUUCCUCCUCUUCUCCGGCGAGCUCUCCGGCGAGAUCCGCCUCGCCUCGAAAUACAUGCAGAUCUGAGGUUGACCCCGAUUUUCCCCAAGUCCCCGUAAUAUUUGCAUUUUGGUCCCCUGUUCAUCGCAUCAUAACUCUUUGCAUACUGCUCCUGUUUCUGCGUCCUAUAUAUCAAAAUUUUCAUCAUGAGAUGCUCUACAUUUCAUUCCAUUGUGUCAUGCUUGUUUGAGUUCAUCUUGAUGCCCUAAUCAUCGUUGCAAGAGUGCUAUAUGACGUUAACCUGCUGAAACUGUUAUAACUUGGUGAUUUGUCAUUUUUGUUGCAUUUGAUGUGUGCAUCCUAUGAGCAUGAGCUCUACAUGUGCUUUGAACUACAUCAUGCCAUAUUUACAGAGGUGUAAUCUAUGUAUUUUUGUGAUUCUUGUAGUGAGUGCAUCGAGCUUGUUAAGUAGGGUACUUGCUAUUGCUGUUUUGCUAGGCUGAAUCUGUUUUUUCGUGAUGCUAUGCAAACCUGCUGCUACAAGUCAUUCUAUGCAUAAUCUGGAGAUGUUCACUAAGCAUGUUUUGUUAUACAUGUCAUGCUCUAUCCAUCCAUGCCCCCGGUUGCAUAUAUAGCCUGCUGCAGCUUGUUGUAGUCUUGCUCCAAAUUUGCUAAAUAAUGUUGCUGUCAGCCUGUUAACAUGAAGUUCAGUUUUGCCAUGUGUUUUUCUAGUGAUACAUGCAUCCUAUGAACUUGCUCUUGCCAUGCUUGGCUUUAUAAAUAUGUCAUAUUACUGUUGGUCACCUUGUCAUGCCAUGAAAUGCUCUGUAGUGAGUGGUACAAGCUCACCAACUUGCCUACUUCUCGUUGUUCCUGCCAUGCCCUGAUGGCUGAAUCUGUUAAUGAAACUUUCUAUGUUUACAUGGGUGCCAUCAUAUCUUCUGGUCCUUUUUGGCUCAUGGUCAGUCAAGGACUUUUGUUCUAUGCUUUUGGUAGAUUCAUGCCAUGCCUUAUUUUGCUAUGAUAAGUUCUUGUAGCAUGUUGUUUGAUAGCUCUAAAAAUUGCAACCUGAUGUUAUUUCUGUUAAGCCUAAAACUGUUAUUAUUUGCAAUCUUGCCAUGUCUUUUUGAGCAUGUUCAUGUAUUUUCUCGAGAUAUCUCAGUGUUCAUGUUUUGUUAUGCUUUACCUGUACAUCAUGUAAAUGCCUUUUGUUUGCACGUUGGGAUGCUGUAACAUAUUGUUUUGAUGCUUGCUGGAUGCCUAGUUGCUGUUUUGGACAGCUUGUCCUUUAAACUUGUAUAGUGUAUGUGUUGAACCAUUGCUCCGUUUUGAGUGUGCUCUAUAUGAAACUUGCUUAGAAUUGCAUGUAGUUUCAUAUUACCUUGUUGCAUCCAUAUCUGGAGAGUGUUUGCUUGAUGUUUGUAUGCAUUUUGCAUCAAUGCCAUGUUUAACUUGUUUUGCUUAUAUCUUCUAGGCUGUAGCUCCGAAUUAAUUGAACUUUAUAUGUUACUUGACUAGAAUCUCGUGUAGAUCAUCUUGGUGCAUCCUAACUUUCUGUUUAACAACUUGAACAUAAGGUUUAUUCAUAUCUGUACCAACUUCUAAAUUUGAAUAUGAGGACUUACCGGAUUUGUUAUAUGUUGUUUCCGGCCUCAUUUAAACUUGCCUUGUUGUGUUGUUCUUGUUUGCAUUAUCUCUUGCCAUGAGUAGCCUCUUCUAGCUUUGACAUGCAUCAUACUUGGUUGAGCAUCAUGUGAUGUAUAUGUGUAGUGUGUUUACCAUGUUGUGUGCUUUUUCUCGAUAGUUCCCGUUUCGUUGCGAUCGUGAGGAUUCGUUCGUCUAUGCUUGGUUCGGCUUCAUCCGUUCAUCUUCUUCAUGGACUCGUUCUUCUUCCUAGUGGGAUUUCAGGCAAGAUGACCAUCACCUUGGAUCUCAUUACUAUCAUUGCUAUGCUAGUUGCUUCAUUCUAUCGCUUUGCUGCGCUACCUAUCUUUUGCUCUUCAAGCCUCCCAAUUUUCCAUGUCAGCCUCUAACCUUUUUUUUCCCUUCCUACCAAACCGUUGCUUGGCUAUGGUACCACUUUGCUCAACCCCUCUUAUAGCGUUGCUAGUUGCAGGUGAAGUUGAAGAUUGCUCCAUGAUGGACAGGAUUAUGUUGGGAUAUCACAAUAUCUCUUAUUUAAUUAAUGCAUCUAUAUACUUGGUAAAGGAUGGAAGACUCGGCCUUAUGCCUGGUGUUUUGUUCCAUUCUUGCCGCCCUAGUUUCCAUCAUAUCGGUAUUAUGUUCCCGGAUUUUGCGUCCCUAACGCGGUUGGGUGAUUUAUGGGACCCCCUUGACAGUUCGCUUUGAAUAAAACUCCUCCAGCAAGGCCCAACCUUGGUUUUACCAUUUGCCUACCACCUAUACCUUUCCCUUGGGAGUAAUUAACCCGAGGGUCAUCUUUAUUUUAGCCCCCCUGGGCCAAUGAUUGUCUAAGUGUUGGUCCAAACCGAGCGAUGUCCGGCGCCCCCUGGGCAACCAGGGUCUAUGCCAACCCGACGUCUUGCUCAUCCGGUGUGCCCUGAGAACGAGAUAUGUGCAGCUCCUAUCGGGAUUUGUCGGCACAACGGGUGGUCUUGCUGGUCUUGUUUUACCAUUAUCGAAAUGUCUUGUAAACCGGGAUUCCGAGACUGAUUGGGUCUUCCCUGGAGAAGGAAUAUCCUUCGUUGAUCGCGAGAGCUUAUCAUGGGCUAAGUUGGGACACCCCUGCAGGGUAUAAACUUUCAAAAGCUGUGCCCGCGGUUAUGCGGCAGAUGGGAAUUUGUUAAUGUCCGGUUCCAGAUAACUUGACACCCGAUCCGAAUUAAAACGCAUGAAUCACGUGUGUAGCCGUGAUGGUCUCUUUUCGGCGGAGUCCGGGAAGUGAACACGGUUUUGGGUUAUGUUUGACGUAAGUAGGAGUUCAGGAUCACUUCUUGAUCAUUGAUAGCUUCACGACCGUUCCGUUUGCUCUCUUCUCCACUACUAGGAAAAUGCCUACUAAUGGCGCACCGGUUUUGCCUAUUAAUGGCGCACUACCGGUGCGCCAUUAGUAUCUGGUAUACUAAUGGCACCAGCGGUGUGCCAUUAGAAUAGCCCACGGUGUGCCAUUAGUAUCUGGUAUACUAAUGGCGCACCACAUAGAAGUGCGCCAUUAGUAACAAUAUUUUUUCAAUAUUUUUUUAAUUUUUUUUCAAAUUUUUUUUUCGUUUUUUUCUUAAUCUCAGUUCACUAUGGCUUAAUCUCGGGUCAAUAUGCUUAAUAUCAGGUCAAAUUGCACUCCGUGCUUCACGACCGUUCCGUUUGCUCUCUUCUCCACUACUAGGAAAAUGCCUACUAAUGGCGCACCGGUUUUGCCUAUUAAUGGCGCACUACCGGUGCGCCAUUAGUAUCUGGUAUACUAAUGGCACCAGCGGUGUGCCAUUAGAAUAGCCCACGGUGUGCCAUUAGUAUCUGGUAUACUAAUGGCGCACCACAUAGAAGUGCGCCAUUAGUAACAAUAUUUUUUCAAUAUUUUUUUAAUUUUUUUUCAAAUUUUUUUUUCGUUUUUUUCUUAAUCUCAGUUCACUAUGGCUUAAUCUCGGGUCAAUAUGCUUAAUAUCAGGUCAAAUUGCACUCCGUGGUCAAACUUCCUGAAAGGUCACCCAUCCUCACACUACUCCAGCCCAAGCACGCUUAACUUCAGAGUUCUAUCCAAUCCCAGCAACAUCUCACUUCACAGGCACUUGUUGAUAUAUCUAGCAUAUCAAUCCUGUUAUACCUUGUUGAUGUCUAGGACUUUGUUCAUGUUCAUGACUAUGAUGAAAUUUUGAAAAAUAUUUCAAACUUCCCAGUCAUAUUAGGUAUCAUUUUUUGAAAAAAAAUUCAAAAAAAAAAUUCAAAACCAAUUUUUUUCUGUUACUAGUGGCGCACCACAUCCACGGUGCGCCACUAGUAAGUUUGAAUUUUUUUGAAUUUUUUUGCCUCUAAAUCUUGAAAGCCCCGUAACUUUUUUGCUGUUAGUUUUUUUGGGGAUUUUGAAAAUGUUUAACGGGGUUCCCCCAGUUAAGUUUGGAUGUAACUUUUCGAGUAGAUGAUUUUUCAUAUAAAAAACUUUUUCAUCCGAGUUCGUAUGCAAAAGUUAUGCCCAUUUUACAAAUUUCCAGAGAGAUUUUGCAAAUAAAGUCGAAAUUCAUAUUUGUAAAUUUUCCCAACAACUAGAGCACAUAUCACAUGAGAAACUUUUUUUUUAUUUUUUUGACAUUUCCAUCAUUUUCUCUUAUUUUUUAAAAACUGAAAAGGCGAUCCACUAGGGGGGUGCAUUCGAUGUUGGGGCAAGUUAGUAAUGGCGCACCAUGGGGUGGUGCGCCAUUACUAGUCAAACUAGUAAUGGCGCACCGAGACAUGGUGCGCCAUUAGUAACAAAUUUUUUUAUUUAUUUUUUACUUUUUUUCAAAACUACUAAUGGCGCACGACGGAUGUGGUGCGCCAUUACUAUGUCAAUUAGUAAUGGCGCACUAUACAACGGUGCGCCAUUAGUAACAAAUUUUUUUUAUGUUUUUUUUCAAAACUACUAAUGGCGCACCACACACCAGGUGCGCCAUUAGUAAUAUAUUACUAAUGGCGCACCGAGACAUGGUGCGCCAUUAGAAUAUAGUAAUGGCGCACCACAUCACAGGUGCGCCGUUAGUGGCCAUUCCAUCUAUAGCCCUUUUUGUAGUAGUGCUCGCACUUAUUUGCGUAUGUUAGCCACCAUAUAUGCUUAGUCGCUGCUGCAACCCCACCACUUUACCCCUUCCUUUCCCUUUAAGCUUUGCUAGUCUUGAUACCCAUGGUAAUGGGAUUGCUGAGUCCUCGUGGCUCACAGAUUACUACAACAACAGCUGCAUGUAUAUGUUAUGCGAUGAUCAUGACGCGAGAGCGAUGUUUCUUGUUUCGGAGUUCUUCUUCCGCUUCUUCUUCGAUCAGGGGAUAGGUUCCAGGUCGGCAGCCUGGGCUAGCAGGGUGGAUGUCGUUUGAGUUUCUAUUUGUGUUUCAUCCGUAGUCGGAUGUUGAUCUUGUGUAUGAUGUAUUGAUGUAUUCGUGCGACAUUUGUAUGCCUUGUAUGUAUCCCCAUCUAUUAUGUAAUGUUGAUGUAAUGAUAUCCACCUUGCAAAAGCGUUUCAAUAUGCGGGUCUAUCCUUGGUGGGACCUUCGAGCUCCUCUUGGAUAGGGUCGCAUAUUGGGCGUGACAACUAAGGAGAUGUUUCUGGAUUAUGGAGGUGAUAAAAAGAGCCCGUCGUAAAGAGUUACAUCGGUGCAAGCUUUUACACCAAUCCAGAUGACUCUAAGUCUCAAUCUGGAUACAUAUUGAAAGUGGGAGCAAUUAGCUAGAGUAGGUCCAUGCAGAGCAUUGUAGACAUAGAAUAUUUUCAAAAAUACAUACGGCUCUGAAUGUGACAGACCCGUUGACUAAACUUCUCUCAUGAGAAAAACAUGAUCAUACCUUAGUACUCUUUGGAUGUCAAUCACAUAGCGAUGUGACCUAGAUUAUUGACUCUAGUAAACCCUUUGGGUGUUGGUCACAUGACGAUGUGAACUAUGGGUGUUAAUCACAUACAGAUGUGAAUAUUGGUGUUGAAUCACAUGGUGAUGUGAACUAGAUUAUUGACUCUAGUGCAAGUGGGAGACUGAAGGAAAUAUGCCCUAGAGGCAAUAAUAAAGUUAUUAUUUAUUUCCUUAUAUCAUGGUAAAUGUUUAUUAUUCAUGCUAGAAUUGUAUUAACCGGAAACAUAAUACAUGUGUGAAUACAUAGACAAACAGAGUGUCACUAGUAUGCCUCUACUUGACUAGCUCAUUAAUCAAAGAUGGUUAUGUUUCCUAACCAUGGACAAAGAAUUGUCACUUGAUUAACGGGAUCACAUCAUUAGGAGAAUGAUGUGAUUGACUUGACCCAUUCCAUUAGCUUAGCACUUGAUCGUUUAGUAUUCUGCUAUUGCUUUCUCCAUGACUUAUACAUGUUCCUAUGACUAUGAGAUUAUGCAACUCCCGUUUAUCCGAGGAACACUUUGUGUGCUACCAAACGUCACAACGUAACUGGGUGAUUAUAAAGGUGCUCUACAGGUGUCUCCAAAGGUACUUGUUGGGUUGGCGUAUUUCAAGAUUAGGAUUUGUCACUCCGAUUGUCAGAGAGGUAUCUCUGGGCCCACUUGGUAAUGCACAUCACUUAAGCCUUGCAAGCAUUGCAACUAAUGAGUUAGUUGCGGGAUGAUGUAUUACAGAACGAGUAAAGAGACUUGCCGGUAACGAGAUUGAACUAGGUGACGAUCGAAUCUCGGGCAAGUAACAUACCGAUGACAAAGGGAACAAUGUAUGUUGUUAUGCGGUUUGACCGAUAAAGAUCUUCGUAGAAUAUGUAGGAACCAAUAUGAGCAUCCAGGUACUGCUAUUGGUUAUUGACCGGAGACGUGUCUCGGUCAUGUCUACAUAGUUCUCGAACCUGUAGGCUCCGCACGCUUAAAGUUCGGUGACGAUCGUAAUUAGGGUUUUUGUGUUUUGAUGUAACGAAGGUUGUUCGGAGUCCCGGAUGUGAUCACGGACAUGACGAGGAGUCUCAAAAUGGUCGAGACAUAAAAAUUGAUAUAUUGGAGGCCUAUAUUUGGAUAUCGGAAUCGUUUCGGGUGAAAUCGGGAUUUUACCGGAGUACCGGGGGGUUACCGGAACCUCCCCGGGGGUUAAUGGGCCUACAUGGGCCGUAAGGGAGAAGAGGAGGGCCCGCCAGGGCAGGCCGCACGCCCCCUUCCCCCCUAGUCCGAAUAGGACAAGGAAGGGGUGGGGGGGCGCCCCCUUUCCUCUUUCCCCCUUCCCCUUUCCUUCUCCAACAAGGCAAGAGGGAGGAGUCCUACUCCCGGUGGGAGUAGGACUCCUCCAGGCGCACCUCUAGGGGCCGAUCGCACCUCCCCCACCCCUCCUUUAUAUACGGGGGCAGGGGGCACCCCAGAACACACAAGUUGAUCUUCGUGAUCGUUCCUUAGUCGUGUGCGGUGCCCCCCUCCACCAUAUUCCACCUCGAUCAUAUCGUAGCGGUGCUUAGGCGAAGCCCUGCGUCGGUAGAACAUCAUCACCGUGAUCACGCCAUCGUGCUGACGAAAAUCUCCCUCAACACUCAGCUGGAUCGGAGCUCGAGGGACGUCACCGAGUUGAACGUGUGUAAAACUCGGAGGUGCCGUACAUUCGGUACUUGGAUCGGUCGGAUCAGGAAGACGUACGACUACUUCCUCUAUGUUGUGUCAAUGCUUCCAUUGCCGGUCUACGAGGGUACGUAGACAACACUCUCCCCUCUCGUUGCUAUUCAUCACCAUGAUCUUGCGUGUGCGUAGGAAUUUUUUUGAAAUUACUACGUUCCCCAACAUCACAUACCUCCUUAUUUUCACGAUUCUAGAGUGUUCCGGAAGGACUCUCUUAUGUGUUCUCCCGGUGUCAAAGUUUGGAUAACAUUACUUUCAACAUUAAUGGGCGUAUCUGAGAUAUAAUGUUUUAUUCGGUGCCCAUUGACAACUUUCGGGUUAGUCCCUUCGGCAUUAUUUAUUUUGAUAGCUCCGGAUCGAUAGACCUCCUCGAUGACAUAGGGUCCUUCCUAUUUGGAGAGGAGUUUUCUUGCAAAGAAUCUGAAAUGAGAGUUGUACAAAAUAACAUAUUCACCUACUUUGAACUCACGCCUUUGGAUUCUUUUGUGAUGCCAUCUUUUAACUUUUUCUUUGAAUAACUUAGCAUUUUCAUAAGCCCGGGUUCUCCAUUCAUCUAGUGAGCUAAUAUCAAACAACCUCUUUUCCCCAGCAAGUUUGAAAUCAUAAUUGAGUUCUUUAUUGCCCAAAAUGCUUUAUGUUCUAACUCAAGAGAUAAAUGACAAACUUUUCCAUACACCAUUUUAUAUGGAGACAUACCCAUAGGGUUUUUAUAUGCUGUUCUAUAAGCCCAAAGUGCAUCAUUUAAUUUCUUAGACCAAUUCUUCCGGGACCUAUUAACAAUCUUUUGUAAGAUUAAUUUUAUUUCUCUAUUGCUAAGUUCAACUUGACCACUAGACUAAGGAUGAUAAGGUGACACAGUUCAAUGGUUAACAUCACACUUAGCAAGCAUCUUACAGAAAGCACCAUGAAUAAAGUGUGAACCACCAUCAGUUAUUAAAUAUCUAGGGACUCCAAACCUUGGAAAAAUAACUUCCUUAAGCAUUUUAAUAGAGGUGUUGUGAUCAGCACUACUGCCCCAAACAUCAAAUGGUUCAACAGCAAGUGAAUAAUUCAUAGGCAUUUCUUGACGCUUACAGAUAUUACCUAUUCUUUGGCAUUCAUCACACGAUGAGACAAACUUACGUGCAUCUUUGAAGAGAGUAGGCCAAUAAAAACCAUAUUGCAAUACCUUAUCAGCGGUUCUGUCUCUCGCGUGAUGUCCUCCAUAAGCUUCGGAGUGACAUUUCUGUAGGAUUCGUUCCUGUGCUCAGGUACACAACAUAUAAUAAUACCAUCUACUCCUUCUUUAUAAAGAUGUGGAUCAUCCCAAAAGUAAUGUCUUAAGUCAUAGAUUUUCUUCUUCUUUUGUUGGUAUGUGAAGCUAGGUGGUAUGUAUUUAGCAACAAUAUAAUUAGCAUAGUCAGCAUACCAAGGUGUACUAUAAGAAACAUUUAUUGCAGCUAGUUGUUCAUCAGGAAAGCUAUCAUUAAUAGGUUGUGUGCCAUCAAGAAUAUUUUCAAGUCUAGACAGGUUAUCAGCCAUGAGAUUAUCUGCUCCUUUUUCCUAUCAAUAAUAUGCAAAUCAAAUUCUUGUAGCAGAAGAACCCACCCGAUGAGUCUAGGUUUAGCAUCUUUCUUAGCAGCAUGAUCGGUGUGAAUAGUUAAUUUAGAAUCAACAAUGUAAGAUCUGAAUUUAUCACAAACAAACGCCACUGCUAAGAAUUCUUUUUCAGUAGUAGCAUAAUUUCUUUAAGCACUGUCUAGAGUUUUACUAGUAUAAUGAAUAACAUUUAGUUUCUUAUCAACUCUUUGUCCUAGAACAACACCAACAACAUAAUCACUAGUAUCACACAUAAUCUCAAAAGGCAAGUUCCAGUCAGGUGGCUGAACAACAGGUGCAGUGAUUAAGGCUUUCUUUAGUGUUUCAAAGGCUUCCAUACAAUCAUCAUCAAGCAGAAAGAGAAUAUCCUUUUGUAAAAGAUUAGUAAGAAGCCUAGAAAUUUUAGAGAAGUAUUUGAUAAACCUUCUAUAGAAACCAGCAUUACCAAGGAAACUAGAAUACCUUUGAUGUCUUUAGGACAUGGCAUUUUCUCAAUUGCAUCAACCUUGGCUUUGUCCACCUCGAUGCCUCUUUCUGAAAUUUUGUGGCCCAAGACAAUACCUUCAUUAACCAUAAAGUGGCACUUCUCCCAAUUCAAGACAAGAUUUGUUUGUUCACAUCUCUGCAAAACUCUAUCAAGAAUACUUAAACAAUCAUCAAAAGACUUUCCAUAAACAGAAAAGUCAUCCAUGAAAACCUCAACAAUGUUUUCACAAAAAUCACGGAAUAUAGCAGUCAUACAUCUUUGGAAGGUAGCAGGUGCAUUACAUAAACCGAAAGGCAUGCGUCUAUAAGCAAAUGUUCCAAAAGGACAAGUAAAAGUGGUAUUUUCUUGAUCAGAUUGUAAAACAGGUAUUUGUGAAAAGCCAGAGUAUCCAUCAAGGAAGCAAAAAUGUGUGUGCUUAGACAAUCUUUCUAACAUUUGAUCAAUAAAAGGUAGAGGGUAGUGAUCUUUUCUAGUAGCUUUAUUUAAUUCUCUAUAAUCAAUUACCAUUCUAUAGCUCGUAACAAUUCUUUGUGGAAUAAGCUCAUUCUUAUCAUUAGGAACAACAGCAAUACCUCCCUUCUUACGGACACAAUGAACAGGACUUACCCAUCUACUAUCAGCUAUAGGAUAGAUUAUACCUGCUUCCAGAAGUUUCAAUAUUUCCGUUCUUACCACUUCUUUCAACUUCGGAUUUAACCAACGUUGGUGAUCAACAACAGGUUUAGCAUGAGGUUCCAUAUUAAUCUUGUGCUGACAUAGAGUGGGACUAAUUCCCUUAAGAUAAUCAAGAGUAUAUCCAAUAGCAGCACUGUGCUUCCUUAGAACUUUCAAUAAUCUUUCUUCUUCAUAUUCUGAAAGGUUAGCACUGAUAAUAACAGGAUAUAUCUUCUUUUCAUCAAGAUAAUCAUAUUUCAAAGUGUCUGGUAAUUGUUUUAAAUCAAACACAUGACCACCUUUAGGUGGAGGAGGACCUCCUAGAGUUUCAAUAGGCAAAUUGUGUUUAAGCAGAGGUUGUUGUUCGAAAAAGAUUCUAUCUAUUUCAUUUCUUUCAUGCAUAUGCAAAUCAUUUUCAUGGUCUAGCAAAUAUUGUUCCAAAGGAUCAGUAGGAGGCAGAGCAAUAGAAACAAGACCAAUAUUUUCAUCCUUACUAGCUAGGAAAAUCUUUCUUAUGAGGUUGUUUACUAAACUUGGAAAAAUUAAACUCAUGAGAUUCAUCACCAAAGUUAACACUGAUAGUUUGUUUCUUACAAUCUAUUUUAGCAUUGACUGUGUUCAAGAAAGGUCUACCAAAUAUAAUGGGACAAAAUUCAUCUUGUGGGGUGGUAAGAACAAGAAAAUCAGUAGGGUAUUUUACCUUCCCACACAAGACUUCAACAUCUCUAAGAAUCCCGAUUGGUGAUAUAGUAUCUCUAUUACCAAGUUUAAUAGUAACAUCUAUGUCUUUUAUUUCAGCAGGUGCUAUUUCAUCUUUAAUUUCUUCAUAUAAGGUAUAAGGAAUAGCACUCACACUAGCACCUAGGUCACAUAACCCAUGAUAACAAUGAUCUCCUAUCUUAACUGAGACAACAGGCAUGCCUACAACUGGUCUAUAUUUAUCUUUUCCUUCGGGUUUAGCAAUUCUAGAAGCUUCAUCACAGAAGUAAAUAACAUGCCGAUCAAUAUUAUCAACCAAGAGAUCUUUAAUCAUAGCAACACUAGAUUCAACUUUGAUUUGUUUAGAAGGUUUGGGUGUUCUAACAUAACUUAUGUUAACCAUAGCUGAAGCUUUAGCAUGCUUCUUCAUCCUAACAGGAAAAGGUGGUUUUUCAGUAUAAGCAGUGGGGACAACUGGAUCAACAUUGUAAAUGAUAGUUUCCUCUUUGGCUUUUAUCGGUUCUUUAACUUCUUCUUUAAUUGGUGGGUGAUAUUUAAACCACUUCUCCUUAGGGAGAUCAACAUGACUAGCAAAAGAUUCGCAAAAGGAUGCUACUAUCUUAGAGUCAAGUCCAUAUUUAGUGCUAAACUUUUGAAAAGCAUCGGUAUUCAUAAAAGAUUUAACACGAUCAAACUUAGGUUCAAUACCAGACUCUGUACCUUCUUCGAGUCAAUCUUCAUAGUUGCUUUUAAUUCUUUCUAAAAGAUCCCACCGGAAAUCAAUAGUCUUCUUCAUAAAAGAACCAGUACAAGAGGUAUCGAGCAUGGUUUGAUCAUUGCGAGAAAGCCGAGCAUAAAAAUUCUGAAUAAUAAUUUCUCUUCAGAGCUCAUGAUUGGGGCAUGAAUAUAACAUUGACUUAAGCCUCCCCCAAGCUAGAUCGGUACUUUCUCCUUCAAGAGGCCAAAAAUUAUAUAUAUAAUUCCGAUCACGAUGAACUAGAUGCAUAGGAUAAAAUUUAUGAUGAAAUUCCAAUUUCAAACGGUUCCAGUUCCAAGAUCCAAUAUCAUCGCAUAGCCUAUACCAUGUCAAUGCUUUUCCCUUGAAAGAUAAAAGGAAACCCUUCUUCUUAGCUUCACCUUCGGGCAAACCUGCACGCUUAAAUAAUCCACCAAUUUCAUCCACAUAUAUCAAGUGCAUAUCAGGAUGUUUGGUUCCAUCUCCCGCAUAAGGAUUAGCUAGCAGUUGUUAUAACAUACCCGAAGGGAUUUCAUAUUCAAUAUUUUCAGUAGGUGCAGUAGGUUGAGGGGCAAAUAAUUUUUGUUCCGGUCGAGGUGAAGAUACCCCGAACAAACCCCUCAAAGGAUUGUUUUCCAUAGUAUCAGGUGACAAUAAAUUUCAGCAUGUAGUAAUAAUGUUUCCUUACCAAUUUCCACUUACCAAGAGCGCUUCACUCCCCGGAAAUGGCGCCAAAAAAUAGCCUUGAUGACCCAAAAGUAUAUGGGGUCAAUUGUAGCCUCUUCGAUAAGUAAGAGUGUCGAACCCAACGAGGAGCAAAAGGAAAUGAAAACUAGUUUUCGGCAAGGUAAUGUCUGCAAGUGCUAAAAUUAUAAGUAGUGGAGUAGUUUGGUAGCAAGAUAAUUUGUAACGAGCAUGUAAAAAUAGCAGUAACAAAAGUGUAGGAAGGUAGCCCAAUCCUUUUGAGGCAAAGGACAGGCAAUAAUGGUUCCUUAUGAUAAGAAAAGUGUUCUUGAGGGUACACGGGAAUUUCAUCUAGUCACUUUCAUCAUGGUUGCUGAAUUCGUGUUCGGUACUUUGAUAAUUUGAUAUGUGGGUGGACCAGUGCUUAGGUGCUGUUCUUACUUGAACAGACAUCCUACUUAUGAUUAACCCUCCCGCAAGCAUCCGCGACUACGAGAAAAGUAUUAUAAAUAAAUUAUAACCUUAGCAUUAAACUUUUGGAUCCAAUCGGUCCCUUACGGAAUAGCGCAUAACUGGGGUUUAAGCUUCUGUCACUCUCGCAACCCACCAUUAACUACUCCACAAUGCAUUCCCUUAGGCUCAAAUAUGGUGAAGUGUCAUGUAGUCGACGUUCACAUGACACCACUAAGAGAAUGCAACAUACAUAUCAUCAAAAUAUCGAACACAUAUCAAGUUCACAUGAUUACUUGCAACAUUAUUUCUCCCGUGACCUCAAGAACAAAAGUAACUACUCACAAAUUAUAAACAUGCUCAAGAUCAGAGGGGUAUUGAAUAUCAUAAUGGAUAUGAACAUAUAAUCUUCCACCAAAUAAACCAUAUAGUAAUCAACUACAAGAUGUAAUCAACACUACUAGUCACCCACAAGCACCAAUCUAUAGUUUCGGUAAGAAGAUUGAACACAAGAGAUGAACUAGGGUUUGAGAGGAGUUGGUGCUGUGAAUAUGUUGAUGAAUAUAGCCCUCCCCAAGAUGGGAGAGUUGUUGGUGAUGAUGAUGAUGAUGAUUUCCCCCUCCGGGAGGGAAGUUCCCCUGGCGGAAUCGUUUAGCCGAAGGGCAAAAGUGCUCCUAACCAAGUUCCGCCUCGAGGCCGCGGCGCUUCGUCCCGAAUGUCCUCUCCUUAAUUAUUUUAGGUCAAAAUGACUUAUAUACCGGAAGAUGGGCACCGGAGGUGGGCCGAAGAGGGCAGCACCCACCAGGGUGCGCCUGGGCCUCCUGGCGCGCCUAGGUGGGUUAUGCCCACCUGGUGGCCCUCCUCUGGUACUUAUUUGCUCCAAUAUUCCUUAAAUAAUCCAUAAAAAAUCCUCUGGGAGCAUCAUCUUAUUUGUAGUUGUGCAGAAUAGGUAGCUUGGCGUAGCUUUUUCAGGUCAAGAUUUCCAGCUGCCAGAAUUCUCCCCCUUGGUGCAUACCUUGCAUAUUAUGAGAGAAAAGGCAUUAGAAUUACUCCAAAAAGCAUUAUUAUACAAUAAAACAACAUAAACAACAGUAGAAAAACAUGAUGCAAAAUGGACGUAUCAGCCACCAGCGGGGCCUCCCCUGCGGUAGGACCACCUUUUUGGGGUGCUGCCUUCUCUCCAUUGGAUCACCUUUCCAUGUGCCAUCAGCCAUACCCAGCUUUGGCUUGGCUAACAGAUGGGGAGGAGGAAGAAGUACUGUGCGUGGAGCUCUAGCUGUCUGCAAUGGUUGAGCAAGAGCACGAGGAAGAUGACGGUGGGCGAGGAAUGGGUAGGGGGUGCCGCUUCUUUUGUGUCCCCAUUAUAUAGACAGAAAGAAAGUGAAGUGGUGUCCCUCAUGUGAUGCACUAUAGGAACCCAGUAGCCCGCUGAGCCAUGUCCUCAUAAUUAAUGUGUCCCGGCCAUGAUGGAACGGGACUAGGUUUACUCCUAUGGUUCUUUGCACUCUCUGCUUGAACAGUCCAAACAUGAUCUGGGUGGACAUGGAGCGAUCCUUAGCAAUCUCUCCAUGGUACACCACACCAAAGCUAGGGCUAUAUCAUAGAUCAUCUAGUCUCGAUGUACCCAUGAUCCUAAUCGAUCUAUCCAUUGUACACCACACCAAAGAUCUAACACGAGGCUACGACCAACAAUACAAUCAAGUAGGACUAUGGUUUUACCACCAUCAUGAGGGCUUGAACCUAGGUAAUGCCUGGGAGAUUCCCUUCUGGCAUUCCGCCUAUGCAUGACACCUCAUCGAGAUUACUGUGAGUAUUAUGAACCGACAAGCAUGUUGUACUCCAUUAUGAACCUAGUUGUCAUCAAAGUGAUGCCAACACUCUCCCAAUAUGGCCAAUUUUGAAGCAAACUUGGCACAUCCUCGGUUGUCCUCCUAGAUUUCUCUAGACAUGCUCACCUUGUUGUCUUGUUGUGUUGUUGUUGCUACAAUUUCCAUAACAACAACCACAACUUUCUUCGUAACCUCUUUGAGCGAGAUCACCUCGUUGUCCUCAGGUGUUGGUGUUGCUUCCACUUUCGCAAUUUUCAUCACAAUGACCACAUCUUUCUCAGUAACUUCUCUAAGUAGUGGAAUCGAGUGAGGAUUGGAACCCAGUGCAUUGCUAGUUCCUUAAAUAAUAUCUUGCGAGUGUCAAAGGAGCAGAUAUAGGCAUAAAAAUUACAGAGAGUAAACAGACGAGUGAGAGAAACUACCCGCAACGAGGCUAUUUAUACAAAAAAAUCAAGAUUUUUCAUAUUGGGGGGGGGAUAUAUACAUAGUUCAAGCAUGGAAGAAGGGUAAUACAAAGAUCUCAUCGAUGAAGCUCGCAACGAUGAAGGCACAUGAUUUAUCCAGGUUUAGGCCCCCAACGGGACGACUCUACUUAACUUCCUGGCUUCAUUGAUAUCUCAUUCUACAGAAACAGACUACAAGAGUUUAUUUGGUGGCUAAAAUGGAUAAAAUCCUACGUGGUACAACACUUGAGUCAACAUGUGGCUUCAAGAUACUUUGCUUUAGCUUGGGUUUUCUCCUAGGCUUUCGAGUCCUCUAUAUUAUAUGUAUGUGUCAAGUCUUGGCCUCCAAGUCGAGCAUUAGAGCUAAAAUUGAGAUAGGCUAUAAGUGUUCCAAGAAUCUUGGCCUAAACAAACCUAGAUUCGGUCACAUAAUUUUCCAAAUUGCUCCCCAUUACCUCAUCAUAUUGUACUAGAUAGAAACUUCUAAAGAAUUUAACUCUUGUUCAUGGAUAUAUCUUUCGUUGGUAUUCACACCGCAUACUUACACAAUAUUCAUAUAAAUAAGAGUAUAUUUGCUGACAAAGCUCACUACAUGGGUACAAUUUACAUCGAGCCCGACUAGUAGGUACGGCAUCUUGUAAUUGUUAUCAACAUGCUUGCUAAGGGAAGAUAGCUCAUCUUCAAGAGCUUUCACAUUGGAGAUAUACUCCAUGGCUGUCAUGUUUCCUUCAUGAAUGUUGGCAAUCCUCAUCUUGUUACUGAUGACUUGUUCUCAAAUUGACCUAAGAACAUCUUUCUAAGCAGGAUCCAGACUUGUUCCAUGCUCAUCAUCCACCCCACAUAUGUCAAGAUGUCUUCUAAAAGAAAAUUCAGGAUAUGUCCUAGGAUUUAUUAGUCCUAAGCCAAUGAUAUAGGCCAGAUGGGGUAUUCAUUGUUUUCCUUGUUGGUUGUUUUCUCGAUGAUCUUGCAUGGUGCCAGGGAAGAUCCAUCAAGAAAAUUAGUGAGUUGCGCAUCACGAACCGUGGGCAAGAUUUGUGCUUCUGCAUAACAUAGUGUUCCCUUUUGAGUUCUCUGAUAUUUGUUCGUUGAGGGAAGCGGGAAUGGAGGAAACAGAUGAUGCCAUUGCUAUGAAUCUAGAAAAGGGUAGAUGUAAUACUAUUUAUUCAAUCAUGACACCGAUAGAUCAAAGCAUAUCGAGACAUACAAUAUAUUACAAUGACUGGUUAAAAGGAUCGAGGUGCAUGAAACAACUAGAGAUACACUACAAACCCAAACCUUUGUAUGAUUAGCUCGGUUUACAUGAUUAUAAGAACCUACACUGUUAAAUGAUGAAAGUGGAUUCAUCCACCUAAGUUAAUUCCAUGUCCGUUGAUCCGACAAUCUAACUCGAAAUGUUUUGGUUUUGAAUGCCUCUCCAUUGGACAGAAAUCAUCGACUUUGGUGUAGAAAUCUUCCUCCGAAGGUUGUAAGUGUUUCUAUGUUACUUUAUUUGCAUAGAAAUUAAUCACCCGUAGUACUCACAUAGUUGUAGACAUAGAUGCUUAGUAGAAAGAAAUCUUGAUGUACCUAAACAAUGACAAGAUAAUAUAAUGGAUUUCGUACCAUCACCAAUAAAUGCCAGAAGAAUACAUGAAACUAUGUGUGAUGUACACAAAGUCGGUCAUCAUCAAUCAUAUCAUUUUUGAGUCACAGAAUAUCGAAGCACAGUGAUAUCCUGUGAAUUUCCAUGGAGCUCGAAUUGCUGGUUUGUUGUAUGGACAUCCUAAAAAUCACACAAAUGAAUAAUUAUGUUACGAGAUACAAUAAUAUGACAUCUCAAACACUAUUAAUUUGACUUAAGGGACACAUUAGUGUUUACUAUCUUUAUGUAAAAUGUUUACGAAACCUAAAAAAUGUGUAUGAAAGGAGUCAAUGUGCCACACGACAAAUGGAGAUGAAAAUAAAGAAUUAAAGUGGCACACCAUAGAAGAAAUGGAAGUAUUCAAUGCAACACGGGAUAAAGAGAGAUGAAAUGAGUCAGCACACCACAUGACAAAUGGAGAUGAAAGGAUUCAAUGCGGCACAUGGCAAAAGGAGAUGAAAUGAGUCAACACACUAUGCGACAAAUUUAUAUCCUGUGAACCAAGAUGUUCAGAUUUGGUUGGUCAGGUUGGCACUUAUCUGUUUAUAUUUAGGAGACCUAGGGCACCACUUAAGCUCAUUGCUACAAAGAAAGUCGAGAACAGUACAAUGAUCUACAAGAAUUAUUACUAAAUGUGUUAGCUUGGUAAAUUUGAUACUAGUUAGUUCUCCCCCAUGCUUUCUAAUGGGCCAAUAGACCAGAGUUUCAUGAGCUAAUCUGUGGUCUUUUCUUUUAAUAAAAAAAGCAUGUAGGGGAUAAUAUCCCAUUACUUCCCAUGAAUAUACCCAUUUUUGUUUGGAUUCAUCGAGAUUGUGGAUUGUCAAAAUCCUGACUUUUCACGUGAGUAAUGAAAUUGACUGAGAGAUGGUCUGUCAAAUCCUUUUUUAUAAGAAUAAGUGAGUAUUCGAAUGCUUACAAUCUAUAUGAUAGUGUUUUUUUACAAAAAAGGAGUUUAUGAACGAUGUGAAAAAUGAAGCUGCAAUGUCAAAAGUAGAAUGUUUCCAUUUCCAUUGGCUGGGUCAUCGUCAUCUCCUCCAAAUUUCUUUCCCUAUAAACAGAAAACCAUAGAUAAAUUCUUGUAGAUCAAUGCAUCAAUUUGGCUUCGAUUUGAAGCAAUGAGCUUAAGUGGUGCCUCUAGCUAGGUCUUUCUAUGUAUAAAUCAUUGAGUGCCAUUUUGACUCUCCAAAUCUGAAUUUUUUGAUUCUCACGACAUAUAUUUGUCUCGUAGUGCAUUGUCUCAUCUUCAUUUGUCAUGUGCCCUGUUGAUCAUUUAAUCUCCAUUUUCACAUGGUGUGGUGACUCCUUUAAUCUCUGUUAUUCAAGAGACGCUUUGACUCAUUUCUUCCCCUUUGUUGUGUGGCACAUUGAGUUCUUUCACCUCCAAUUGUUAGGUGACACAUUGACUCCUUUCGUCUCCAUUUUCUAGGUUUUUGUAAGAAUUUUGCCACAAUGAUAGUAUAAGCACUACCGCACCCCUUAAAUCGUAUUAAUAUGUUUUGUGAAAUCAUAUGUUGGUAUUUCAUAAUAUAAUUAUUCAUGUACAUGAAUAAUGCGAGCUCCAGGGAAGUUCAUAGGAGAUCAUUUUUCUCUCUAAUAUUUUGCAAAAAAGAACAAGAAACAGUAGCCAUCGCAUGCCUUCUUCUUCGAGAAUGUGUUUUAAGUGGUUGGGAGUUCCACUCGUCUAAAUCAUACCAUAGGAUUUUGGUCCAACACUUAAAAUUUAAAUUUCAAAUUCAUUAUUGCUUAUGUAUCUAUGCAUGACGUCGACGUGCUCAGAAUCGGUAAGCAUUGUCGUGUUUCCUUUUGUUCUUGCUUCUAAGAAUUUCAAUUUUGAAUGGAUACUGGACUCCUUCGAGUCUGAUUUUCUGAAAACGUUGAAAAUAAAUAGUUGAGGUGUUUAUUUUUUUAUUUUUUUAGACAUGCUCAUAUAGAUGUCAUCUAUUGAAUCUUGAAUUCUUCAUGUAAUACAUAUUUAUAUAUACACGUACACAAAAGAACCAAUACCUACAUUUAGAAAUAGCAAACAACACAUGCAUACAAAUGCACAUACGGGGUAAAGUAUUUUUAAGAGAAGUUUACACAUAUGUAAAAUACACCAAUUAGUAUACACAAGACAAUUUUUUUCAGAAUUUAUCAGAACUUUUAAAUAUGAUUUUUGUUUAUUUAAAAUUAUCUCAACUCACUGGAGCCGGCCUCAAAAUUGCCUAUUCAUUCAACGGAUCAUCUAUUAGUUUAUGUAUCACAUGGUGCAAUUAGUGAGACAAUGAACAUACGCUUUCAGUCCACCAAAACAAAUUUCAUGAGAAUAAAGGUGAGGUAUUAAUUUGAGAUAUGACCUGAACAACGAAAAGCUUCUUGUGAAAUACAGACGAUAUAAUCUAGCUCCGACGUUGGACCACAAGAACGUUGACAUUUGACAAUGGAAUGAAAACAAAAACGAAUUUUUUUAUGGAGGGUAAUGAAAGUAAAAACAGCAGAAACUACAGACAUCCAUCGCCUGGACCACAAGAACUCCAUUCCUUCCGUCCCUUUAUUUCUUUCUCUCUUCUUUGUAAACGAUAUUUCUUUAUUUCUUGAAUACAUACGCCUGACACUUCAUAAUAAGGGCCAAAGCAUAAACAAUUAUCUUAGUGAUGUUCCACAGAGAAUGCAAUCAUUUGUUUCGAAUUUUGUUUCUAUUUGCCCAUAGGGUGCAUCCGACACUCGGUUGGGUCUAAACCCUGAACACUACCUUGCCGGGGUCCCCUCUCUCUCUCUCUCUCUGUGCACUAUUCUCUCUCUGCUCGAAAACGGAGAAAGAAGAAAAACGGAGAAGAACAGAGGACAUGGUGGUGCUCCCGGCGCACGAAUGCCGCGCCGCAACAACGGCAAAGUUUUUCCUCAAGCAACAAACUUGAGCUACACCCCACCAGCAACACACANNNNNNNNNNNNNNNNNNNNNNNNNNNNNNNNNNNNNNNNNNNNNNNNNNNNNNNNNNNNNNNNNNNNNNNNNNNNNNNNNNNNNNNNNNNNNNNNNNNNNNNNNNNNNNNNNNNNNNNNNNNNNNNNNNNNNNNNNNNNNNNNNNNNNNNNNNNNNNNNNNNNNNNNNNNNNNNNNNNNNNNNNNNNNNNNNNNNNNNNNNNNNNNNNNNNNNNNNNNNNNNNNNNNNNNNNNNNNNNNNNNNNNNNNNNNNNNNNNNNNNNNNNNNNNNNNNNNNNNNNNNNNNNNNNNNNNNNNNNNNNNNNNNGUCGCGCUCCCGAUGCAGCCCCACUCACCCACUCGCCACUCCCCGCGCUCGAAGGUUCAUGCGCAUGCACGCACAUGGAUGCGAUCAGGUCCAACACCCGGCGCGGCUACACACCCGCGCAUCUUGCCAACUAACCCAAACACGCGCACAUACACGUGCUAACACACACUCACACACCCUGCCACCGGCCUGACGCGACCAGCUCGCGCACAGACGCGGUCUGGCCACGACCGUGGCUUAUUUGGCUAACAUUCACCCCCUAAGCCGCAUCCUAGAGUAGUGCCGACUUGCGAUCGCCGAUCUCUGUAAUGAGGGCUUGCUUCGCCGCCACCGCCAGCUUCCAAGGCCUCGUUCACUCGCAUCGGAAGUGCCCGCGUUGGCCGCAAUUGUAGCAGCGACUGCGCCGCCUCCCUCCGCCGCCGUCGUCGUGGUGGAAACCGCCUCCUCCCCGUUGUCGCCACCUUGCAGCCCACUGCGCAGCUGUGAGCAUGAGCUAGUCGCCGCCGCCUCCGUCGCUGUCCUGGUUGUGCCGCCGCAUUCACUCCUUCAAUGCCUUGAGCCGCCCGAGCGCCUCAGAUGACCCGACAUGGUGUCCAGUAGCUUUUUCACCAUUGCCGCGUCAUCGAGCGUCGUCCUGAGCCCUACGUAGCGCAUAGCCAUGAUCUCGAUCCUACUGGCGUAGGCGUCCAGUGCCUCGCCGUCCGCCACGCGCAGCCGAUCGAAAUGGCCGCUGAGCAGCGACAACCGAGUCGCUCUGACCCGAUCCGCCCCGAGGAACCGUGCCUUGAGGCUGCUCCACACACCCGCCGCCAUCUUCUUUGUUCAUACCUACAUCAGCAGGUCGUCAGAGAGUGCACAUAACAGCACUGCCUUCGUCGCCUUGUUCGUCCCGGCGUCGGCCGCCGGCGACACCGCCUCCCAGAGACUCUAGUCGUCGAGGAUGGCCUCGGCCUUGAUCGCCCAUACCGUGUAGUCGUUUAGUGUGAGCAUCGGCAUCGCCAUCGACACUGUGUUCCCGCCUGCACCAUGCGGGACGAGCAUCAUGGACGCCGGUAGGACCCCUCCCAGCCUCGCUCUGAUGCCAUAUGUUGGGUCUAAACCCCAAACCCUAGCUCGUCGGAGUCCUCUCUCUCUCUCUCUCUCUGCACUCUUCUCUCUCUGGCUCGAACCAAACGGAGGAAGAAGAAAAACGAAGAAGAACAGAGGACACGGUGGUGCUCUCGGAGCACGAACCCCCCGCCGCAACAGUGGCAACAUUUUUUCUCAAUCAACANNNNNNNNNNNNNNNNNNNNNNNNNNNNNNNNNNNNNNNNNNNNNNNNNNNNNNNNNNNNNNNNNNNNNNNNNNNNNNNNNNNNNNNNNNNNNNNNNNNNNNNNNNNNNNNNNNNNNNNNNNNNNNNNNNNNNNNNNNNNNNNNNNNNNNNNNNNNNNNNNNNNNNNNNNNNNNNNNNNNNNNNNNNNNNNNNNNNNNNNNNNNNNNNNNNNNNNNNNNNNNNNNNNNAGCCCCACUCACCCACUCGCCACGCCCUGCGCUGCACGGUUCACGCGCCUGCCGUGCACGCACCCACACAGACGCGACCGGGUCCAACGCCCGGCGCGGCUACACACCCGCGCGUCUCAGCAACUAACCCAGAAACGCGCACAUACACGUGCUGACACACACUCACACACACUGCCAUGGGCCCGACGCGGCUACCGACCGGCGCCCGACGCGACCAGCUCGCGCACAGACGCGCUCCGGCCAUGGCCAUGGCUUAUUUGGCUAAUACACUCCCCGGUUCGAAGCACCCUUCAAUUUAUUUUCGUGAAGUGUUUUUCUUCAAUCUUCAGAUAAAUGCCCUUGUCAUAUUAUGAUUCCAGAAAGUCGUAAGUGGAAAAAGACUUCCAAUCUUGAGUUUAGGCCUCCACAUUUUCAUGUUGCCAUGCAAAGGUAGGUAGGGAUCUGACCAUUGAGACGAUGAACGAUCUCUCUGUUCCCGGUAAAAGGAAGCACCGAGACACUCUCUCCAUGACAAGACACUCUCUCCAUUCAGCCUCUCCUUUCUGUAAUUAAAGAUCAUAACAUUUGUGUUGCAAAAUUUGGUGAGAAAAGAACAAAAGCAAAAAACAGCAAUACAGCCGUGGUUUUGCUCACCUCUCAUGGAAGGAACCAUGGGCCGACCGCACAAGCAGACACGUACAUUGACAUCGCCAGGUCAAAUGGCGUAGCUGCAGAAAUUAUUGAGUAGAAAUUAGCGCAUGCACACACGCAGGGGGACCGCAAGACUUCCACUCCUUCCCUUGACCCCUCCACCCCUAUAAAUUGACGCCCUGCAUCCUACAGCCCUUCUCACCACUCCUCUGAAAUCCGGAUUGUUCACUAACUUCAGUUGUGUCCUGACUCCUGAGACGAGGAAGCUGGUAGAGGUUUCCUUUUGGAUUGUGUUCUUAGAUGGCUGUGAGGUUUGUGUUGAUUUGUUGAUUAAUCAGUAUUUUUCUUGAUGGCGUUUGCUUUUCCAGGUGGGAAGAAGUUCGGAGAACAUGGCCACGAUGGGUGGGGACAGAAGGCAGAUGAUGGAUGACGCGGCGGAGGACAAGUUUCCCGAGGGGUUACGCAUCCUCGUCGUUGACGACGACCGCGUCUGCCUCAAGGUACUUGAAGCCCUCUUGCGCCGCUGCAAGUACCAACGUGAGUCUCUUGACCCCUCCACUUGGCCAUAGUCCACUAGAAUCGGGGCCUUCUGAUCUAUUUGUUUCUCCGCGAAUAAUGCUUAUGCAGCAACGACGGUGAUGGAUGGAAAGACGGCGCUGAGGAUGCUCAUGGCGGGGAAGCAGCAGUUCGACCUGGUCAUCACCGACGUGCGCAUGCCGGACAUGGACGGCUUCAAGCUCCUCGAGCUCAUCCGCCUCGAGAUGGAUCUGCCCGUCAUCAGUACUCUCACUGCUCUCAAUCCGAAGUCCAAUUUUUGAGUUUUGCAUCCAUGAGAACUGACAAUUGUUUUUGAGAACGUACUUUUACUGCUCAAUCUUGUUGAUACCUUGAGAGGAUAUUAAUUUCUUUGGGCAGCGUGUGAGAUCCUAUAUAUUUAGGACCAUUUUAUGAAACCACAUACACAUGCAUAAAACCCACACUCUAUUUCUAACUUGGAAGAGUUCUAAAGAACGGGAUCGCCACUGAGUCGGAACCAACGGGGUCCCAUCUAACCGUUCACUCGUCUGAUCGGAUGGCGAGUGGGAUAGGAAAGCGGAGGUGGAGCGGCACAUGCGUUAGUAGGGGACGUAGUGUCGGUUUCUAGCCCAAACCAAUGGGAUCCUAUCUAACCAUCCAUCCAUCAGAUCGGAUGGAUAGAGGGGAUGGGGAACAAACGUGGAUAGCAUGUGAUUAUGAGAUCCCAAUUGUUGUUUUUAAUAAUUGGGUUGAUAGUGUUUAGUAGGCUAGAGACAUGGUCACUCCAAUGGCUAAUUUGGCCUAGUGAGAGUCCGUGUCACUCCAAUGUUACAUAGAUUCCACAUCCACGUGUUUGAUGGACGUAUUUAUGGACUAUCUAGAAUUUAAUUUUGUAAAUGAGUAGUUUGGCUUAGCGAGGGUCUCUAUCACUCCAAUGUAAUCUAGACCCCACUAUCCACGUGUUCGAUGGUUGUAUUUAUGGACAAUUAGAAUUUAAUUUUAUAUCAUCUCAAUUAAUUGUAAAAUCCUACCUAUAAGAACUAUAAGAACGAAAACUAUAAUCUAUUCAUAUUUCAUGAUGUGACCAAGUUAUAUUUAGUUGUUUUCAAAGCUAAUAUUGAAAUUCACGUUCUACCAAUCACACAAGGUAUAUGAUUGCGCCACAUCUGUUUUCUAGGGUUGCAUGAAUAAUACAAUUAAGAAAUACCUAUGUUGUAUUGAUUUUUUUUUUGCAAAUUGUAUUGAUAUUAUUAAUAUUACUACUCAUCUUCAUUCCCCCUAAAGUUGUUACUCCUUAUGACAAUUUACUCUCAAGAAUAGCAUGUAAAGUAGGAGUGCCCCUUUUAAGUACAUACAUCGAGUAGGUUAACCAUGAGUAAUACCUACACUACUGCAUAUUUGUUGACUUUGAAUAAGCACACUAAUUUGUAGUCAAAUUACUUUCACAGAAAGUGCAGCCACACAUACUUAUUUUCAUGAAUCUCUACUAUUAAUGCACAAAAAUCGUCCGAGAUAAUUCUUGCCCAAUCUCUGCCUCCCCCACAACUGCAUGCAAUUAAUUAGCUAUAUAAUUAAUUACACAUGUCAAUUAUCUAGACAUUAAUUUAUGGAAAGUAUCAUCGAGCAUUGGACGAGAGGACCAUGUUAAUUAUGGAGAGUAUCAUUCUUUGGAUGGGAGUAUCACGUUAAUUAUGAAAAGUAUCAUUGAGCACUGGACAGGAGGACCACAUUAAGUGUGGAAAUUAUCAUGUAGAAUAUGUAUGCCCUCGUGCCAAGCACAAACAAUUAGCUAGCUGUAAUAAAAAAAAGCUAUUGACAAUGGUGGUUAACGUUUACAAACUAAUAUGAGUGUGAUCACUUAAAAUUCUUAAGCGUUACGUGGGCCGAUAGAUGUUACCUACUACGCUAGAGAAACAUGGCUGACUGCCAAUAAUAGUACUUGAUCUUCAGGUUCACCAAUAUAUAGUUAGACAUGAUGAUGUGAGUUCCCUGCAUGGAACAUGUUGUGAUAUGGCUUAUGCAUUGUGUUACUGUUAUUGUUUUAGCCUUUGUUUCCGUAUCUUCCUAUUGAAUGUGUGGAAUUUUUCCCAUUUAGUUUGCAUUGAAGCAGAAUUAUAAAACUGUACAUUGAAAUGCUUUUCUGUCUAUAGGCACGUUGACCAAAACAUAUGUCCACUUCAUAGAUUUGUGUGAAUUUCUGAAUCCUAAAUCUAAGUCAUUGGUCCUAUGGCAUGCAGUGAUAUCCAUUGAUUGCGACAAGAAGGUUGUGAUGAAGGGGAUAGAUCAUGGCGCGUCCGACUUUAUGGUGAAGCCGGUCUGUACCCAUGAGCUCAAAAACAUAUGGCAACAUGUUCAAAGGCGGAGAAAUCCCAAAGCAAUAAGCCACAUCAGCGAUCAUGACAAUGAUGUCCAGAGAGUUCAACCAGCGACUACUAACAAGAGUAAGUACUCAGGGAAUAAGAGAAAUGGCGGAGAUGAUUCUAGCAAGAACAAUGAGGGCACACAUAUAUCCGCCAUCCACAGAAAGCCCAGGAUGACAUGGACAAUUGCGCUGCAUAACAAGUUUCUAGAAGCUAUCAACCGGAUCGGCCUUGAUAGUAAGAAUUCACAUCUUGUGCCUCAUUCAUCGACAAUGCUGGUGGCUGCUCGAUAUUUUCAUUAUAAUUUUUAUUACAUAACUGUAGGGGCUGUUCCAAAAAAGGUAUUGGAGCUGAUGAAUGUGGAUUACCUCAGUAGAGAGAACAUUGCGAGUCAUCUACAGGUUUAUUUUCAACCUUUAUGCUUAAUUUCUAUGUUUUUGUUACUAUUAUUCGUAGUCUAACAUUUUUUCAUAUAUAAGUGAAAGCUUUCAUUUUUUGGGGAACAUAUCAGUCAAAGCUCUAGCAAUGCAACUACCAUGAAGUGUAAUUUUAAUUAAUUGUGUCCCUUAAAAUGCGAGGCUUAUCUCAUAUAAUGCAUGCCCCAUAUUUUUAGGAGUUUUUUUCCCGUGCAACAUCUUCAGUUCUUAUUGUACUCACAUGUUUACGUUAUUUUUUUCGAUGAUCAUCCAUCUCAUACCUUGUUAUUUUGUCUAUCUUUUUAUUUUAGAAGUAUAGAUUGCACUUAAAAAAAGUCAAGUCAAAUCCCUCUGGUGAUGCAUAUGAAAGAUGGAACUCAUCUUACAACAUGAACAACAAGGGCAAUUUCAUGCAUAAUCAUGAACAUGGAAGAUGGAGUGUGUCCUCUGGUGGCACUGCCUCUUGGAGUACAAACAAGUAUGGUUCAACGGAUCACUUGGCUCCGCCGAUGAACAUCCAAAGCAACUUCUACAUGGGGUCAUACCUCCAUGAUGGUAGAAUGCCGAAGUAUGUUGGGGAACUACCGUCGGAUGCGAGAAGAUUCACAGGUUUUGCUGACCCUCCCGUCAGCCAAUAUGAUAACAUACCCAAUGAGAUAAUGUCAGAUGAAUUUCCUUCAUUCAAUUAUAGUAAUUCCCGUCGUGACAUCAUGCGUGGCAAGCUAAUGGAGAUAAGCAAAGGCAAAACCCCUUCCAAUCUUCAAAGUUCAUUUGCAAACACAACAAUUGGUGGCGGGAGGUCCCUUGUCGCAUCACAGGUGAACUUCCCACAUAGCAACCAACUAGAGAGCUAUGCAACGUCAUCUGGCCGGCUGCCUCUGCAAAAUGAAAAGGCACCAUUCAUAAGCAACACCACAUCAAUGGGAUGCUUCACUGAGCGGCUGGCACCAUUCAACAUGGCAAGCAACAUAAGCUCAGUAGGAACGAUGUGGAACGGUAGCUCUGCACUUGAUGCAAGUAGAACUUCAACUAAUGAUACUCAUCUGGUCAAUAGUGAAAGAACUACUUUGAUGCUUCACAACCUUCAGACAGAUGAUUUCAUCUCAUUGACCCGGCUACAUGAUGGUGGGGAUAGAGCUAGCAUUUUUCCUAUGCAAGAAGGCACACUUAAUCAGCAACCUCUUAUUGAUCAUUUGAAUGAAAUCAAUGCCUUCUCAAUGGAUGAUAUGUUUUCCAACAUGCACGUGGAAGUAAGAACUUUUCUCAUUUGUACGAAUCUAUGUGCUGCAUAUGAAUUAUUGAGUUGGACAUGUGUACUUAAAUAACACUUUUCUCUCAAUGUAGGAUUUCACUGGAGAUGUUGCUAUCAUGGAAGAAGCAUGAUAGUUCUGUACGUUAGGCCGCCAUAUGCGUGAGAUGAUUGAUCAAGAGUAUCAUGCUCUAGGGGACUCUUUAAGGAAAUAGAGUGCUUCGACAAGUUUGCAAGCAUAGUGAUAUGUGUAGCCAUUUUCAUAUACCAGUGGUUCUUUGAGAUACACUUCCUCUUGCAUAACAUUGAGAAUUGACAUGUUUUGCACAACAAGCAUAGACACCACCCUUUGGAGAUUGUUGUGUCUAAUACAAGUCUUAUGGUAGAAGCUUUUAAACUAGCUUUAGCAUCCUGAUAAUCAAAACAUUAAUGUUUCUUGAAGCCUAUGGUAAGAAGGCACACUUUAUACCUGGGAUAAACUUGUUUCUGGCCCAUCAUGUUUUUACCUCGAGGUGGAGUACUAAGUGCCAUGUGUUACUCUUCAUUAGAGCCGUAUAUUCUUCAUCCAUAGCUUUUCUUGAAUUUUUCACUAGAAGCCACAACUAAAGACAACUAAAGAUGGACCUCAUUUAGAAUCAUCCAUAGAGCGAAGAAUUGCAUGAUGUGCUCAACGGAGACAUUGGUGGUGAUGGUGGUGGUGGUGGUGGGGGUGAUCUUGAGAAUCCAAGCGUUGUGCUUUAGGGCCUCCGUCACCUUCCAAUUCUUUCUCUUGGAAGCUUCAUAGAUGAGCGGGGUAAUGUAUUUAGGCUUUCGCCCAAGAAGCCAAGGAGAGUCACAAAAGGGGGUCCUCACACCGUUACCAACGGUGAUGAUGGUGGAAGCAUAGAAAAAGUUGAGGUCCUCCUUACUGCAUGGGUUUCCUAUUCCCACCCACAUCUUGGUGGGAUCCUUCCAUUCAUACCAUGGCCAUCGCAACCGGAGAGCCCUCGUAAACUUGUGUGUGUUGACGACCCCAACACCUCCGUACUCAAGUGGCUGGCAAACAUACUCCCAAUUCAACUUGCAUUUGGCCCCUGUUUUCUUGUCCGAACCGGACCAAAGGAAAGCUCUCACCAGCUUGUUGACGUUGUGAAGGAUGGUUGGUGGGAUGACCAACGGGGUGGUGGGGUAGACCACUUGGGAUGUGAUCAUGGACUUGACAAGAGUCGUACGUCCAAUGGUGGUGAUGUUGUGGCCAUCAUACUUUGAUAACUUGCUUGCAACUUUGUCCACGAGAAAUUGGACAUCCAUCAACUUUANNNNNNNNNNNNNNNNNNNNNNNNNNNNNNNNNNNNNNNNNNNNNNNNNNNNNNNNNNNNNNNNNNNNNNNNNNNNNNNNNNNNNNNNNNNNNNNNNNNNNNNNNNNNNNNNNNNNNNNNNNNNNNNNNNNNNNNNNNNNNNNNNNNNNNNNNNNNNNNNNNNNNNNNNNNNNNNNNNNNNNNNNNNNNNNNNNNNNNNNNNNNNNNNNNNNNNNNNNNNNNNNNNNNNNNNNNNNNNNNNNNNNNNNNNNNNNNNNNNNNNNNNNNNNNNNNNNNNNNNNNNNNNNNNNNNNNNNNNNNNNNNNNNNNNNNNNNNNNNNNNNNNNNNNNNNNNNNNNNNNNNNNNNNNNNNNNNNNNNNNNNNNNNNNNNNNNNNNNNNNNNNNNNNNNNNNNNNNAAUCCGUCGUGGGAAAGUUAGGACGAACAAUUUCACCAUAUAUCUCCGUCUCUUCUUGCGCGGCAGUCAUUGCAAAAUUCUUUUUGCCAACUUGUCAUCCAUUGUUCCCACCACCCGUCGUGCUACUUCUGCCUUCUGACUCGCCCCGUCGCCCGUUCCCCUUCCCGGUGGCACCCAUCACCGCCACUGUCCCCACCGCGCUUAGUUUCUACCUCACCUAGAGGCCACGAUGGCCGCGUCUGAGAGGUUACUAACGCGGACGGCCUCGACCUGCGCCCUGGAGGCUGCACACGGGACGCACAUCUUCAAGAUCGACGGGUACAACCUGUACAGGGCCUUCGGCGUCGGCAAGUCCAUUGAGUCCGCUACCUUCGCCGUCGGCGGCUACGACUGGCGCGUCCGCUUCUACCUGGACGAUCAUAGGAGGACAACAAACAUUAUGUGUCUGUCGACAUCGUGCUCAAGACCGAAGGCAUAGAGGUGAGGGUGCUCUACGAUAUGUGGCUGGUCGACCGACCAGGCCACAGGGCCUCCAGCACCAUGGUUUUAUUUUUCAUCAGAAAAAGACCAAUCACAUUGCAACUUAUCUGCGGUUUUCUUAGUCACAUUGCUGGUCCGCAGUUUUCUUAGUCACAUGGCUGGUCUGCGGUUUUCUUAGUCACAUUGCAAGUGGGUACAUAACUCUGAUUGAAUUAGAAGAGUCGGAUAUGAAUCAAAUCAAGAUCACAAGAAGAGGGGGAGGAUGAAUAUGUGGAGUUGCGCCGCCGCCGCCAACAUCCGAGUUCCCAUGUCGCUGCUCCUACAGAAUGGCCGCCUCAUUUUGCUAUGUGUUCCUUUCCGCCGAAAGAAAGGGGAUAACCGAAGCAGACCUAACGGAGAAUGUCGUUAGGUGACAGAACUGAAAACUGACGAAACUGAAAACCGCACCUAACACUGAACACAAAUCUGUUAAUUGAAUUUGAUACCUACUGCUUCAGACACUAGACUGACAGACGAAUAAAACCAAAGUCAAAAGAAUGGCUAAAUAAGGAUAUAAGCAAAGAAGUAAAACAAUACUGAUGGAAAAGUCAAACGUCACAAACUUUGAUCAAAUUUGUGGAGAAAAAUGUUUACAUCUUGAAUGCCAAACAUAUAUCAUUAGAAUCAUCAUAAGACUUAGUUUCAUAAUUCAUAUAUUUGGAUUGUAGACAUAAAUAGUUUUCUUCAUAAACUUGGUCAAAGUUUGACCUUUCAAAAAAUCGAUAUGCGCUACAUUAUGGAACGGAGGGAGUACUAGUGACAAGAGAUAAUCCCAUUUCUUUUCAGAAAAAAUAGGAAGAUGACGAAUGCUAGCGGUAGAAAUGUGGUUAUUGCUUUAAAACUUCAUACUGAAGACCCACACCAAACAACUCCGAACAAUAAUGAAAAAAAUUGCAAAACACUGAAAACUGGACAAAAGAACUUCCAUCAAACACAAUGAUCUGAGGAGUUGGAUCUUACCGACAUAACUGAAUUUGACAGUAUACUGAAUACUGAAUUUCAAAUAAUUGAAAAGUUACUCCCAGCAUUGAAAAAAUGGUCGGUCCAAAAAAAUACAAAAUACUGAUAAAAACUACACAAAAAGCCUUCAUGUUCAAGCUGAACACUAACCAAAUAGACUAGCAGUUAAAAGGUUUUCAGGCCCCAUAUAAAAUAGUUCUUGACAGUGCCAUACAUAACCAAACAAAAGAUACCUAUAAAAGAGAGAAGACACAUAGUUCAUCCAUCCCGCGGAGCGACAUAGACAGCUAACAGCAGUAAGACAUAGAUAACAACGGCAAAAACUAGAGCAUUAACACUGAUGGUAAUCUUAAAUCAGGUCGACGACAACCAUCAUGUCUAGAUUGUCCAAUGCACUAUUCCUGACGGUGAUUAGCACCACUCGGCCAACCUAUUUUAGGUCGUUCUCCUCCGUGAAUUCCUCCCAGCCAUCCUUGCUAAAUGUGAUACGACCAUCCGGAAAAAAGGAAGUGACGAAUUAAAUAUGAAGGCUAAAGAAGUGAAACGAGAAAAUAUAGAUAGACUAAAAACUGAAUGAAUGCUAAACUAGCAAACUAACCUACCACUGAAGAAAAGAGUACCAGGAGAAAGCUACAGAUUACUCACAAAAAAGAGAGGAGAAAGGUACAAAUGACUGAAACCUGAAUAAGACUGAAAAUGUCACUGAACCUAACCAUGAAAUACAUAAAUCAAUAACUGGAGCAAACUUGAGGACAUAUAUACUGAAGAAACCUAAUAGACUGAGGAAUGACACUCGAACAAAAAAUGCCUACCAACAAAACAAACUGAGAAAUAAAUAUCUAAACGGAAGAAAACUCUGAAAAACUGAAAAAAAAACUACAAUGAAGAUGAUUGAAACUGAAAACUAAAAACUGAAACACUGACCAGUCAUCUUUAAUUUCCGUAAAUCAAUGAAAAAUUUAUCAUGGACAAACUGAAAAAUUGAAGAGUAAUCACUGGAAUCAUGGACGCUGAUAAUAGGGAAUACAUUGAGGCUGAUGACUGACACUAGUAGAAAAGGUGGCAAAGGUCCAGGCCGGGUCAGCCCAUUAGUCCCGGUUCAAUCCAGAACCGGGACCCAUGGGGGCAUUGGACCCGGUUCGUGAGCCCCGGGGGCCGGCCGGUCCACGUGGGCCAUUGGUCCCGGUUCGUCUGGACCUUUUGGUCACGGUUGGUGGGACAAACCAGGACCAAUGGGCCUCGCUCCUGGCCCACCACCAUUGGUCCCGGUUGGUGACUUGAACCCAGACCAAAGGCUGCCCUUUAGUCCCGGUUCAUGCCACCAACCGGGACCAAUGAGGUGCCUAUAUAUACCCCCUCACGUAAGAGCAGAGCACACUGCUCUGUUUUUUCUGGCCGCUGAGGGGGAGAGGGCUUGGUGGUGCUCUAGGUCACCUCCUAUGCACACAAGGUGUUCGAUGGAAUGCCCGAGCCACACUACUUAAGCUUUCUCCUUUCCAAGCUCGACCUCCAAGCUCCAUUUUCCUUAAUAUUUGUCUAGAUUUAGCGGUCAGUCACGCCCCGUCCCCGUCUUCACCGUCAUCGAUCACCCGUGCCGAUCUCAUCGCGGGCACCACCGUGGUGAGCCUCUUGUUCUUAUUUUCUUUCUGAAAGAAAAAAUAUUCUUACUUGUAUGUUUAGAUAGAUACUUGUAUUAUUUUCUUACUUUUAUUAUUGCAUCUUAUAUAGUGCGAUGGUUUUGGUAUCCGCCCCCGUCGGCCCUCGUCCUGUCUAUGAUUCGGAUGUGGUAUAUAUUAUCUUUUCAUAACUAUUUGGUUCAUUUAUUGUUUAUGACAAUUAUGCCGACCAAUGUGACAUAUAUUUUAUUUAUCUUGGAGGUUGUUGAACGUGAAAUUCCAGCCGACCCUAUUGUCGAGAGGUUAAAUUUAGUUGAAGAAGAAAACAAUUUCUUGAAGGAAAAAAUAAGAAAAAUUGAGGAGAGGAAGAUGAUAUUGGAGUUGCAUGUUGUGGAUAUCGUCGAUGAUCACAAGAUCAAGAUGGAUGCAAUGCGCUUGAAGAUUAGAAAGAUUAGAAAAUAUGCCAUUCAUACCGAGGCUUGGUAUCAUUAUGCCGUUGGAUCAGUUGUUACCUUGGUCGUCGGAGAAUACCAUGUCGAAGUUGAUUUCAAUUGCUAGGGGAUUGUAAGAGAUAUUACAUAUUGUAUAUGUAUGUAGUCAGUAGCGUGGGAUAGAUAAUACGAAAACUUGUUGUUCGACCAAUCUCUCGGAGAAGGAGAGAGGUCGAUCGAUCACUUCUCUCGGUAUACAUGACGAACUUUUGUACUUAAUGGUUCCCUUUAUUUUCUUACUAGAUAGCGUGUCGAGGGCCUCUCUAUGUAUAGUACGUAGUGUCGACCAAGCACAGACAUAAGAGAGGACACUUCUCUCUAUUAAUUAGCUAGCUAACACAAUAUAUGAAACACCUGAAUUAACCCCCCAAAAACCCCACCCCACCCCCCACCCCUUUCAAAAAAAAACAAAAACCCCAGCCACUGAAAUGCUGACGCGUGGAUGCCUUUUGGUCCCGGUUGGUGCCACCAACCGGGACCAAAGGCCCUCCUGCCUGGGCUCGGCGCACCGACCACAUGGAGGCCCAUCUGUCCCGGUUCAUGUUAGAACCGGGACUAAAGGUCUAGGGUAUUAGUAACGACCCUUUAGUCCCGGUUCAAGAAUCGGGACAAAAGGCCCUCACCAACCGGGAUUAAUAGGUGUUUUUCUACUAGUGCAAAAACACUACUAAAUAAUAAUCAAUGUCUGAAGACUGAUGACAACUAGCACACAAACAAAAUUUGAGAAACUAAUGGAUGAAUGACAAGUGAACUAAAGGAAAUUACAGAAAAAAACUAAUAAAUGAUAAUGGAUCUAAUGACUGAACAGAAAAUAAACACCGAUGAAUGGAAAGGAGUAAGAAUCACUAGAAUGGAAACCAAUAAAAUCUAAACUGACAAAAAUCAACAUGGACUAAAGCUACAUUCUGAAGACAAAACUGAGGAAGACAAACAAAUAAGAAUGCCUUAAAAACCUGAAUCAACUACAAGACUGAAACUAGAAUUGAGAUACUGAAGAAUAAAAAAUACAAAAUGAAAAUACAUAGACAAGAUCCUCCUAGAAAAACUGAAAAAAUGAAGACUAAAAAAUGAAAUAACUGGACUAAAUAACUAGACAAUCUGACAAAAAAAUUAUGGAUGAAUGACAAGAAAACUAAAUGAAGGCUGAGAACUCAAAACUGAAUAAAUGGACUGAUAGAUGAAGAAUGAUAUGGAAACCUAGAUAUGGUGCUCACAUAUCUGUUGGUUUCAUGAUUGAUGCUUGUUCCUCACAUAUCUGUUCUUGAGUUCGUACAGUACCUAAAAAAGACUGAAUUUUACAUGUGAAUAGCAGUGCAAAUGAAGAUACAUAAAAUAUGUGCAUUGGAAGCCAAGAAGUUGCAUUCAUGCAGGUCGAAGGAGGGAUGAAAAAUUGCUUCAUAUUUUUGAUGUCUUGCAAGUUGUGUGGAAACUGACAGAAAAAUAAAUGUAGCCGUUGUUGGAAAACUAAACAAAUCAUGGUCGCCGCCCGUCUCGUGGUACAUGUCGAGUUCUUGAGAUUUGUGAAGGGACAAAAAAAAGGUCCAGAUAAAAAAAAAAUAGAAUUCAGAGAAACUUCACGGGGCUAUGAAUUUUUACUGUUUUGAUGAUUGACCCUGAAUGCAAACAUAGCGACAAUAAAACUCUGUUUGGAGGUACUACAACAAGAAAUAAGGCAGACCAAAAAAAUCAAACCAAUGAUGAUGUAGAACAAACAGCCUAAACCUAAAAAUCACAUCAACAAAAAAACAGUGUGAGCUUGCUCCAAAACUCUGCCCUGAAAAACAAAUCAUGCACGGCAAAAAACAAAAAUUGUAAGAUGAUACGAUAAUCAAGAGCGGAACAAANNNNNNNNNNNNNNNNNNNNNNNNNNNNNNNNNNNNNNNNNNNNNNNNNNNNNNNNNNNNNNNNNNNNNNNNNNNNNNNNNNNNNNNNNNNNNNNNNNNNNNNNNNNNNNNNNNNNNNNNNNNNNNNNNNNNNNNNNNNNNNNNNNNNNNNNNNNNNNNNNNNNNNNNNNNNNNNNNNNNNNNNNNNNNNNNNNNNNNNNNNNNNNNNNNNNNNNNNNNNNNNNNNNNNNNNNNNNNNNNNNNNNNNNNNNNNNNNNNNNNNNNNNNNNNNNNNNNNNNNNNNNNNNNNNNNNNNNNNNNNNNNNNNNNNNNNNNNNNNNNNNNNNNNNNNNNNNNNNNNNNNNNNNNNNNNNNNNNNNNNNNNNNNNNNNNNNNNNNNNNNNNNNNNNNNNNNNNNNNNNNNNNNNNNNNNNNNNNNNNNNNNNNNNNNNNNNNAUUCAGUACAAGAUCACAAUCCUUAUCUCCUCCUUGAUUGUGAUUUGCAGUUCCAGCAGUAGCUAAAUGCCCAAGUUAGGACAGAGAUCACAGUCAGUCCAAAUUCUGAAUUUCAGAUCCCAAAAUGGCCGGAAAUGACACAUUCAAAAGUACAAAGAUCACAAAUACUAAUUUCCUUGUUGGGUAUCAUAUUGGGAUCUUGUCAUUCCCCAAAAUGGAGGCAGGCCAAAAAUUGCAAUUACAGUAGCAGAAUUACAUGCAUACAUACAUAAACAGAGCAAACACUUUGUUCUUCUAUUGCUAAAAAACCACUCACCUACUGCUAAACUACUUCUUACCCUAGGAGCUUCACUUGAGCUCCCCUUGUUAAUCUUCUUCUUCUUAACAAUUAUACCUGGCCGCAGCUGUGAACUGAAUGACUGAUCGAAACACACACACACACACACCUACCAAACUAUGAACUAAAUUUCAGAUUAGGACUGCCCACCUAAACAAUAUAUGCCGAAAAUGUAGACAUAUACCUACUCACCAGUCACCACACACACACCCACUUCGUAGAAACAAAAAGGGAUCUACAUCCAAAGACAACGUGGACUUGGUGAGGGAAAAUUUGGGGAUUGGAUGACACGCACGGAGAGGUAAUUUCAGGGGGGUUUUCUGAUGAACCACUUAAAAAAUCGCCACGGUUAAACUAAGCUAACACAAAACCAUCCUGGCCAGAGUCAGCGAACUGAACCAACCCCUGCGACGAAGGUCUAAGACCGGCGAGAAUCACGACGAACUGAAUCAAAAGCGUGGGGAGGCAGACACACAUAGAAUGAAACAAAAUAUGACAGCGACGACAGCACGGGUGCGAAUAAAAAUACCUUGCGCCGGCGACUGCAACUGCCUCCACCGACUGGAGCUUGCUGGUGGCGAGCACGACGGGGCAGCUCCGCCGUGCUCCUCUCCAGGCCGACAUAUCUCCCUGUGGAGCACGCCUCCUGCCUACAAGCUCUCCUUGCGGGGGACUCGUCGUGCGCCAUUUCUGCCUCACAGGCAAGGAGACCCCGCCUUCUCACCGCUGUCUCUGCCCGGCCUCUGCCUGUUGGCCAAAAACUACAAUUAGCUAGCUCUCACUUGUACUAACAGAGGAAGCCUAGCUAAAACCAGCGGCUGCACACAAGCUGCUCUCACUCUCACUCACGUACAGAUGAACUCACACACACGUAAUGGGAGGACACACUCACGAGCAGAGGAGGAAUACUGGAGUGGUUUGAUGCCUUUCUUGAUUGGAAUGGAAUGCUUACAACUCAGGGUGGACACGGUCCGAGCCGAUCCGAUCCCUGACCGAGCCGUCACUUGGACCGGCCGCCGGCGGACCGAGCCGGACCGGACCGACCAGUCUGGCGGUCCUGUUUCUAGGGACCGGACCGGCGGCGGCAAAGCCCGGGCCAGACCGAGAGGACCGGCCAGUACACAAGCCAGAGCGCGCACUCGAGCUCCGAUGACGGCUGCUCCGGCUAGAGGAAGCGCAGCUCAUCGGCAAGAUGUCUGCAAGCUACAGAAGAACCAAAGGAAGCUAGAGUAACCAAGAACAUCACCAAUGGCAGCCCAACGGCGACAAACGGCCAGUGAACUGAGACGAAAGGGACGAUGAUCGAUGCGGCGACGUAGGACCUCCCACGUUGAUUUCUUUGGCUGAGACGACUAAUCAGACUCUGGCGCAUCCAAUGGACAAGGUCACCGGGGCCAGAGAGUCCAGUGGCCGCGCGGACGACAGCCCCACGGUGGCGGACGUAGACGACAGUAGUUUUCUUGCGCCCCCACCACGCCUGGGUCGCCAUGCACCCGCCACAGCCCCGCCACGCCCUCGCCAGAGCUCCGCCAUGCCCCAGCCAAGCCCCAGCCAUGCCCCACUUGGUGCUCACCGUGCUCCCGCCACGUUCCCGCCAUGCCGAUGUAUCGGUUUGUCGGUCCUGCGAGCUGGCUCGGUGAAAGCCCGGACCGGACCGACAAAUUUUCGGCCCGGAAUCUGCAGCUCGGACCGGCUGUAUUUUUCGUCGGGAUAGGACCGAGCCGGCCUGGACCGAGCGGGCUACGAGCCGGUCCGAAGGACCGCUCGUUUCGUCCACCCUGACUUACAACGGGGGGACUUGGGACCUAUUUAUAGGUGAUUACAAACCGACUAUAGAACUAAGAUAUUUCUACUAGCUGCCCACCUCAGCUCAUACGUGUACUAGACUAGAAACUACUACUAGUUACUAGCUAGCUUGCCUUAACUGGUAAGUCACGCAAGUGCUGCCGACUUGCCGACCUGCCGUUUUACUUCCUAGGUAAGUAAUUUGCUGCUGCUGCUGUUGCCGACAUGCAACCAUGCAUGCAUCUGUGUAAAUGCUGUUGACCAAGGUUGACCCAACAUUCUCCCCCUCAACCUUGUCGAAGGAGCUUGGUGUCGAUGAUCCCGACCUUGUCGCGCAGCUCCUGGAACCGGACACGACCAACUGACUUGGUUAGGAUGUCCGCCUUCUGCUCACCAGUCCGGAUGAACUCCACUAUCAUCGUGCCUUUUUGGACGCAGUCACGUAUGAAGUGAUAGCGGAGAUCGAUGUGCUUGCUGCGGUCGUGAAGCACUGGAUUCUUGCAGAGGGAAAUCGCUGACUUGUUGUCGACGAAGAUGAGCGCAGGGGCGGUAUCCUGAUUCAGCAUCUCGCCGAGAAGGCGAGCAAGCCAAAUGCCUUGACAGGCCGCUGUAGCUGCCGCGAUGUACUCCGCCUCGCACGAAGAUACGGCGACAACCUUCUGCCUCACCGAUUGCCAGCUGACGGGACUAUUUCUGAGAAGGAAUAGUAUGCCCGAGGUGCUCUUCCGGGAGUCCACGUCACCAGCGUGGUCGGAGUCGCUGUACCCGACCAAUCUCUCACCGUCGCCACGACGAUACACGCAUACCUGCGUGAGCGUACCCGCGAUGUACCAGAGCAGGUGCUUGACGGCAGCCAGGUGAUCGCUUGCCGGAGCUUCCAUGAACCUACUCAGGAACCCGACAACAAACGUGAUGUCCGGUCGAGUGAGCAUGAGGUACCUGAGACUCCCGAUGAUGCUACGGUAGAGCGUAGCAUCUACCGUCUUCUCGGAGCUCUCCUUGCUGAGCUUCAGUCGUGCCUCCAUUGGAGCGUGCACGGCAUGGCAGUCCUUCAUGCCUGCUCGCUCAAGCAUCUUGGUAGCGUAGGCCGUCUGCGUGAUUGUGAUGCGACCACCCUCCUGGUUCACCUCCAGCCCAAGGUAGUACCGAAGCAGCCUAAGGUCGCUCAUGCUGAAGAGACGAUGCAUCUCUCCCUUGAAGCGUUGAACCUCUUUAGGCUCUGCCCCGACAAUGACCAGGUCGUGGACGUAGAUGCCGAUGAUGAGCAGCGUGUUCGCGGUGCCACGCGAGUACACGCCAUGCUCAGAAACGCUGCGUGAGAACCCAAGGGAUGCAAGGCUUGCAUCGAGCUUGGCGUUCCACGCCCUUGGGCUUGCCGGAGACCAUACAGGGCCUUGUGUAGUCGAUACACACCCUGCUCGUGGCCCUUGGCAACGAACCCGUGUGGCUGGGAGACGUACACCUCCUCGUUAAGGUCGCCGUUGAGAAACGCCGACUUGACAUCCAUGUGGUGUACCUCCCACCCGCGGUGAGCGGCCACGGCAAGGAUGAGCCGCACCGACUCCAGCCUUGCCACCGGAGCAAAGACUUCCUUGAAGUCCACUCCCUCACGCUGCACGUAGCCCUUUGCGACGAGGCGCGCCUUGUGCUUGACAAUGGCACCGUGCUUGUCCUUCUUCACCUUGAACACCCACUUGAGCCCGAUGGCUCGGUGCCCAGUAGGCAGUGUGGUGAGUGUCCAAGUGGCAUUGUCGUUGACCGACGCCAGCUCGUCCAGCAUCGCGUGGCGCCAGCAAUCCUCUUGCUCGGCCUCUGCGAAUGUGGUCGGCUCCUCGCCGGCCAUCAGAUGCAGGACCUCGUCGUCAUCAACGUCCUCAUCCUCGGGCUGUUGCGGUGUUGCCGCAGCCUCGCCGAGGAGAUCCCCCAUGCGCCGAAACCUGUGGGGGGGCGCCAACACUGUCGUUGGCGUCGAACAGCUCCGACCUCGCCGUUGGCGGGGUUGCAAACUGCCUCCCGGGACCCACGUUGCUUGACGUCGUGGUGUCUGGCGACACCGUACCCGGGGACGGUGUUCUCAGGGUUGCUGUUCCUGGAUCCACACCUCCCGAGCUUCCCGGGGUGGCACUUCCCGAGGUCUUGCUUCCCGGGGUCGUAGAGUACAUCGGGUACUCCACGGUAAAGGAGCUGCUUGCCGGGGCCUCCCCCGACGCCUCCCAAGUCCAUCGCGCGUCUUCGUCGAAGAUCACAUCGCGAGAGACAUGCACACGUUUUGAGAUGGGGUCAUACAUCUUGUACGCCUUAGAGCCCGUCUCGUAGCCCAUGAACACCAUUGGGGUGCUCCUGUUGUCGAGCUUCUUCAGCUGUGGGCGCGCCAUCUUGAUAUGCCCGACGCAGCCAAAGGUGCGGAGGAAGCGUACAUCUAGCUUCCUUCCGUACCACGCCUCAUAAGGCAUCUUGCCAUCGACGCUCCUUGUGAAGGAGCGGUUGAGGAUGAAGACAGCCGUGACCACGGCCUCCCCCCAAUACGUUCUCGGCACCUGCUUUGCCUUGAGCAUGCAGCGUGCCAUCCCGAGCACCGUUUGGUUCCUCCGCUCGACGACGCCAUUCUGCUGCGACAUGUGAGGGGCUGUGAGGUGACGUUGCACCCCUUUCUCGUCGUAGUGCUUGUAGAACGUGGCCGACGUGAACUCGCCGCCACGGUCCAUGCGCAGCACGCGCAGCUUGUGGCCGCACUCGACCUCUGCUGCUGCUUGCUGCUUGACGAUGGCUCGCUCCGCCUCAUCCUUGGAGUUAAGGAGCAGCACCCACAUGAACCUGCUGUAGUCGUCGACGAGUAGUAGGAUGUAGCGAUGCCCUCCUGGCGUUGCCGGGGUGAUUGGGCCGCAGAGGUCCCCGUGAACCAGCUCCAGGGGUUUCUGCGUCCGAUAGCGUGCCUUCUCGGGAAACGGCAGACGCCGCUGCUUCCCCGCAAGACAUGCAUCACACAACUCGUCGGCGUGCUUGAUGUGAGGUAGCCCACGAACGAGGUUGCCUCGCGCCAUCUUUCACAACCCGUCGAAGUGCUGGUGUCCUAGCCGGGCAUGCCAACGCCACGCGUCGGUGACAUGGCCCACGGCAAGGCACACAGGAUGUACGGGUUGAAAGAAGAAUUUGUAGAGGCGGUUCGGCGGCGGGUUACCUCGAUGAGCAGCCUCUUCUGCUAGUCGUGCACGGUGAGAACACCGCGCUGGAUGCCGAUGUCGAACCACCCCUCGUCGAACUGUCCGGCACUCACGACGCUGCUCGUGAGCGCCAGGAUGAAGUAGACGUUCGCGGUCACCCCCUUUGUCGGCGAAGACGACGGUCCCGCGCCCGUGGAUCUCCACCAUGGAUCCGUCCGUGAACCGCACCUUCCCGGUAAUUGAGCGGUCCAGCUCCGCGAACGCGUCGACCGAACCAGUCAUGUGGUUCGUGGUGCCAGUGUCGAGGAACCAACCCUCACUUUGCUUGCCGCCUGCAAGCAUGGGUGUGGUCACGUCUCUCUCCUCGUUGAGGAAGACGUAGCUGCACGCACACACUGUUGUCGGGGAGCCAUCUCCCAUCAUCACGGUGGACCUCGAACACUUCGGCGUUGGGUUGUGGAUGACCUGAGUCUCCGUGCGCUCCUGCACGGAGUCGAUGGUCGCCAGCAUCAUGGUCGGAGCAUGGACCGCCAUAUGCAUCAUUGCCGCGCCAACUUGCGCGACCUUGUCGGGUCCCGAGGUUGUCGGGGACGCCGUCGCCGGGGUGUGGCUCCCCCACACCCGGGCCUUCAUCGCCUCCCAGUCGAUAGGCCCCGAGAACGUUGUUGUCGAGGUGUGGCCUAUCACUGGAGUGAUGGUUCCCAUGGACGGGCUCCGUGCCUCCUGCAGGGAAUGGGUGGUGGUCGGGGCCGUGGUCGUGAGAGACGCCAAGCUCUCCUGCACGGGUUCGACUCUUGCCAGCAUCAUUGCCGGCCCGCCGUCCACGUCAGCCUGGACGAGGUUUGCCGUUGCCGCGGCUGCCUCGUCGGCUUUCCUCUUGUGGCAAUCCCGGAUCCGGUGACCCGGCAUGUGACAGUAGCGACACUUGCCACCGUUGCCAGUGCCUCGCCCUGCCUGGCUUGGCUUGCGACCGCGGUUGCUGCUGCCACUCUGGUUGCGGCCUCCGCCUCUGCCACGACCUCUACUUCCUGUGGGGGCGCCUCCCCCACUGCCGGAAGAGCCGUCGCGGCCGCGCUGCUGAAGCUGUGCUUCCCACUGCUCCCUGGUGAGCAGUAGUUCGCCGCUAGCACAGUUUUCGGCUUUGUCGCCGCUCCUCUACGACCUUGAGCCGCCCUACCAGCUCCUCGAUCGUCAUGGUGGAGAGAUCCACCAAACUCUCGAUGGACCAGGCCAGUUGCUUGUACUGCCUGGGGACGACACGGAGGAACUUGAGAAUCACCAUCUUGUUGUCGAUGUGAUCUCUGAGCGUUGCGAGCUCGUUGACGAGACCUUGCAGCCGCAAGGCGAAGUCGUCAACUUGUUCACCGGCCUUGAACCAGAUCUCCUCGUACUGGAGGCGCAAGGUCUGGGCCUUCGACUCCCAUACGCGCUCCACGCCGAUGCGUAUAGUCUUGAUGGUCUCCCAUGCUUCCUUGGCCGUUUCCUUAGCGCCAACGGUGAGCACCAUCUCCUCCGGGACGGAGCGCAAGAUCGCCUCCGUCGCCAGCCGGUCCUCCUCGUACUCGACACCGCUGGUUUCCACGGCUUUCCACAUAUGCCGCGCCUCCAUGAUGACUUUCAUCAUGACCGACCAACUGGGGUAGAUGGUCCGUGUGAGGAGAGGGAAGGAGGUGCUGGACAUGCCCACGUCUCGCACGGAGCGUGGCGCACCCAGCUCACCUCUCGGCCUGUCUCGCAGCGCGAGCGCGUCCGCCGCACGGGUGUCCUCAGCCGAGCUCUAUCCGGCGGUCUUAAAGCCGUCGCCGUGAUGCCUUCCUUCGGCAUAUGCUUCGGCAUAACCUGAGGCUCUGAUACCAAUUGUUGGCCCAAAACAACAAUUAGCUAGCUCUCACUUGUACUAACAGAGGAAGCCUAGCUAAAACCAGCGGCUGCACACAAGCUGCUCUCACUCUCACUCAUGUACAGAUGAACUCACACACACACACAUGUAAUGAGAGGACACACUCACGAGCAGAUGAGGAAUACUGGAGUGGCUUGAUGCCUUUCUUGAUUGGAAUGGAAUGCUUACAACCGGGGGACAUGGGACCUAUUUAUAGGUGAUUACAAACUGACUAUAGAACUAAGAUAUUUCUACUAGCUGCCCACCUCAGCUCAUACGUGUACUAGACUAGAAACUACUACUAGUUACUAGCUAGCUUGCCUUAACUGGUAAGUCACGCAAGUGAUACCGACUUGCCGACCUGCC